UCACCGCACACACGCGUGCACAGAUGCACGACAUACAUAUAGUUGAGACCAACAAAUGGUUGCCCCAUAUGGUGAACAAUUUAUUGGAGAUAAACAUUAACAUAACUUGGCCAUAGCUUGAAGCAUAGCAACAUAUGCCUAUGAAUGGCAUUCAUGCUGGUAGCAAUGCAAUCAUAUCGUUUUAGGCUUGUCCAGCUUCUUCCAUCUUAGCAAGCACUCCCAUUUCUUCCAUCUUAGCAACAACUGUCAAACUGAGAUAUGAAAAUCCCGUUAGCACAUGAGUUAGUUUUGCAGUGGAAAUAGAGUACAAGAUGUCUUCAUGAUGUAAGUAACAUGCCUGAAGUUGUGAGAUGGGAAGUGAAGUCAACAAAUUACAUUAACGGAAAUGCAUGGAAGGCCACGCAUGCAUACGUAUUAGUCCACGAUAUGCUACAAAGCCUUGUAUGUACACAUAACAAAUUAAAUGCAUUGAAUAGAGUGAGUUUAGUGAAUUUUACCGGAAUCGGUCAGAGUACAUGGGAAACAGCAAGUGUUCUUGCAGAUGAAGUCGGGGCUACCCGCAGCAAUACAAGCAAAACAACAUGCUUUUGCUCGGGUGGAUACGCAGCAGCCGCACUGUGCCGCGGUGGCCGGGUUAACAUUGAGGCUCAAGAUGACCAGGCACAUGAUCACCAUCAAAGCGGUAGUCCUCUUUCCCUCCAUUGCCUUCUCUUGCUGCUACCUUCCUUGGUUACCUAGCUAAGUUUAUUGGUUUUGUGUUGAGAGGUGAUUCUUGAAUGGACGUUGCCGGCUGCAAUUUACAUGGUAGGCAAAAAUGGAGGGGAGAUUUACUCCCGGUUGGUAUUUGCAACUGGGACUAAAGGCCCCCCUUUAGUCCCGGUUGUAACGGCUAGUUCUAGGGCGUCGGUGGGUUUACUGGCUCCAACCGGGACAAAAGGGUGGGUGGACCUUUUGUCCUGGUUGGUGUUACCAACCGGGACAAAUAGUUUACUCCCGGUUGGAGGUUCCAACCGGGACAAAAGGGCCACCCCUUUUGUCCCGGUUGGAGCCUCAAACCGGGAGUAAACUUUCAACCGGGACAAAAGGUGUUUCUUUUUGUGUCGGUUGGAGUUUCUAACCGGGAUAAAAACUCAUCCCCAUUAUAUACCAAGACAGAGGCCUUUCUUCCUCCUCCAGCCCGAGCCAGUCCACCACAAAGACAGAGAGCUCAGCUUCACCUACUCUCCGGUGGUGUCGAAGCAAGGGAGGUGCUGCCCGAAUUUCUUUUCCCUCAUUUUCGUGGGAAUUUCACUCAGCCAACACAAGUGUUGUGAAGGUUUGCUACUUCAUCCUCGUGUUACGCUUUAAUUUAUGCUUUGGAGAUGGAAAGUUUAUUUGCUAGAAUGUGAUGAAGUAGAAAAUGGAGAGGUACUUUGAGCUAGAAUGUGAGGGAGAUUGAUGUGUCAUAUAUAGUAUGUAUUCUUGCAGUGAUUUAAGAAUGAUGCUACCUUGUCUAGACGGUUUAUCUUAUCAAAUUCAAUAUGGUUUUUAAAAUCCAUACUUGUUGAACUUGCAUACCGUGUUCAUGUCGGCGAGAAUGUUCUCUGCCGAGCAGCUACGUAUGUCAAGAAGGAGGUUCGAUUCUACGAGAAAGAGUGGAUACGGACAUCGUGACCGUGUCCCCUUUUUCGUAGAAUCGAACCUCUUUCAUGACGAAGUGCGGUGCCGCCAACUAGGUANNNNNNNNNNNNNNNNNNNNNNNNNNNNNNNNNNNNNNNNNNNNNNNNNNNNNNNNNNNNNNNNNNNNNNNNNNNNNNNNNNNNNNNNNNNNNNNNNNNNNNNNNNNNNNNNNNNNNNNNNNNNNNNNNNNNNNNNNNNNNNNNNNNNNNNNNNNNNNNNNNNNNNNNNNNNNNNNNNNNNNNNNNNNNNNNNNNNNNNNNNNNNNNNNNNNNNNNNNNNNNNNNNNNNNNNNNNNNNNNNNNNNNNNNNNNNNNNNNNNNNNNNNNNNNNNNNNNNNNNNNNNNNNNNNNNNNNNNNNNNNNNNNNNNNNNNNNNNNNNNNNNNNNNNNNNNNNNNNNNNNNNNNNNNNNNNNNNNNNNNNNNNNNNNNNNNNNNNNNNNNNNNNNNNNNNNNNNNNNNNNNNNNNNNNNNNNNNNNNNNNNNNNNNNNNNNNNNNNNNNNNNNNNNNNNNNNNNNNNNNNNNNNNNNNNNNNNNNNNNNNNNNNNNNNNNNNNNNNNNNNNNNNNNNNNNNNNNNNNNNNNNNNNNNNNNNNNUGUUGAUUUUAUUGACUCAAUUGACUCGAUUGGGGUUCCAACUUCACGCCACGAGGGGAGGCUCCGGGAAAUGGGCACCCUUGGAAGGAAAUCAAGUUUGAGCAAUGAUACUGAUUUGUUCGACAAGGCACACUACACUGUUCUGCAAUAGUCAUCCUUUGUGUCUCCCUAUAUCGAGCAGCACAGGCAGAUGGUAGUUUUCCAAAAACCUGAUGAAAUCCGAUGCUUGGCUUACACAUCAUCACAUGGAAACUUUUUCCUCCUGGUUGCGCCAACAACUCAUGGGUAACUCUGAGAUUUACCCACAGCUCGCUUGGUUAGCCAGGGGACCUGCUAGCACAAUCGUGAAAUUCCAAGGCUAUGAGAUAAAUAGUUAUACAUUUUACACGAGAGCCCAGGACCAGAAAAGCACGAACCAGAAUAGUGGUGUCCGCAUAGAUGCCAUAGAUAGAAAUAAUAACAAGGAGUCGUAUUAUGGUUUCAUACAGGAGAUAUGGGAACUCGAAUAUGGACCGCUGUACAUCUCUGUAUUUCUUUGCAAUUGGGUGAAGCUAACUGCCGUAACCAAAGAUCAGUACGGAAUGACAAUAGUAGAUCUGAGCAAGACUGGAUACAGUGAUGACCCAUUCGUACUUGCGAAUGAUGUGCAUCAGGUUUUCUAUGUGAAGGACAUGUCUAGCAAACCCAAGAGAAAUCCAGAAGAGACAUGGGAGCCAAAGUGCCACAUAGUUCUUCCAGGUAAAGAAAAAUCGUUGGAGUCGAGGANNNNNNNNNNNNNNNNNNNNNNNNNNNNNNNNNNNNNNNNNNNNNNNNNNNNNNNNNNNNNNNNNNNNNNNNNNNNNNNNNNNNNNNNNNNNNNNNNNNNNNNNNNNNNNNNGAUCAUGAUCAAGGAACUUUUGUGAAGAAGAAAUUUUACAACGUUGUAUUGUAAUGCGCUAAAUUUACUUGACCUUUGUGAAGUACUUGAUACAAUUUUUAAUUUAACCUAUGUAUGAUUUCAUGUGUUCUUAAAUUUGUUGAGGUGAAGAUUUAUUAGAUAAACAUGAACAAUGUUAACCACAUACAUACAUGGAUUUUUUUUGCGCGUUGAAAUUAUUUAAUUGAAUAAUUUCUCGAUCAUUGCGAUGCAGUAAAAUAAUUAUUUUAGAGGCUAAACGAACUGGUAUAGAAUUAAUGACUAAUUCACACUUAUUGUCAAUAUACUGGCUAAUUAAAUAUAUUUUUGCAUGUUCAAAAUAUGUGAAGUUUUUUGUUUUUGCAUCCUGAAAUGCAGUGAAAACAUACAUAAAAUCCUUUUCCAAAAAACAGGCGGGAGAUGAAAGUGUGGGAAAAGGCCCUUUUGUCCCGGGUGCCAAUAGAAACCGAGACAAAAGGACCUUUUAUCCCUGUUGCCAAAAGCAACCGGGAUCAAAGGCCGUCCCUUUUGUCUCGGGUGCCAACACCAAUCGGGACAAAAGGCCCCCUGUUUAUCCCGGUUGACAACUACAACCGGGAUAAAAGGGUAGUUUUCGUUUCCCACCGGGGACGUACCCUUUUAUCCUGGUUACAGUUAGCAACCGGGAUAAAAGGGGGGCCCUUUUGUCCCGGUUGGUGUUGGUACCCAGGACAGAAGGGCCUUUAGUCCCGGGUUCAAUUACGAACCGGGAUAAAAGAGGGGGGGGGGGAUAAAAGGCACUGUAGCCUCUUCUACCACCACCCACGCUAGUUACGACACUUAGCCAAAUUUUCACCGCUGCCAAGAUCCCGUGCCCUUCCACCUGCUCCGUCGCCGCCCAUCCGCCUCCCUCGCCGGCCGCCGUCGUCCUCGUCGUCCAUCGCCCCGACCAUCGUCGUCCCGCCGCCCGACCGCCUCGCCCGCGCCCGGACCGCCUCCUCCUCCAUCGCCCCGGCCCGCCUCCGAUCCUCCUCCGUCGCGCCCCCUCGACCUCGUCGCCGCCGGCCGCCUCCAUCGCGGGGCCUCGUCGCCGCCUCCAUCAACGCCACAUUCUCUGUCGCCGCCGCGCCCUCGUUCGUCGCGCCGCCUCGUCGCCGCCUCUGUCGCGCGCGCCGCCUCCGUCCUUCGUCGCCGGCCGCCUCCGUCCCUCGUCGUCGGCCGCCUCCGCCCGUUGUUGCUGCGGCCACCUCGCUCCGUCCCCGCCUCCGCCAUCCCACCGCCCCGGCCGCCGCCGUCACGCCGUCCCGGCCAUCUCGUCGCCCAGCUAGGCACCGCGCGAGGUCCGCCGGCACUGGCGCCGGGAACGAACGGCUCUUGCUGACGCAAACCCACCGGCUUGUCGUAAGCAAGGGCCUUUUUUAUUUUUUAGUUAGAAAAUGAAUAGAUAUUAGUAGAUUAGUUAGAAAAUCAAUAGAUAUUUGUAGAUUAGUUAGAAAAUUAGUAGAAAAUCAGUUGAUAAAUUUUGUAGAAAUUCAUUCAAAUUAGUAGGAAUUAGUAGUAAUGUGCUAGAAAUUCAAAUAAAUAUGUUGAAAUUAGUAGAAAUUUGGUAGAAAUUCUUACAAAGUACUACUAAUUUGUUGAAAUUUGUAUAAACAUUCCAAACUUUGUGGGAUUCAUGUUAUUGUAAAAUUAUUAGGCAUUAGUAGAAAUUUUGUAGAAAUUCCAAUAAAUAUGUAGAAAUUAGUAGAAAUUUGGUAGAAAUUCUUACAAAGUACUACUAAUUUGUUGAAAUUUGUAUAAACAUCUCGGAUCAGCGCUUGGGUUCUGUAAGUGUCCGUUUAUCUACAUGUAAAUUUUGCCUCAUAUCAUUAUUUUUUUUGCGUGCGUCACCGUACUAACUUCGUCUUCCAUUUUAUGUAGCAUGCUAAUUCAGACGUGCCGACGUGAGGCGUACCUACAUAUUGGCUUCAUGAAUCCAUCCGUAGUUAACCAAAAACAGAUACAAUUAUCGCCGGAAAAAACCUUGGUGGAAGUAUACAAUUUCCUAGAUAAACAAAAAUUCAAGGAUUUCAUACUACUUCCAUACAACUUCAAGUAAGUGUGUGUAUACCGUCUACUUUCGUUGUCUUUUUCCUUACCUGAUUAAUUAGUUAGCUCUAAUAUGCAUGAACAUUUUACGUACGCAACUUCCACUGGAUCCUCAUUAUAGUUGAGCUUGAAAGAAGCCAUGUCACUGUCUUCGAUUUGUUGAGGAAAGAUCCAGUGGAGUACCAAGACAUGCAAGACAUGCUAGGCUUGUAAUAAUUCUGGACCUUUAUCUCUAUGCAAAAGUUUGUUUCCUAAAUUUUAUCCCUGUUACACUAUAUCAUUCAUUAUUCUAAUCUACAGCGCAUGGAAACAAUUCAUAAGGACACACAAAGAUCCAUUCAAAGAAAAACUUACAUGGAACACAGACUUCCCGUUACGUAUGAAGUCUGCACAUUUAGUACAUUGUAUAACACGAAUAUUUCAUAACUUAUUUUUUUCGGCACUGAAGUGCUUAAGACAGGAACUCGGGAAUAAUCUAUGUGGCUACUACAUCUGUGAGCACAUGCACAGUUUUAUGGGACCCAAGGGACUAAAGAUGAUGCCGCAAAACUUUAAAGUACGUAAAAUAAAACUAUUACUAGUUAAUUAUUUUCUAGCUCCUUAUAUUUAAUUGUUCGUGUAACAUUCACAAAUUUCCAAAUUAUAGAUGUUAAAUAUUCAACAAGGACUCUUGAAGAAAAAAAAGGGUAGCGGCAAUAUGUGAAGGUCUCAUUGGAUUCCUAAUGGACGAGGUGGUAAAUCCACAAGGAGAAUUUUAUUACGAUGGACGUCAAUUAGACGCUCCGAGCAACACCUCGACGGGAAGAUUGUAGAUAUAUAGUUUGAUUUGUAUACAUAAUGCACGCUAAGAUCGAUUUGUAUAUAUAGUUGAUUUCAUUAUACUAGUUGAAUUUUGUAUAUGAAUUGUGUAUAUAUAGUAAUUGUAUAAUUACAAAUUUUAUUCGUUUAAAUACUAGUUGAUUUCAUUAUAAAAAAAGUCUCAACUACUAAAGGUUAACAAAAGGGCCGCGGUACUACGUACGUGAUGCAUGAAAAUUUCAGACGCCAUGCAGGAAAAUUUAAAUAGGACUUUAGUCUCGGUUGGGAAAUCCAACCGGGACUAAAGGGUAACCACUCAUGUGCGCCACCUGUAUUCUACCAAGUGGCAUGUGGUAAUGCCAUGUUUGUUUUAAUUUCGUCCAUCAGCAUUCACAAUGAUAUCAUCACCAUUAUGUAAUUAUGCCACUUUUAAUUUUCUUGCAACUCUGUGAAGUUAACAGUCUCUGAUCAAGUUUCUGAGGAUUGCUAUAUCUUUGUUUAUUAUCUACGGAAGUUGACAGCACAUCCACCAUAAUUCAUGGCCCACCAGACUCUAAGUCCACUGCGAGUAUAUAUUAAUUUGUUUUAAUCCGACUAUACUAGAUGUGUACCAAUCAUUCGAUGUGAGGGACGAACUAAUUGUUUCUUGUCGACUAUUGCACCGUACCUCUCGUUUUCCAAACAAUUAAAUGGUACCCUUCCAUGAUGGUUAAAACAUACCGACUAUCUAUAUUAUUGCUUUCUUGAGCAUACCAAAGGGAACGAGAUAAUCACAGACAAGAUAUUAUAUACUAAAAGGUACAGAAAUAAAUAUAAAUUAAUCACGAGUUAAUUGGUAUGAUGAUGUUAUAGAUCAUUUAUAUACUGCGCCGUUCAACUUCUGUGGCCUGUCCGGCUUCUUCCUUUCCCCAUAUAAUGUAAUACGUUCAACUCAAAUGAAUGAAAUCAAAUUAUGCGUGUAUUAUUCUCGCUUUCAGUAGGGGCUAAAUCUCUCGAAAAUCCAUCCGGGAUAAAGAUGAGAAAUUAAUCCAUGCGUGGCUUCAUGCAAAUUUGUUCAGAUCAGGUUUGAACAGCAUGUAAUCUUUUUCAGGCAUCUAUAUGGAGCGUGGGUGUGUUAUGUUAUCUUCUACUACACAUAUAACAUUAAAUUCAUUCAGUUUGGCCGAGAGCCCAAAAUGCAACGAAUAUGCCAUCCAACGUGAAAAAAAGAUGUGGAACAGUAUACUCUAUCUUCGAAAUUAAUUAACGAGAUUCAGCUUCAAAAGAGAUAAGAGCAGACAAGAGGCACAUGGGUGCAUGCAUCCACACCUUGGGAUGCUGCAAAAUUUGGGAUCACGUGUGCGGAUCCCUAAUUAGGAAAAAAGAAUAAUUGUGCUAGCAAAAUGUGGAACACGACUGCCGGCCCAGUUGGCGCUAAGACAUCGUACGUGCAUUAAGUCUGAGGUGCCCAACGAUCUCUUUCUUUAACUCAUGCUUGACUGUGACGGUGCUAUUAUAUAAUAUUGCAUGAUCAUCAUGAUAAGAUCGUAUAGUGACUGAGUGAGACAUGUACUAUAACUUGCAUUUAAGCCUCGAACUGUGUGUCGUUACGUGAGCUGCCUCCUCUCCUCGCCUCUGAAUUAUUGAACCGUUUCCAACAGUGUUGGUCUCGACGAAAUUUGACACCAACCAGAUUUACGAAGAAAAGAGAAUAAUACUUGGAAUUGGGAAAAGUUGAUCUCUCUUUACAAUGGGUAGGUGCUCCCCUUUUAUAGUGACCCAUGACCCCCUUUACAUUCCAAAAAUAUCCUUUCUCAACCACUACAUUCCUAGGAUAUGCCGUACAAAUUGAACUCUUCCACGUGGUCACAUUUCUCACGCCUCCUGUUUUCCAACCUCGAGACUUCAUCUUCACGCCAAGUUGAUCAUCUAGCCUCGAGGCUCCAUCCACGAUCCGGAAUGAACGUCCAGCCUCGAGGCUCCUGCUUGUUAGAAGAACCGUCGUAUGAGACGAGGAUUGUAUCUUAGAGAUAAGAGUUGUUAUGGUUUGAGUUGGCCGGCUAGUAGAUAGAGAUAGAAUCUUGAUGUAUUUGAAUGCUGGCUAAACUUUAUCUAUAACAAGAUGCAUUGUAAUCUGUUGGGACUUUCCCCCUAUAUAAACGUGCAACCACGGCGAGCCAAGAUAGGGCAACCGUGUUCAACUCUUUUGACAUGGUAAUCAGAGCCCUUCUUCCAUAAAAUACAUCUACAUCUACACCACCUGGCGCACGCCACCUUGUUGCCUGGCACACGUCAUCACCUUGCAUGCAACAGUCAUGGUGUCAUCAUCGUCGUCGUCAGCCACUGCGCCCACGGCGUCGCAGCUUGGAGCUCCUGUAGCUGAAAAGCUUACAGGGGAGAAUUAUGUCUUAUGGAAGGCUCAAUUCUUGCCUGCUGUGCGGGCGCACAGCUCAUGGGAGUCCUCAAUGGAUCUGUCAAGGAGCCGGCUAAGACCAUGGAACUGGUGAAGGCUGACGGCAAGAAAGAAUUAGUCGCUAACCCGGAUUAUGAUCUAUGGGUGGUGAAGGAUUAACAACUGCUGAGUUAUCUGCUCAACUCCAUGACCAAAGAAGUGCUGGCACAAGUGGUGUCCGAAACAACUCUAUGGGUGGAGAAAGCAGUGCUUCGUUAUUUGCGAAGAUGUCAUGAAGAUGCUGUUGCGGCGGGUCAGGAACCUCCUUUUGGUGGUCGUUAUGCUCCACCGCCAUUCCCGGGUGUUUUAGGUCCACUUAUUAGUACUACUGUUGCAGGAGGUACAGAUAAACCACAUGAUGAGGCUGCCUCAGCGAAACCUUCAUCUUCGCCGCCCAAGGAUGCAUGAAGUCCUUCUAGAUAGUACUAAGUGGAUGGUUUGUCGUAGUGUAUCAUGUUGUUGUUGCUCUCAAAUUUAAAUUUGUGUAUUUCUACGUAAACUUUCAGCAACAUUUGAGUGUAAUCAAUUUUCACGCGUAAUCCAUUGUCAAGUGUAAUCCAUUUUCAUGCGUAAUACGAUGCAGAUGGACCGGCAAUGGAUGUAUAAUGCAGACAGGCGGAGCAAGGUGUUUAUUGAUGGCUUGUAUUAUUUUCUCGAAGUGGCCAAAGCGAACAAGCUAGAGAAUGGGUUCGUAUGUUGUCCAUGCUUCCAAUGCAAUAACAAGAAGGAGUAUUCAAAGGAUUCCUGGGGGACUAUUCACAGCCACUUGUUUAAAUACGGUUUCAUGCCUAACUAUUUGGUUUGGACCAAGCACGGUGAACUAGGGGUCGUAAUGGAAGAUGGCGAGGAGGAGGAGGAAGAUGACACCAUUUCGGACUGGGUUGCAGGCCAAGCUUUUGCAGGUACUACAAUGGGCGAGGCUGAUGAAGAUGGGUUUGCAGAAAAUGGCCCUACUGAUGACCUUGGUCAGGUGAUACGAGAUGCAUACAGAGAUUGCGAAACUGAGAAGGAAGCAGCAAAGUUGCAGCGCAUGAUAGAUGAUCACCAAAAAUUGUUGUACCCAAGUUGCCAGCAGGGCCAUAAAAAACUAGGUACGAUACUAGAAUUUGUGCAAUGGAAGGCAAAAAAUGGUGUGUCCGAUAAGGCAUUUCAGGGGACGUUGAACAUUGUCAAGAAGAUUCUCCCCGAGAAUAAUGAAUUACCGUGCACAACAUAUGAAGCUAAACAGAUUAUUUGCCCUCUCGGAUUGGAUGUUCAGAAGAUACACGCAUGCCCUAAUGACUGUAUCCUCUAUCGUGGUGAUGAAUAUGAGAAAUUGGAUGUUUGUCCCGUCUGCGAAGCCCUGCGGUAUAAGAUCAGGCGAGAUGAUCCUGGUGAUAUCGAGGGGCAGUCUCCCAAGAAGAGAGUUCUCGCGAAGGUGAUGUGGUAUUUCCCUAUAAUACCACGCUUGAAGCGCUUGUUCAGGAACAAGGCGAAUGCUAAGUUGAUGCGAUGGCACAAAGAAGACCGUAAGGAAGAUGAGAUGCUGAGACACCCCGCAGAUGGGGCACAACGGAGAUCAAUUGAUAGAGCAUUCCCGGACUUUGAAAGUGAAGCAAGGAACAUAAGGUUUGGUUUAAGUACUGAUGGAUUCAAUCCAUUCGGUGAGUUGAGUAGUGGCCAUAGUACUUGGCCUGUGACCCUUUGUAUGUUCAACCUUCCUCCUUGGCUGUGCAUGAAGUGGAAGUUCAUUAUGAUGCCGGCGCUUAUCCAAGUCCCAAAACAACCCGGCAACGACAUUGACGUGUACCUAAGACCGUUGGUUGAUGACCUUUUACAGCUCUGGAAGGAAGAAGGUGUACGUGUGUGGGAUGAGGAUAGACAAGAGAUCUUUAAUCUACGAGCAUUGUUGUUCGUAACCAUCAAUGAUUGGCCUGCAUUGAGUAACCUUUCAGGACAGACAAAUAAGGGAUAUCGGGCAUGCACCCACUGUUUAGACGACACAAACAACAUGUAUUUGAAGCAUUGUAAGAAGGUCAUCUAUAUGGGUCAUCGUUGAUUUCUCCCUGCUCACCACCAGCUGAGAAAGAGCGGGAUGCAUUUCAAAGGGGCGCCAGACCAUCGUAAAAAACCUGCACACCGUAAUGGAAAGCGUGUCUUCGAGAUGAUGAAGGAUGUAAAUGUAGUCUUUGGAAAGGGUCUUGGUAGCCAACCUGUUCCGAACGACGAUAACGGACAUGCACCCAUGUGGAAGAAAAAGUCAAUAUUUUGGGAGCUACCUUAUUGGGAAAUCCUAGAGGUUCGCAACGCAAUAGACGUGAUGCACCUGACGAAGAAUCUUUGCGUGAACGUGCUAGGCUUCAUGGGUGUUUAUGGGACCUCAAAAGAUACAUUGGAAGCACGACAGGACCUGAAAGCCAUGGGGCAACGAGAUGACCUACAUCCGGAAAAGAGAGAUAAUGGACAUCACUACUUACGUCCUGCCAGUUACACUCUCAGCAAGGAAGAGAAGGAUAGCAUGUUUGAAUGCUUGAAUAGUAUGAAGGUCCCGUUUGGGUACUCCUCGAAUAUAAAAGGAAUAAUAAAUAUGAAACAAAAGAAGUUUACAAAUCUCAAGGCUCAUGACUGCCACAUGUUGAUGACCCAGUUGCUUCCAGUUGCACUGAGGGGUGUUCUACCAGAAAAUGUCCGGUUGCCGCUCGUAAAGCUAUGCGCGUUUCUCAAUGCGAUUUCGCAAAAGGCAAUCGAUCCAUCCAAGCUAUCAAAGCUACAGAACGAUGUGGUGCAAUGUCUUGUCAGUUUUGAGUUGUUAUUUCCACCAUCCUUCUUCAAUAUUAUGACGCACUUACUGGUUCACCUAGUUAAAGAGAUUGGUAUUCUCGGACCUGUAUACCUGCACAAUAUGUGGCCUUUCGAGAGGUUCAUGGCAGUCCUAAAAAACUAUGUUCUUAAUCGUGCCUGUCCAGAAGGAAGCAUUGUCAAGGGAUAUGGAAUAGAGGAGGUGAUCGAGUUUUGUGUUGAUUUUAUUGAUUCAAUUGACUCGAUUGGGGUUCCAACUUCACGCCAUGAGGGGAGGCUUCGAGGAAUGGGCACCCUUGGAAGGAAAUCAAGUUUGAGCAAUGAUACUGAUUUGUUCGACAAGGCACACUACACUGUUCUACAACAGUCAUCCUUCGUGUCUCCGUAUAUCGAGCAGCACAGGCAGAUGGUAGUUUCCAAAAACCCGACCAAAUCCGAUGCUUGGCUUACCCGUCAUCACAUGGAAACUUUUCCCUCCUGGUUGCGCCAACAACUUAUGGGUAACUCUGAGAUUCACCCACAGCUUGCCUGGUUAGCCAGGGGACCUGCUAGCACAAUCGUGAAAUUCCAAGGCUAUGAGAUAAAUGGUUAUACAUUUUACACGAGAGCCCAGGACCAGAAAAGCACGAACCAGAAUAGUGGUGUCCGCAUAGAUGCCAUGGACAGAAAUAAUAGCAAGGAGUCGUAUUAUGGUUUCAUACAGGAGAUAUGGAAACUCGAAUACGGACCGCUGUACAUCCCUAUAUUUCUUUGCAAUUGGGUGAAGCUAACUGCCGUAACCAAAGAUCAGUACGGAAUGACAAUAGUAGAUCUGAGCAAGACUGGAUACAGUGAUGACCCAUUCGUACUUGCCAAUGAUGUGCAUCAGGUGUUCUAUGUGAAGGACAUGUGUAGCAAACCCAAGAGAAAUCCAGAAGAGACAUGGGAGCCAAAGUGCCACAUAGUUCUUCUAGGUAAAAGAAAAAUCGUGGGAGUCGAGGAUAAAACAGACCAAUCAGAUGAUUAUGAUCAGUUUGAUGGCAUGCCUCCAUUCGCCGUUGAAGUUGAUCCAAGCAUCCUGCUAUCUAAAGAAGAGGCUCCGUACUUACGCCGCGAUCAUGAUCAAGGAACUUUCGUGAAGAAGAAAUUUUACAACGUUGUAUUGUAAUGCGCUAAAUUUACAUGACCUUUGUGUAUUAAUUGAUACAAUUUUUAAUUUACCCUAUGUAUGAUUUCAUGUGUUCUUAAAUUUGUUAGGUGAAGAUUUUUUAGAUAAACAUGAACAAUGUUAACCACACACAUACAUGGAUUUUUCUGCGCAUUGAAAUUAUUUAAUUGAAUAAUUCUUGAUCACAGCGAUGCAGUAAAAUAAAUAUUUUAGAGGCUAAAUGAACUGGUAUAGAAUUAAUGACUAAAUCACACUUAUAGUCAAUUUACUCGCUAAUUAAAUAUAUUUUUGCAUGUACAAAAAUAUGUGAAGGUUUUUGUUUUUCAUCCUGAAAUGCAGUGAAAAGAUAAAUAAAAUCCAUUUCCAAAAAACUUGCGGGAGAAGAAAACUAGGAAAAAGACCUUUUGUCCCGGGUGCCAACAGCAACCGCGACAAAAGGCGUCCCUUUUAUCCCGGCUGCAAACUGCAACCGGGAUAAAAGGGUAUUUUUCGACUCCCGCCUGGACGUACCCUUUUAUCCCGGUUGCCAACUGCAACCGGGAUAAAAGGUCCCCCCCUUUUAUCCCGGUUGGUGGUGGGAUCCGGGAUAAAAGGGUAGGCUCCCAGGCCAUCCUGGCGGACGCACCCUUUUGUCCCGGGUGCCAUUACGAACCGGGAUAAAAGGGGGGGGGGUUAAAUGGCACUGUAGCCCCUUCUACCCCCCACGCCAGUUACACUUAGCAAAAUUUUCGCCAAGUCUGCGCGCGCUCUGCUCCAUCGCCGCCCGUCCGCCUCCCUCGCCGGCCGCCGCCGCCGUCGUCCCCCAUUGCCCCGGCUAUCGUCGUCCCGCCGCCGACCGCGCCCAGACAUCCUCCUCCUCCAUCGCCCCGGCCGGCCUGCCUCGAUCCUCCUCCGUCGCGCCCGACCCCUACCUCGUCGCAGCCGGCCACCAGCUCCAUCGCGGGCCUCGUCGCCGCCUCCAUCCUCGUCACCGCCUCGUCGCCCCGGGUCGCCGCCUCGUCGCCCUUCGUCGCCCCUCGUCGCCGCCUCAUCACCGUCCCGCCUCCGCCAUCCCGCCGUCCCGCGCGCCUUCGCUCCGUUGUCGCCUCCGCCGUCCCGCCGCCCCGGCCGUUACCGUCCCGCUGCCCCGGCCGCCGCCGUCCCGCCGCCCCGGCCACCUCGUCGCCCCGGCCACCGUCGACCGCGCGCGAGAGGUCCGCCGCGCCGGCCGGCACUGGCGCCGGGAGUACCGCCUUGCUGACGCAAGCCCACCGGCUUGCGUCAGCAAGGGCCUUUUUUUUAAGUUAGAAAAUAAAUAGGUAGUAAUUAGGUAGAAAUUCAAUAGAUUUCUGUAUAUGUGUUAGAAAAUCAAAAUAGUGUAAAUUAGUAGUAAUUAGUAGUAAUUAGGUUCAUCGCUCCGCCUAGGUUAGAAAUGAAUCGUGUUUCGUCGUGGUUCCGUCCCCGUCUCCGCCGUCCCGCCGCCCUGACCGCCAUCGUCCCAACCUAGGCACCGUCCGUGGUUCCGUCCCCGCCUCCGCCCUUCAGCCUCCGUCGCAAAUUCAUGUUAUUGCUAGAAAUUCCAAUAAAUAUGGACAAAUUAGUAGAAAUUUGGUAGAAAUUAAUCAUUGCUAAGGCCACCUCACUCCGUCCUUGCCUCCUUUGUUCCGCCGCCCCGGCCUCUGCAAAUUCAUGUUAUUGCUAGAAAAUCGUAAAAAUUCAUGUUAUUGCUAGAAAAUCGUAAAAAUUCAUGUUAUUGCUAGAAAUUCGUAAAAAUUCAUGUUAUUGCUAGAAACUCGUACAAAAUUCAUGUUAUUGCUAGAAAUUCGUAAAAAUUCAUGUUAUUGCUAGAAAUUCGUAAAAAUUCAUGUUAUUGCUAGAAAUUCGUACGAAUUCAUGUUAUUGCUAGAAAUUUGUCACAAAGUACUACUAAUUUGUAGAAAUUUGUAUAAAUAUUCCGAACUUUGUGGGAUUCAUGUUAUUUUAUGAUUUCAUGUAUAUACCCGUAUGUACAUAUAACUAAGGCGAUUUCUAUGACUGUCAUGUAUGAUUCCAUGUAUGUUUCAAUCAAUAGUUGAAAUGGCAGACGAUGAGACCGCAAGGUAUAUCAUGGAGCAGAUAAUCGCUGGUGAUGGUAGUGGCGACAACCUUUUACUAUCGUACAUGGAUAAAGAGGGCACCCAGGCGGACAUGUUCCUCAACAUGUUCGCUGAUGGGAAUGAAGAGCAAGAGCCCCAGCAACACCUUGCCGUGCCGGAAGGUUCCGGCGAGGUAUAUAUAAUGAUUCUUGUAUUGUUUCACACCACCGUUACUACUACGUACUAAUUAACGAAUCUUGAACUGUUAGCCCUCUGGAUCGACGCAAGGGCAGAAGACCCGAGGUCAUACAAAGGUGAUGGAAGGGAGGCUUGUCAUCACGGAAGUGACAGAAGAGGGCAGGUCGGUUUCUCCCGAGAAAGUAGCAAAGAAGUACGUGAGUCAGAUCGGGGCAAUCAUCCGGGACAACGUGCCUAUCAGCAUCAGAGAAUGGAAGGGCAGAAGCACUAAUCCGUACGUCCUCCCGGAGACAGAAAAGAAUAUGCUGUGGGAAGACGUCAAGAGACAUUUCACAUUCCCUGAAGGAUAUAUUGAGAAGGAUGUGAAAGCGUGGACGCUUAAGAAGAUGGCUACACAAUUCCAGACAUUCAAGAAGAUGCUGGAUACCCACUACAUUAAGAAGGGUCGAACUCCAGACUUCAACGCGUGGCCAAAGUUGAGGGACCACUGGGAUGCAUUUGUUGAAUAUAAGAGGAGUGAAGACGGUGUGAAAAAGAUCAUGACCAACACAACAAAUGCUAGUCAGAAGGGCUACCAUCAUCAUCUGGGGUGAGGUGGGUAUGGCUCAGCAAUUCCCAAGUGGAGGAAGAUGGAACAAGAUCUGAUCGAACGGGGAAUCGUACCGGCAACUAUUGAAUGGCCCGAACAAUCAAAAAAUUGGUACUACGCUCAUGGAGGCUCCUUGAGCCAAGAGGAUGGGACGUUGAUUUUCAAUGACACAAUACGUGAGAAGGCCGAACAUCUUGUGAAGAACAUUGAAGAUUCUAAGGCUGGGAGGUUGAAGGUGGACCGAGAAAAUAAUGAGCUCACAUUGGCCCUCGGUAAUCCGGAGCACCUAGGAUGUUGCCGGGGGUUCGGGGUCGUUCCGUGGAAGUUUGCUUUCCGAGGCGACAGCGCCUCGUACAGAAGCCGGAAGCGAAGAAAGGAACAGAUCGAGGAGAGCUAGCGGCAGAUGCUAGAAUCUAAAGUGCACGCACAAGAACAAAGAAUGAUGGAGGAAAUCUAUCGUCGAGUGGCCCACGCAGUUGCGGAGUUGGCCCAAUCUGGAGCAUUGCCGAAUCCUAACACCGCCAGCCCUUCUCAACGCCUCUUGAGCAGAUGUGCUUCUACAGGUGUCCCCGAUGCGCAGACGCCCAGGUUACCCGUGGAGGAGCAACGGUUCCCCGUGGAUGCCAUCAUGCAACGGACCUCAUGUGAGCUGCAUGCACCGGUCGGCAACCUCACUAUUAAGGUAUACUAGCUUAUACAUAAUAUUUAUGCAAUCUUGUCAAUUGAUCCACGCCUCGAGAUCGGAGUUCAACUUGUUUACUUCUGCUAUAUGUACAGGUAGCGUACGAGAGUGCGUUAGCAACGCUGGCGGGGCAGAGCAGUCAUGGCAUGGAGAUUCCACUUGGCUACGCCAGCGUCCGCGUAGAGCAAAUAGUUGAUAGCCAAUAUGAAGGUCUAGAGCUCGACCUCCCGGGAGGCGACGGGGAAAAGACACUGGAAGAUGCGCUUCAUGGGAUCAUUCUAUGGCGAAAACGCUACAUCAUUAUUCCCGGCACGGAGCCAUCUCCUCAGAGCUCAAGACCGCUCCCCGUAGAUCCCCAGCAGCGGCCUUCUCCUUAUAGCUCGAGACCGUCAUCUCCUGCACAACCUGCACCAGGACCGUCCCUUCCAUCUAUAUCAAGGUCUCCAUCUCCACCACAUCCUGGUGGUGGGAGCGACGACGACAAUAACAACACCCCUCCCCGAUCACCGUCGCCGGCACCAAGAGCGGCCCCCAUGAAGGAACCUGCACCACCACUAAAGAAGUCACGAGCACCGCCUCCCAAGCAAAGACAGAGAAAGAAGAAAACAAGGGAGCCUGAAGUGACUCGUAAGGAACGCUGGGAGGCAAUGUCUCAUGCGGAACAGUGGGCAGAAAUCCAACGAGAGGCCAGUGAGUGGUUCAAGAAACAAGCCGAAGAAAAAAAAGCAAGGGAGAUGGAGCCACCGCCAGUAAAUCGAAAAGAUUUAAACUUUCUUAUCAGGAUGGAAGAAGGAGCCAAUAAAAGGAUACCACUCUUAUCAAACUAUGAACGGGCUUUAGUAAAGGCUGAUGAAAAGGAUAAAAGGAAAGGAAAGUCAUCUUCCAGCAGUGCUGUCCCCGACCUCAGCCAUUUAUCAAAAAAAGACGCUCAACGGGUAAAAGCAAUGCCCUUGCAUCAACAAGCAGAAGUAUUGAAGAUCAUGCAAGAAACAGGUCUGGGACUUGAUGAAUGCCUAGGGCAAGUUGAGAUGCCAACUGCACCGCCCCCUGAGCCGAGAUGGCCUUAUGAGCUAGGCAAACCUCUAGUAAAGCCUUCAUUGGUACGGAAGCUAUCAACAAAGAUGUACGCAUUCCAUCAAUGGUACAUGAUGGUAUCCGCCGACUCGAGGGAGAUGCUCGGCCUGAAGGUAAAACCGAUAGAUUUUCACGGCGAAGGCGAGAAAGUGCUGUGGCUAGACUUCAAGGAUAUAUACGAAGUGUACCAUCAUGAUGCCCUGGACGUCUCUCUGAUCAGCGCUUGGGUUCUGUAAGUGUCCGUUUAUCUCUACAUGUAAAUUUUGGCGUGCGUCACCGUACUAACUUCGUCUUCCAUUUCAUGUAGGAUGCUAAUUCAGACAUGCUGCCGAGAGGCGUACCUACAUAUAGGCUUCAUGGAUCCAUCUGUAGUUAACCAACAACAGAUAUAAUUAGCGCCGAAAAAACCUUGGUGGAAGUAUACAAUUUCCUAGACAAACAAACAUUCAAGGAUUUCAUACUACUUCCAUACAACUUCAAGUAAGUGUGUGUAUACCGUCUACUUUCGAUGUCUUUUUCCUUAUCUCUACAUGUUAGUUAGCUCUAAUAUGCAUGAACAUUUUACGCACGCAGCUUCCACUAGAUCCUUAUUAUAAUUGAGCCUAAAAGAAGCCACGUCACUGUCUUCAAUUCGUUGAGGAAAGAUCUGGUGGAGUACCAAGAAAUGCAAGACAUGCUAGGCUUGUAAUAAUUCUGGACCUUUAUCUCUAUGCAAAAGUUUGUUUUCUAAAUUUUAUCCCUGUUACACUAUAUCAUUCAUUAUUCUAAUCCGCAGCGCAUGGAAACAAUUCAUAAGGACACACAAAGGUUCAUUCAAAGAAAAACUUAUAUGGAACACAGACUUCCCGGUACGUAUGAAGUCUGCACAUUUAUUACAUUGUAUAACAAGAAUAUUUCAUAACUUAUUUUUUUCCGCACUGAAGUGCUUAAGACAGGAACCCGGGAAUAAUCUAUGUGGCUACUACAUCUGUGAGCACAUGCACAGUUUUAUGGGACCCAAGGGACUAAAGAUGACGCCGCACAACUUUAAAGUAUGUAAAAUAAAACUAUUACUAGUUAAUUAUUUUCUAGCUCCUUAUAUGUAUUUGUUCGUGUAACAUUCACAAAUUUCCAAAUUAUAGAUGUUAAAUAUUCAACAAGGACUCUUGAAGGAAGAAAGAGUAGCGGCAAUAUGUGAAGGUCUCAUUGGAUUCCUAAUGGACGAGGUGGUAGAUCCAAAAGGAGAAUUUUAUUACGAUGGACGACAAUUAGACACUCCGAUCAGCAACACCUUGACGGGAAGAUUGUAGAUAGAUACUUUGAUUUAUUUGUAUAUAUAAUACGCGCUAAUUAUGAUCGAUUUGUACUAGUUGAAUUGUGUAUCAGAAUUGUGUAUAUAUAUAGUAAUUGUAUAAUUACAAAUCCCAUUCGUUUAAAUACUAGUUGAUUUCAUUCUAAAAAAAUCUCAACUACUAAAGGUUAACAAAAGGGCUGCGGUACUACGUACGUGAUGCAUGCAUGAAAAAUUCAGGCGCCAGGCAGUGCCAUGCAGGGCGCCAUUUAGUCCCGGUUGGACCGGGACUAAAGGGCCUAUCCCGCGCCUGGCGUGGCAGGCCCUUUAGUCCCGGUUGGUGACACCAACCGGGAUUAAAGGGGGACCUUUACUCCCGGUUAAAAGACCCGGGACUAAAGACCCCCCCCUUUUGUCCCGUUUGGUUUAUCCCGGAUGGAUUUUCGGGAGAUAUGCACCCUACCAACCGGGACUAAAGGCCAAUUCUCUACCAGUGACGAGUGCACGAUCAGACAUCCUGCAUUGUUAAGUCUUCGAUGAUACGGCUGCCUUGCUUCCUCAGCUUGUCAGCAACUGCUUCCUGACUGCUACAGUACAAUUAUUGCAUGGUAUCAAGGUAAUAUAUAUAGUGACUGAAUGAGCACAUAUAACAUAUGCAUUUAGGCCUCCAACUGGUCAUUGCACGAGCUGCCUCCUCUCCUUACCUCUGAAUUAUGGAGCCAUAUCCAACAACAACCUUGACAGUGAUGAUGAUGACGGCGAUGAUGAAAUUAAGAAAAGAAGCUUUAUGCAAAUUGCAAAAAGCUGAAAUAAGUGGUUGAAACAUUUCAAAUCACCAAAUGCCACAUUUGAAAUGACUAGAUGAAACAUCACGAAAUCAAUUGCAACAGUUGAAGAUGAAACAUUCAAACGCCUUGCCUUUCUCCAGAUUUGACCCUCCAAGCAUAUAUGAGUCCAGCCAUUUGCACAUUAGACCCUUGGGAGGAGCUCACCGGAGAACAACAAGACCGUGUUCUCCAACAAUUUUCCGAUCAAAUUGCAACAUAAAAAACAAAGCAUUGCAACACAUCUGGCAUCGCGAGCUACAACAUCAACCAGUUAGGAUCAGGAGAAAGAGGGCAAACCCAAGCCUAGCAAUGAGUUAUAUCCAGUUUAAACGAGGAUAAAAAUGAGUGUAUUUUCCACUCAUCAUGUUGUCUUUUCGCAGCUGUACCGCCUUUAGUGUGUUGUAUUGUUCCCCUAACACCAAGUCUCCGAGGCCCGAGAAAAUAAGGAAAGUGAUAGCAGCCUAGAAAUCGACCAAGUUUCUUUCCCCCUUUGGCAUUCCUACUAGGAUUCGGAAUACUCUUUCGCAUGACAAUCAUAAUUAUCUCCCAUAAUCCAAAACUCACAAAAACAUCAAAAAUCCGCCGAGAAUAAAUUAAGUAAAAAACAUGCACAAACAGAUAAUAAUAAUAAUCAUGUUUCAAUAAACUUGCUAAGGCCAGAGACAAUACAUAAACAUAUUAGACUGUUCAUGACACAUAUCACGGUGGACAGUGUCUGUGUCCUUAUUACAAGCAGCGAGAGGAAUUAAAUAUGCUUGUCACCACACACACGCGCCCACAGAUGCACGACACACAUAUAGUUGAGACCAACAGAUGGACCUCGACUAGAGGUCGCCCCAUAUGGUGAACAAUUUAUUGGAGAUAAACAUGAACAUAACUUGGCCAUAGCUUGAAGCAUAGCAACAUAUGCCUAUGAAUGGCAUUCAUGCUGGUAGCAAUGCAAUCAUAUCGUUUUAGGCUUGUCCAGCUUCUUCCAUCUUAGCAAGCACUGCCAUUUCUUCCAUCUUAGCAGCAACUGUCAAAUUGAGAUAUGGAAAUCCCAUUAGCGCAUGAGUUAAUUUUGCAGUGGAAAUAGAGUACAAGAUGUCUGCAUGAUGUAAGUAAUAUGCCUGAAGUUGUGAGAUGAGAAGUGAAGUCAACAAAUUACAUUAACGGAAAUGCAUGGAAGGCCACACAUACGUAUUAGUCCACGAUAUGCUACAAAGCUUGUAUGUACAUAUAACAAAUUAAAUGCAUUGAAUAGAGUGAGUUUACUAAAUUUACCAGAAUCGGACAGAACACAUGGGAAACAGCAAGUGUUCUUGCAGAGUGAGUCGGAGCCACCUGCAGUAAUACAAGCAAAACAACAUGCUUUUGCCCGGGCGGAUACGCAGCAGCUGCACUGUGCCGCGGUGGCCGGGUUAACAUUGAGGCUCAAGAUGACCAGGCACAUGAUCACCAUCAAAGCGGUAGUCCUCUUUCCCUCCAUUGCCUCCUCUUGCUGCUACCUUCCUUGGUUACCUAGCUAAGUUUAUUGGUUUUGUGUUGAGAGGUGAUUCUUGAAUGGACGUUGCCGGCUGCAAUUUAUAGGCAGCUGCGCUAUGUGAUGAUAUGGACAAGGUGCAAAUGGGUGGUCCAAUGGCAAGGAAAGGGGGUAUUCUGCUUGACAUUCGCAUCAGACAAAGCCCAAUGGCAACUGCUGACACGCGAUUAAAAUCAGAUCCACAUCUUAUCCAGCCAUUCACUAAUAAUUAAAGUAAACCCACGCGGUCCGCGAGAUGCAGCGUCCAUGCAUAGCACUUCCCGCCAAACAAUAGGAAAAAUUAGAAUUCAGAGAUAGCAGCUGCUUGCAUGAAACACGGUUGCACAGAAAUCAGUGGUGCUUGGACGGUAAGUAGUGUGGUGUACAAGCUUAAAGCGGCAGUGAGUCACGUUGGUGUAACAAGCAGUACAUCAGCUGGAAGAUUGAUAUGUCUAUUGCCCACGCAGCAUAGCAUUUUAUUAUGAUACAUUGAGUUAUGUCAUAUUGUUACUUUAAGUUAUUUUUUAAGUAUUAGUUGUAGACAAUUUAGUUGCAAAUUUAAGCGGUUAUUUUAAAUUAUUUUUUAUAAUGGCAUAAGUGGGUAAUUUAGAUGAAGAUUAGGGGGUUACUUUAGCUUAUUUUAUAUAAUAGCAGAGGUGGGUAAUUUAGAUAUAAAUUUAGGGUUACUUUAGGCUACUUUCUUAAUGGCAUAGGUGGGUAACUUUUUUAGAAAUUAUAAUAGAUCCAAUGGCUACGAUGUUUGAGUCUACUCGUUGAUGGCAAGAUGUUUUGCUUGUUUGUGGAAAUUUUAAAUAUGUCUCUUUUUUGUAGAGUGUCCACCUAGGAUCCUAGGUGGCUUCGCUUGGAGGCUUCAAAAGGAGCUCCAAAAUUAGUAAUAGUAUGAUUUUCUCAAAAGAGACUUAAUUCUACCACUAUAACUUGAUUGGCCGCCCCGGCCUCUACCUUUUGCCUCCAUUUGACUAUUUGAGUUGGCUGUGAACGAUUCUCGGCGCUAGCAACGUUACGUUUGAUCCAAAUGCCAGCACUCAUGUGCGCCACCUGUAUUCUAUGGGAAUGCCAUGAUGCAUGUGCAGUAACAGCGCGCACAUCUUGCAGGAUUCGCGCCUCGUUUUCACUAUUGUGUCAUCUUAGCAAUUAGGAGCGAAGUGUGCUUUGGGGUGGCAAUUAGGAUAUAGACAUUAUUCUCGAAGAGAAUCUUGAAGGCUUACAUUCACCCCCUCCGGUCGCCGGUUCCGAUCCUUCACCUAUAAAUUAGGAGUAGUAGUAGGUAGUAAGUGGCAGGUUAGGUAAGUACCCGUUGAUGAAUGUUGGCUUGGCGUGAUCGGCUCUGCUGGUUCCACGAAGAUGCCAAUAUACAGCAAGGACCUAAGUCCAAAGGGAAAAACAACCAACAAGUGGGUUUGUUGCCGACCGCUAGCUAAUCAACAGUGACGUACGGGUGGAUUCGUACGUAAAUAUUUUUUCAAUCAUGCCAUCAGGCCGCUGAUAAAAUGAGCUUAUGGUUGGCUAACCUUUAAAAUAUUCUUAGAGCUGUUGGCCAUUGUGAUAACUUUGCACGUGCAUCAUGAAGAUGCCAACAUACAAUAAGGACAUAAGACCAAAGGAAAGAACAACCAACAAGUGCCUCUGCUGAUCGGUCAGGUCUCAGAGUUUGAGAAACUGGAUCUGACGGAUGUGAAAUUAAUCCAUGCGUGGCGUCAUGCAAAUUUGUUCACAGGUUUGAACAGCAUGUAAUCUUUUUCAGGCAUCUAUAUGGAGCGUGGGUGUGUUAUGUUAUCUUCUACUACACAUAUAACAUCAAAUUCAUUCAGUUUGGCCGAGAGCCCAAAAUGCAACGAAUAUGCCAUCCAACGUGAAAAAAAAAGAUGAGGAACAGUAUACUCUAUCUUCGAAAUUAGUCAACGAGAUGCAGCUUCAAAAGAGAUAAGAGCAGACAAGAGGCACCAUGGGAUGCUGCAAAAUUUGGGAUCACGUGUGAGGAUCCCUAAUUAGGAAAAAAGAAUAAUUGAGCUAGCAACAAUAGUAGGACAUCUCCAUGCUCACCUUGUAUAGUAGCCACUGCUAGUGCGCGUGGAACACGACUGCCGGCCCAGUUGGCGCUAAGACAUCGUACGUGCAUUAAGUCUGAGGUGCUAGGACAGCUUCCUCUUGCUUCCCCACCAUAUCAUGAGCAACGAUCUCUUUCUUUCUAACUCAUGCUUGACUGUGACGGUGCUAUUAUAUAUUAUUGCAUGAUCAUCAAGAUAAGAUCGUAUAGUGACUGAGUGAGACAUCUAUGUACUAACUUGCAUUUAAGCCUCGAACUGUGUGUCAUUACGUGAGCUGCCUCCUGUCCUCGCCUCUGAAUUAUUGAACCGUUCCCAACAGCUAGUGUUGGUCUCAAAGGAAUUUGACACCAAACAGAUUGAUAAAGAAAAGAGAAUAAUACUUGGAAUUGGAAAAAGUUGAUCUCUCUAUACAAUGAGGUAGGGCUCCCCUUUUAUAGUGACCCAUCAGCCACUUUACAUUCCGAAAAUAUCCUUCCUCAACCACUACAUUCUUAGGAUAUGCCAUACAUAAAUGUCAUUUGAGGUGACGUGUACAAAUUGAACUCUUCCACGUGGUCACGUUUCUCACGCCUCUUGUUUUCCAACCUCGAGACUUCAUCUCAGAGGUGUCCCCAUAGAACGUGCGAGGUUAAUGAGUUCAGUUUCUUUUACUGCCGACGCAUAACAUGCGAGGAUGAACGAAUAUGAGGAACACUAAAUGCCAUCCAACGGGAAAAGAAAAGAUGAGGAACAGUAUACUCUAUCUUCGAAAUUAGUUAUAAAGAUUCAGCUUCAAAAGAGAUAACGAGGCGUCCAAGACUCGAGUAGCCAGUCAAGAGCAGACAAGAGGCACAUGAGUGCAUGCAUCCACACCUUGGGAUGCUGCAAACUUUUAUGAGGCUGCAAGCUGCAUACAUAAGUUUAUUUCACCUUUGUUCACAAUACUCUUCACACACCAUUCACACACGUCUCAGGGAGCUCUGCAGCAAUGGUGGAGAUCUUAGCUAGACUGCUCACUUCCCUUGUUGUCGCUAUUGCCAAAAACACAAGCUCACCUCUGCUAUUGCGAAGCAGGCCAAUUUGCUGUGGAACUUUGGCGACGACCUGAAGGACAUGAACUCGGUGCUGGAGUCCAUCUCAGCAGCGCUCCAGGACGCUGACACUGCUAGAAAAACGACCUUUCAUCCUCAACAAAAGUCCCGGUAGCUUUUUUACCCGGAACUAAAGAGGUUUUAGUCCUGCGCAAACACCUUUAGUCCGGGUUGCUGUUACCAACCAAGAGUAAAGGGUACGAUGGCACCAACCGGGACUAAAGCACCCCCCACGAGUUACUAUAAAGGAUUGCAUCCUCCACUUAGUCAGAUUUACUGUGUAGGUGAGAUGGUAAGGAAGCUAUGCGUGAGGCUUGAGAUCAUUGGUUCGAAUCCCACGCACCGCGCGCGCACGCGCAUAGUUUGAGUGAAAAAUCAUGUCACUUGUGAUCGGCCAAGGAGAAGUGGGUGCAGAUGUGGCUUAAGCGGCUGAGGCACGCCGCCAUAGACAUCUCGGAUUUGCUCGAAGACUACAAAGACACUAGCGAACCCUUAACAGCAAAGGUGAGUACUUAUGCAUGUCAACAUCUAUGUUGUCCAUGCUUCCAAUGCAAUAAGAAGGACUACUCUUCCUAGCGGACUCUUCACAACCACUUGUAAAGCUAUGUGUUUCUCAAUGCAAUUUCGUAGAAGGCAAUGGAUCCAACCAACCGACUAAAUCAUUCGUCCUUGCCAAUGAUGUGCUUCAGGUUUUCUAUAUGAAGGACAUGUGACUACUAGAAAAACGAUCUUUCAUCCCUAGCCUUAGUACCGGUUGCAUUUGGAACCGGUACUAAUGUAAACUGUCCGGAGCGCACCUCGAUGACCCCUUUAGUACCGGUUGGGGGCAACAACCGGUACUAAAGGGUGAGCAUUAGUACCGGUUGUUACCUUAAUCCGGUACUAAAGGGCUACCCACCCUCUAUUACCGGUUGGUGGCAUCAACCGGUACUAAAAGGGAUACCCUCUAGCACCGGUUGCUGCCACAACCCGGUACUAGUGCGGCGCCAUGCGGAAUAGAAGGUAGAUCGAUUGUACAUGGAGGGGGAACAAAGGGAGAAAGGCAAAUCAUCAGCUUAUUAUCACAUGGUAGACUAGUCUUUAAAACAUGUUUAGGGAAGAGCACAUUACGUUUAUCUUGUUUUGCACAACAACAAAUGUGACCUUUAGAAGAUAGCCCUCCUCUAAUUAAACUAGUGCACUAUUACAGGAUGGUAUCGCACGCUUCCUUUUUCCCUAUGAAAAUGAAGUUUUUAAUGAUCUGAUAGCAGCUAGCAAAACAAAUGAUUGCAAAGAUGUUUGCAGAUGAUAAUGAUACUUAUGACCACUCUGAUGAUGAAGAGAUAGAGGAACAUUUGGUCCGUCAACGUAUUUCAAAUUAACACGUCAAAUCGCACUCAAGACCUCUCACCAACUCCUCCACCAGUUUCCAAAGGCAAAUCAACUUAUUAUCGCAUGCAUGGUAGUGUCUUUGAAACAUGUUUAGGGCACAACACAUUACGUUUAUCAUCUUUUGCACAACAUUAAAUGGACCUUUGGAAGAUAGCCCUCCUCUAAACUUGUGAUGCAUUGUAAUGAUAUGUCAUGUAUAUAUGUCUCACUUGUAUCAUAGCUGUUAAAGUACCACGUCAAAUUGCACUUGCGGUGAGAUCUCUCUGACCAAGUCCUCCACCACUUUCCAAGGCAAAUCAGACAAACUCCUUGUUAUAUUCCACAUAUUGGUUUCAUCCUUAUAUAGAUGUCCAUUUAUACUCCUUUGUUUGUCUACUCAACUUAUCACAUUGUCGUAGUGUCUUUGAAACAUGUUUAGGGAAAGUCCAUAGUGGAGGGUAGUAAAUGUCAAAGGGAGUUUGUAAGGAUAAGACAACACAAAUUUUGUAAGGGUAUUCUAAAGCAUUUGAUUCUAAACUAUCCGCGAGACCUCUCACCAACUCCUCCACCACAUUCCAAGAUAAUAUACCAUCAAAUUCCUUGUAGGAGUUUGGAUGUUGGACCAACGGGAAGUUGACGAAAGAGUGGGACAAAAAUGUGACUCGAUCAUGUCAUUGUGGGCAAAGGUCCUGGUAGCUCAUGGAACAGAUCAUUUGAAGUACACAGGAUAGGGAGGCAAUAGUCGGCACAAGGAGAGGCAUGACCAGAAGCUUGAAAGAAGUAAACUUCAAAGCUAGGAGGAAUGAUAUUCUUGCUGGUUCAAUGUGUCUUCUUAUAGAUCAGUUCAUAGAUCUUAUGUAUUUGGCUGUGAUGAAAGCUAUGGAGCCCUCCCAGCCCCUUCGAGUUGAUGCUAAGCCCAAUCUAAACUGCACAUGGAAUGUGAAAACUCUUUCUGCAAUGAGCCAAGCUAUCAAUCCAUCCCUGUGAGGCAACAUCUCGAUUCUGUGGCUACUGACUGAGGUAUUUGGCAUAGAGUAGACCAAUGGUGCAUUGUGAAUAAGCUUAUUAGAAUGUGAAUAAGUCAUAAUUCUUGCUCGUCCUCCAUUUGUUCGCUCUCUGUUCUUUUGUUUACAAGGGACUCGGUUGAUCCGCGGGACCUCUCACCAACUCCUUCACCACUUUCCAAGGCAAAUCAGCUUAUCACAUGUGGUAGUAUCUUUGAAACAUGUUUAGGGCACAAGAGGAAGGCAUAGUGCUGGAAAAACGGUUAAUGGGGUGGCGGACGGCGGGAUGCUUUGCAUUCUCGUACGAAGGAAGCUCCAUCAACUAGAUUGGCGGUCAAGUUGCAUGAAGCAGAUGCCACAGUCGACGGAGAGAGCAUCUGGGUCUAACCAUAAUAACACAAGUCUUUCCUUUAGAUAACAUGCCAUCAGAUUCCUUGCAAGAGUUUGUAUGUUCGACCAACAGGAAGUUGACGAAAGAGUGGGACAAAAAUGUGACUCGAUCAUGUCAUUGUGGGCAAAGGUCCUAGUAGCUCAUGGAAUAGAUGAUAUCAUUUGAAGUACAUAGGACAGAGAGGCCAUAGUCGGCACAAGGAGAAGCAUGACCAGAAACUUGAAAGAGGUAAGCUUCAAAGCUAGGAGGAAUGUUAUUCUUGCUAGUUCAACGGUGUCUUCUUAUAGAUCAGUUCAUAGAUCUUAUAUAUUUGGCCGUGAUGACAGCUAUGGAUCCCUCCCAGCCCCUUUGAGCCGAUGCCAAGCCCAAUCUGAACUGCACAUGGAACGUGAAAACUCUUUCUGCAAUGAGCCAAGCUAUCAAUAUCCAUCCCUGUGAGCAAACAUCUUGAUUCUGUGGCUACUAACUGAGGUAUUUGUCGUAGUGUCUUUGAAACAAGUCAAACACCUUACCAGGGAUCAAGCUCCACGAGAACGAGAGCUACUUUCAGUUCCAGGAUAUUAAUCAACAAGUCAAACACCUUCCCAGGGGAUCAAGCUCCAUGAGAACGAGAGCUACUUUCAGUUCCAAGAUAUUAAUCAACAAGUCAAACACCUAACCAGGGGAUCAAGCUCCACGAGAACGAGAGCUACUUUCAGUUCUAGGAUAUAGGCAUAGCUGUGAGGGGGGCCACAACGCCCCUUUAUAUAAGGGCUACUGGUUUUGCCCUUGCCUUGUGAAGUUGUGCCACAUAACUCCCAAAAUCCCUCAAGAAAGAUAACACCACAAACAGGAAGCCAAGUAGCUAUGGAACCUGUGACAGAUAUAGCUUCCUCAUUAUGUGACUCAUGUCAUUGUGGGUGCGGGGUGACCUUGAUCUACAACUUUGUAGUUGAAAUAUUUUUCAUUUGGUGUCAUCUUGGUGCUCAAAUAAUCGACACGAACUAAAACUUGGCACCACACAUUCAAAAAAUAAUAAAUAUUUAAUAUGAACUCAGAUAUAGAUAAACUUUAUAUCAAAAUUGUUGAUAUAAGUUCAAAUUGUUUUCAUUUGGAGCCAUCUUGGUGCUCAAAUAAUCGAAACAUUUUCUAGAUCUAAAAUUUAAUUUUAGAUCUGAAACUUGUGUCGAUUAUUUGAGCACCAAGAUAAUACCAAAUGAAAAAUGUUUGAACUACAAAGUUGUAGAUCUCGUCGAGAUGUACAAUUUUCAUAUAAAGUUUAUCUCCAUCCGAGUUCAUAUGAAUUAGUUCAACCGGCGGUAAGGCUGCUACAGUGUAGCUUCCGCCGUUUCAAACGGCGGUAUAGGUUUAGAUUAGCAAUUUUUUUUAACCCAUAUAUUUUUGCAAAAUACUAAAAUAAAAAUAUAAAAAUAAAAAAAAUCUAGUUUUAAUCAACAAUGACUAAAUGUUAGCCCGGUUAUGCCCCAUCUUAGGUCUAAUCAUGGACCAAUAAAACAUGUGCUAGACUUCACGGCCACCGGAUGCGUGUUCGACCAUGUAAUCGUAUGCUAUACCUCACAGGAGGUUGAAAAUGGCCCGAAGGGGUACAGUGGAUGAAAACGUUGGGGACGCUCGGAACACAAGAAAAUGACCACCAGAUACGUGUUUGGCCAUUGUAACUAUGCGCUAUAGUUGAUAGAUUGAAAGCGGCUCGAAGAGGCAUCAGGGAUGGAAACAUGGGGAAUGGUCGGAACACUUGAAAAUGGCACUGGAUAAGUGUGCUUAUUCCUUGCAAAACGCUGAAAAUGGCUCGGAAGGGUCAUCGAGGAUGGAAACUAGGUGGUCAAUAAGUGAAAAUGGGCAGCGGACAUGUUCGGUCAUGUAACCGUGUGCUAUAGUCCACUAGAGGUCGGAAAGCUGCCCUAGGGGCUCUAGAGACGAAAACGUGAGGAACAGCUAAAAGGUUACGUGUUUGGUCAUGACAGCCCUAUUAGGAAGCGAUAGAAGUGGAAAGAUAGCUGGUUUCAGAUUGGCAACCCAUCUUUUGCUUCCCCUUACUUCCAUCCGUAAUCCAUGGGCAUCGAAUUUAAAAGUAUACAAAUCACUUUUAGAUGUAAUUGAGGGUAAAGAGGGGAGGUUUCGUGAGACUCUACAAUGUUCAAAUUGUUCGUUCGUUAGGAGGCCUCAGCUACAUACAUCAUUGCACUUCCGGUUGACACCAAUUUAAAUGGUUCGUCUAGCCGCUACAAGGUAUCAUCAGAUAUAGAAGAAUUAGAGACUGGGGGUAAUAGCAAAAAUGGAAUAUAACUCGUUCGAGAAAGUGGGUGCAGGGCAGUGGGGUAAGGUAAUUGAAGUAACUAGCUAGUUUCUUCCCGAAACUUCCCAAGAAAAAUCCCGAAUUGGAUCCAAAAUUGACGGAUUAAUCAACCAAAAUAACCGUGAGCAGCCACAAUGUUAUAAGUCCCUUCUUCUUGACCUAAUUUGUAACCCUUAUUAGCAGACUCAUUUUCACUGGUUUCCCUGAUCAAACUAGAGGUUACCAAGGAACCGUGUGCUCUAGCCCACAGGUGGCCGAAAACGGCCAAGAAGGGCUUCGGGGAUGGAAACAACGUGGAUGGUCAGAACACGUGAGAAUGACCACGGGAUGCAUGUUUGGCCCUAUAACAGUGUGCUAUAGGAAGCCGGAAAUGGCCAGGAGAGUCACCAGGGAUGAAGAUAAAGGGAUGGAUGGAACACGCGAAAAUGGCCACCAGUGAUUAGUGGCAGGUCUAGAGAGAUAUCUCAUCAAAUCGGUGAGUUAUAUCCGAUUUAAACGAGGAUAAAAAUGAGUGUAUUUUCCACCCAUCAUGUUGACUUUUCGCAGCUAUACUGCCUUUAGUGUGUUGUAUUGUUCCCAUGACACCAAAUCUCCAAGGCCCGAGAAAAUAAGGAAAGUGAUAGCAGCCCAGAAAUCGACCAAGUUUCUUUCCCACUUUGGCAUUCCUACUAGGAUUCGGAAUACUCUUUCGCAUGACAAUCAUAAUUAUCUCCCAUAAUCCAAAACUCACAAAAACAUCAAAAAUCCGCCGAGAAUAAAUUAAGUAAAAAACAUGCACACACAGAUAAUAAUAAUAAUAAUAAUAAUAAUAAUAAUAAUAAUAAUAAUAAUAAUAAUAAUAAUAAUCGUGUUUCUAUAAAAUUGCUAAGGCCAGAGACAAUACAUAAAAAUAUUAGACUGCUCAUGACACAUAUCACGGUGGACAGUGUCUGUGUCCUUAUUACAAGCAGCGAGAGGAAUUAAACAUGCUUGUCACCACACACACGCGCGCACAGAUGCACGACACACAUAUAGUUGAGACCAACAGAUGGACCUCGACUAGAGGUCGCCCCAUAUGGUGAACAAUUUAUUGGAGAUAAACAUGAACAUAACUUGGCCAUAGCUUGAAGCAUAGCAACAUAUGCCUAUGAAUGGCAUUCAUGCUGGUAGCAAUGCAAUCAUAUCGUUUUAGGCUUGUCCAGGUUCUUCCAUCUUAGCAAGCACUGCCAUUUCUUCCAUCUUAGCAGCAACUGUCAAAUUGAGAUAUGGAAAUCCCAUUAGCGCAUGAGUUAAUUUUGCAGUGGAAAUAGAGUACAAGAUGUCUGCAUGAUGUAAGUAAUAUGCCUGAAGUUGUGAGAUGGGAAGUGAAGUCAACAAAUUACAUUAACGGAAAUGCAUGGAAGGCCACACAUACGUAUUAGUCCACGAUAUGCUACAAAGCUUGUAUGUACAUAUAACAAAUUAAAUGCAUUGAAUAGAGUGAGUUUAUUGAAUUUACCAGAAUCGGACAGAACACAUGGGAAACAGCAAGUGUUCUUGCAGAGUGAGUCGGAGCCACCUGCAGUAAUACAAGCAAAACAACAUGCUUUUGCCCGGGCGGAUACGCAGCAGCUGCACUGUGCCGCGGUGGCCGGGUUAACAUUGAGGCUCAAGAUGACCAGGCACAUGAUCACCAUCAAAGCGGUAGUCCUCUUUCCCUCCAUUGCCUCCUCUUGCUGCUACCUUCCUUGGUUACCUAGCUAAGUUUAUUGGUUUUGUGUUGAGAGGUGAUUCUUGAAUGGACGUUGCCGGCUGCAAUUUAUAGGCAGCUGCGCUAUGUGAUGAUAUGGACAAGGUGCAAAUGGGUGGUCCAAUGGCAAGGAAAGGGGGUAUUCUGCUUGACAUUCGCAUCAGACAAAGCCCAAUGGCAACUGCUGACACGCGAUUAAAAUCAGAUCCACAUCUUAUCCAGCCAUUCACUAAUAAUUAAAGUAAACCCACGCGGUCCGCGAGAUGCAGCGUCCAUGCAUAGCACUUCCCGCCAAACAAUAGGAAAAAUUAGAAUUCAGAGAUAGCAGCUGCUUGCAUGAAACACGGUUGCACAGAAAUCAGUGGUGCUUGGACGGUAAGUAGUGUGGUGUACAAGCUUAAAGCGGCAGUGAGUCACGUUGGUGUAACAAGCAGUACAUCAGCUGGAAGAUUGAUAUGUCUAUUGCCCUGUGCAUAGCAUUUUAUUAUGAUACACUAAGUUAUGUCAUAUUGUUACUUUAAGUUAUUUUUUAAGUAUUAGUUGUAGACAAUUUAGUUGCAAAUUUAAGCGGUUAUUUUAAAUUAUUUUUUAUAAUGGCAUAAGUGGGUAAUUUAGAUGAAGAUUAGGGGGUUACUUUAGCUUAUUUUAUAUAAUAGCAGAGGUGGGUAAUUUAGAUAUAAAUUUAGACACGUUUAAAAAAAUGUAUCUACAGUUUCUGACACGGUCCGUGUGGAGACGCUCCAGACAUGCUUUACUCAAGCGCAUCUAUACUUCAGUAGAGAUGAAAUAAAGCGUAUCUAACAUAGGAAUAAAGCGUAUCUAGAGGAGGUUUUUCUUGUAGCGAGGGAUGAACCAUUAUUGGACGAACUAGCACACUUGCUUCUACCCGCUCCCCCACACCCCACAACCGCCCCCAGUGUGAGCGUCCAUGUCUCGAUCGUUGCUCGCGUUAAGCGGUGCCGCCGCACUGCACCACAACGACAGAAGCCACACCACCGGCUGCAUGUGACAGCGGGGAGCACCCUCACCACCUGCCCGCGGGGAGCGCUUACGCCAGCCAUAGUGUCCCCAUAGAACCGCCGCGCGAGCCUGUGAGCCACCGACUGCCGUGCCCCCAAGGGCCAUCACCGCGCCACCCGAGGAUGCUGUCUACCCGGUGCCACGCGCCUCUGCUAGCUGCCUGCACCUGGGCCGCCACCGGUCGCCUGCACAGCCACGUGUUGCAGCCGCCCCCUGCGCUGAGCCACCCCAUUUCACGUUGGAAGAACCACCUGAGUCUCGCACGCCGAGGUCUUGCUGGUGACGACCAUGGCCUCCGCGAUCAUAUGAAAAAGUUGUCAACUACAAAGUAUUAGGCCUCGUCGAUCUCUACAAUUUUGAUCGAAAGUUUCUAUUCAUCCGAGAUCAAAUGAAAAAGUUGGUACUCAAAAUAUACAUCCAUUAAUCUAGUCGUGCUAAUCCUUACCACAAAUUAAAAAACUAGCAUGUGUCUGUGUGUUUGUGACCCUAAACAAUCACAAACGAAUAACUUAUCAACUUCAAAAUUUAGCUGAUCAGGAGUCUAGGCAACCUCAAGGGUAUAAAUAUGUGCACCCUGAGGCUUGCAAGAUUUUAUCUCUCGAUUAAUCAAUGCAAUUUUUGGGCACCACGCAGCCAAACCCUUAGGAGUAGAAGUAACGUAGCUUUUUGUUGAGUAUCUUCUUGCGCGCAGGGCUGCAUCAGCUUCGAUAUCCGACGAACUUGUAAGUACCGUCAUCCGGUCAUUACGUUAUCUAUAUUAAAAGUUUCUAGACAUCAUCCAAUAUUCUAAUCUUUUAUCGUGUGGCUAUUAUCGAGUUAUCUUAUAUUGUAAAUAAAACUUGCUAGGGUUUGUCCAAUAUUCCAUUUGUUUUUGGCGUAACUGCUUAAUUAGAUCUGCUUAGGUUGUUCUCAUUGGCUUCUAGUCUUGUUUAAACGUUCACAAGUUAUUUGAUCGUAUCGGCAAGUUCGACCUUGCAUGCUUUUAUCGCUUUAUCUAUACUAGGUCCGAUAGAUCUUUACCCCUUCCCCUUGUAUUGCUAGCAGUUGGAUCCAUAACGUUAGAACGAUACUGUUGAGAGCUGAUGCAUUGAUUUAGUAUCAUCCAUAUCUCAUAGAAUGUAUCAUGGUUAAUGGCAAUUUAAUGAAAUUAUAAAGGAUAAUAACAAUCGUGCUUUCGGCGUUCCAAAAAUCAAUCAAGAAUUCAUCAUGGUUGUGCAGUGUAUGGAAACCUUAUGGUAAUAGUUAGAUGGGAAAUGUUGUAUUAUGUAAUAAAUCCAGGUACUUCACAAAUCAUGAUCGAUGGAUGUCUAACACUGUUGAAAGAGAUUGGAAUAAAGCAGACUCACCUCAGACUAUGCACCAUGUCUGAGUGACCCACCUCACCUUGCCAGGUCACUGGUCUUGCCAGCACACAAGCUAUGAUGUUGCCAGGAGUGGUCAGUACACAAAUCUAGCUACCAGUCGGAUCGAAGGGCAGGCAUUUGCAUUGUGGUUGUGCUUGAACAUGGAGAUGUCUUGCGAUUGUCACGCACCAUACAUCCUCUCUCAGUUUCACUCCGCCUCACACACGGAUAGGACACCAGGGACCCGACACCAUGCAUGCCGAUUUCAUAUUAUUAAUAUUUAUUUUUUGAAUGGUUGUUGAAACUAUAUAUAUAGUUAGUCCAAUCUCACGUUUCCGAUUAUAAAAAUUAACAUAAAGAGAUCGGAAGGGAGAGCACUAGAGCCGGCAUUUAUACAAACUGGUAUGAAUAGUAAAAUCUAGAAUUUAUAAAUAAAAAAUUGAUUUGCACAUCUAUGCAAUAAUUAGUGGUUAGUGGUAGGUCUAGAGAGAUAUCUCAUCAAAUCGAUGAGUUAUAUCCGGUUUAAACGAGGAUAAAAAUGAGUGUAGUCUUUUCGCAGCUGUACCGCCUUUCCUUUCAUGUGUUCUAUUGUUCCCCUAACACCAAGUCUCCAAGACUCAAGAAAAUAAGGAAAGUGAUAGCAGCCUAGAAAUCGACCAAGUUUCUUUCCCCCUUUGGCUUUUCUACUAGGAUUCGAAAUCCUCUUUCGCAUGACAAUCUUAAUUAUCUCCCAUAGUUCAAAACUCACAAAACUAUCAAAAAUCCACCGAGAAUAAAUUAUGUAAAAACAUGCACACACAGAUAAUAAUAAUAAUAAUCAUGUUUCAAUAAAAUUGCUAAGGCCAGAGACAAUACAUAAACAUAUUAGACUAUUCAUGACACAUAUCACGGUGGACAGUGUCUGUAUCCUUAUUACAAGCAGCGAGAGAUGCUUGUCACCACACACACGCGUGCACAGAUGCACGACAUACAUAUAGUUGAGACCAACAAAUGGUUGCCCCAUAUGGUGAACAAUUUAUUGGAGAUAAACAUUAACAUAACUUGGCCAUAGCUUGAAGCAUAGCAACAUAUGCCUAUGAAUGGCAUUCAUACUGGUAGCAAUGCAAUCAUAUCGUUUUAGGCUUGUCCAGCUUCUUCCAUCUUAGCAAGCGCUCCCAUUUCUUCCAUCUUAGCAACAACUGUCAAAUUGAGAUAUGAAAAUCCCAUUAGCACAUGAGUUAAUUUUGCACUGGAAAUAGAGUACAAGAUGUCUUCAUGAUGUAAGUAACAUGCCUGAAGUUGUGAGAUGGGAAGUGAAGUCAACAAAUUACAUUAAUGGAAAUGCAUGGAAGGCCACGCAUGCAUACGUAUUAGUCCACGAUAUGCUACAAAGCCUUGUAUGUACAUAUAACAAAUUAAAUGCAUUGAAUAGAGUGAGUUUACUGAAUUUACCAGAAUCGGACAGAACACAUGGGAAACAGCAAGUGUUCUUGCAGAGUGAGUCGGAGCCACCUGCAGUAAUACAAGCAAAACAACAUGCUUUUGCCCGGGCGGAUACGCAGCAGCUGCACUGUGCCGCGGUGGCCGGGUUAACAUCGAGGCUCAAGAUGACCAGGCACAUGAUCACCAUCAAAGCGGUAGUCCUCUUUCCCUCCAUUGCCUCCUCUUGCUGCUACCUUCCUUGGUUACCUAGCUAAGUUUAUUGGUUUUGUGUUGAGAGGUGAUUCUUGAAUGGAUGUUGCCGGCUGCAAUUUAUAGGCAGCUGCGCUAUGUGAUGAUAUGGACAAGGUGCAAAUGGGUGGUCCAAUGGCAAGGAAAGGGGGUAUUCUGCUUGACAUUGGCAUCAGACAAAGCCCAAUGGCAACUGCUGACACGCGAUUAAAAUCAGAUCCACAUCUUAUCCAGCCAUUCACUAAUAAUUAAACUAAACCCACGCGGUCCGCGAGAUGCAGCGUCCAUGCAUACACUUCCCGCCAAACAAUAGGAAAAAUUAGAAUUCAGAGAUAGUAGUGUGCCAGCAGCUGCUUGCAUGAAACACGGCAAUCAGUGGUGCUUGGACGGCAAGUAGUGUGGUGUACAAGCUUAAAGCGGCAGUGAGUCACGUUGGUGUAACAAGCAGUACAUCAGCUGGAAGAUUGAUAUGUCUAUUGCCCACGCAGCAUAGCAUUUUAUUAUGAUACAUUGAGUUAUGUCAUAUUGUUACUUUAAGUUAUUUUUUAAGUAUUAGUUGUAGACAAUUUAGUUGCAAAUUUAAGCGGUUAUUUUAAAUUAUUUUUUAUAAUGGAAUAAGUGGGUAAUUUAGAUGAAGAUUAGGGGGUUACUUGUAGCACUACAUGAAGGCGCUGAGGUGGGNNNNNNNNNNNNNNNNNNNNNNNNNNNNNNNNNNNNNNNNNNNNNNNNNNNNNNNNNNNNNNNNNNNNNNNNNNNNNNNNNNNNNNNNNNNNNNNNNNNNUCUUAUGGAUAGGUGGGUAAUUUUUUUAGAAAAUAUAAUAGAUCCAAUGGCUACGAUGAUUUGAGUCUAAUGAUUGAUGGCAAGAUGUUUUUCUUGUUUGUGGGAAUUUUAAAUAUUUCUCUUUUUUUUAGAGUGUCCACCUAGAAUGCUAGGUGGUUUCACUUGGAGACUUCAAAAGGAGCUUCCAAAUUAGUAAUAGUAAGAUUUUCUCAAAAGAGACUUGAUUCUACCACUAUAACUUGAUUGGCCGCCCCGGCCUCUACCUUUGCCUCCAUUUGACUAUUUGAGUUGGCUGUCAACGAUUCACGGUGCUGGCAACAUUACGUUUGAUCCAAAUGCCACUACUCAUGUGCGCCAGCUGUAUUCUACCAAGUGGCAUGUGGGAAUGCCAUGAUGCAUGUGCAGUAACAGCGUGCACAUCUUGUAGGAUUCGCACCUCGUUUUCACUAUUGUAUCAUCUUAGCGAUUAGGAGCGAAAUGUGCUUGGGGGUUGCAAUUGGGAUAUAGACCUUAUUCUCGAAGAGAAUCUUAAAAGCUUACAUUCGCCCCCUCGGUCGCCUGUGUUCCGAUCCUUCACCUAUAAAUUAGGAGUAGCAGGUAGUAAGUGGCAGGUUAGAUAAGUACUCGUUGAUGAAUGUUGACUUGGCGUGAUUGGCUCUGCUAUUUUCACGAAGAUGCCAAUAUUGAAAGCACAUCCACCAUUUCUGCGGAUGUGAGGGAUGAACUAAUUAAUUGUUUCUUGUCCAUUAUUGCACCGUACCUCCCAUUUUCCCGUUUUCCAAACAAUUAAAGGUACCCUUACGUUACGCUUGAUCCAAAUGCCACCACUCAUGUGCGCAAGUGGCAUGUGGUAAUGCCAUGAUGCAAGUGCAGUAACAGCGUGUACAUCUUGCAUGAUUCGCGCCUCGUUUUCACUAUUGUAAUCUAUAAAGAAACAAACAAAAAACAAAAUGAUGGAUGGAUCAGCUCGGGAUCCAAUAAUCGAGAGGAAUUCAAGGAAAAAGAAAAAUUUGGGAUCACGUGUGCGGAUCCUAAUAACAAUAUAUAGUAGGACAUCUCCAUGCUCACCUAGUAGCCACUACUAGUGCGCCGGCCCAGUUGGCGCUAAGACAUCGUACGUGCAUUAAGGGGGUGUUUGAUACUGGAUGCUAAACUUUAGCAGUGUCACAUCGGAUGUUCGGAUGCUAAUUAGGAGGACUAAACAUGAGCUAAUUAUAAAACUAAUUGCAGAACCCCUGUGCUACUUCGCGAGAUGAAUCUAUUAAGGCUAAUUCAUCCAUCAUUAUCAAAUGGUUACUGUAGCACCACAUUAUCAAAUUAUGGACUAAUUAGGCUUAAUAGAUUCAUCUCGCGAAUUAAACUCCAUUUGUGCAAUUAGUUUUGUAAUUAGUCUAUGUUUAAUACUUCUAAUUAGCAUCCAAACAUCCGAUGUGACAGGUGCUAAACUUUAACAGUGGGGAUCCAAACGGGGCCUAAGUCUGUGGUGCCCAACGAUCUCUUUCUUCUAACUCAUGCUUGACUGUGACGGUGCUAUUAUAUAUUAUUGCAUGAUCAUCAGGAUAAGAUCGUAUAGUGACUGAGUGAGACAUGUAUGUACUAACUUGCAUUUAUCCAAGAAGAGGCACAUGAGUAGUGGUGCAUGCAUCCACACCUUGGGAUGCUGCAAACUUUUAUGGGUCCAUAUGUAUAGCCAAGUAAACUAUUUUAUCCUGCUGCAAGCUGCAGACAUAAGUUUAUUUAACCUUUGUUCACAAUCACUUCCACUGUCGUCGCAAUUGCCAAAGACAAGCUCACCAAUGCUAUUGCGGAGCAGGCCAAUUUCCUGUGGAACUUCGGCGACGACCUGAAGGACAUGAACUCGGUGCUGGAGUCCAUCUCAGCAGCGCUCCAGGACGCUGACACCGGUAGAAAAACGACAUUCCAUCCUCAACAAAAAUCAUGGCAUCCUCUACUCAGUCAGAUGUACUGUGUAGGUGAGAUGGUAAGGAAGCUAUGCGCGAGGCUUAAGGUCGUGAGUUCGAAUCCCAUGCACCACGCACGCACGCGCAUAUUUCACGUGACUUGUGAUCCGCCAAGGAGAAAUGGGUGCAGCUGUUGCUUAAGUGCCUGAGGCACACUGCCAUAGACAUCUCGGAUUUGCUCGAAGAGUACCAAGAAACUAGGAACCCUUAACAGCAAAGGUGAGUACUUAUGUAUGUCAGCAUCUAUGUUGUCCAUGCUUCCAAUGCAAUAACACGAAGGACUACUCUUUCUAGCGGACUCUUCACAAUCACUCGUAAAGGUAUGCGUUUCUCAAUGCAAUUUCAUAGAAGGCAAUCGAUCCAACCAAGCGACUAAAUCAUUCGUCCUUGCCAAUGAUGUGCAUCAGGUUUUCUAUAUGAAGGGCAUGUCUAGCAAACCCAAGAUUUCAGAACAAAAGAAAAAUCAUGUGAGCCAAAGCGCCACAUUGUUCUUCCAAGUAAAAAACAUCAUGGGAGUCGAGAACAAAUCAGACCAAUCAAGGGAUUAUGGUCAGCUUGAUGGCAUGCCUCCAUUCGAUGUCGAAGUUGACCCAAGCAUCAUGUUAGCCAAAGAUCAAAUGUUCGUGCGUUGCUAUGGUAAAUAUCAAUUGUGUUUUUUAAACUCAUGGAUUUUUUUAUCUAAGUUUUUAUUACACUUAUUGGAUGUCUACACAUUUGCUAGAAAACCAAAAUAAUUUUGACUUAAUUAUUUCUUUCAACUCAAAUACUCAUUAAAUUUCUACGUUUUUAUUUAAGCAAGAGAGUUGCUACAAAAAAAUGGAUACGUAACCAUAUUGUAUCAUACAAAGCAACCACAUUUCACAUAUAGUCCGGCUUUGCAAACACCAUUGUUAUCUGAACAUAGCAUACAUGAGUUAGUAGACAUGGAUAUAUUUCUAAUUGCAAGUAGCAUACAACCAGCCUGCACCGACGCAGCUCAAUAUGCGAUAAUUUUUAUCUUCCCAUGUAAUUUUUCUACUCUAGUACAUAUUGAACUCCACAUAAAUGUGAUCUUUCACGCCACAGACGGUUCCUAAAGUUUGGAAACUAAAUAGAUAGCCAGAAAUUUUUUAGAAAGUAUUUAUAUGGAUACAUGUAUGUUCUUCGCAAACUAACAGUAUUGUUUACCAAUAUCAAAAGGAAUAUGGCUAGGAUCAUUGCCGCAUAUGGCAGGUGAUGGUAAAGUUAUCAACUGCAAAGUAUUAGGCCUCGUUGAGCUCUACAAUUUUGAUAUAAAGUUUCUAUUCAUCCGAGAUCAAAUGAAAAAGUUGGUACUCAAAACAUUCAUCCAUUAAUCUAGUCGUGCUAAUACUUAGCACUAAAUGAAAAACUAGCAUGUGUUGUGUGUUUGUGACCCUAAAUGAUCACAAAUGAAUAACUUAUGGGCGUUGCUAGCGCCCGGACGUAUGGUUCGGGGUGCUAGCAUCGGACGCACGAGCAGCCGUCCGAUCAGGUCCGACACCACUUCAGGAUCUGGCUCAAAAAAAAGUCCCACCGAAACAUUGUUCCAUGUUGCAUAAAAUAUCCCACUAUCCAUUGCUGGGUCUAGAGCAAGCACCAGCUUCCAAUAUGCUGCUCACCCAAGCUAAAUAGGGGCAUUAAAAUUGCAGAAAUAUGUCGCAUAUCCUUCUCAAAUUAAACUAAAUCACAACAUCCGAAAAUUUCUUACACAAAACCAUGAAACAUAUCGAUUAGAUAGGUGUAACAAGAUGAAAUAUGGUAUGCAACAUAUAGAUUCUGAAAAACAGAUGAAACAUUACUUAAUGAUUGUUGAAACAGUGGAGAAAAAUAGAUGUAACAUCUAAAAUUAAGAAAAGAAGCUUCAUGCAAAUUGCAAAAAGCUGAAAUAAGUGGUUGAAACAUUUCAAAUCACCAAAUGCCACAUUUGAAAUGACUAGAUGAAACAUCACAAAAUCAAUUGCAACAGUUGAAGAUGAAAACAUUCAAAUGCCUUGCCUUUCUCUAGAUUUGACCCUCAAGCAUGAGUCCAGCCAUUUGCACAUUAGACCCUUGGGAGGAGCUCACCGGAGAACAACAAGACCUUGUUCUCCAACAAUUUUCCGAUCAAAUUGCAACAUAAAAAAUAAAGCAUUGCAACAUCUGGCGGUAUCAUGAGCUACAACAUCAACCAGUUAGGAUCAGGAGAAAGACGGCAAACACAAGCCUAGCAAUGAGUUAUAUCCGGUUUAAACGAGGAUAAAAAUGAGUGUAUUUUCCACUCAUCAUGUUGUCUUUUCGCAGCUGUACCGCCUUUAGCUUGUUGUAUUGUUCCCCUAACACCAAGUCUCCGAGGUCCGUGAAAAUAAGGAAAGUGAUAGCAGCCCAGAAAUCGACCAAGUUUCUUUCCCCCUUUGGCUUUCCUACUAGGAUUCGGAAUCCUCUUUCGCAUGACAAUAUUAAUUAUCUCCCGUAGUCCAAAACUCACAAAAACAUUAAACAUCCUCCGAGAAUAAAUUAAGUAAAAAACAUGCACACACCAAUAAUAAUAAUAAUCUUGUUUCAAUAAAAUUGCUAAGGCCAGAGACAAUACAAAAACAUAUUAGACUGUUCAUGAAACAUAUCACGGUGGACAGUGUUUGUGUCCUUAUUACAAGCAGCGAGAGGAAUUAUAUAUGCUUGUCACCACACACGCGCGCGCACAGAUGCACGACAUACAUAUAGUUGAGACCAACAGAUGGAUCGACUAGAGGUGACCCCAUAUGGUGAACAAUUUAUUGGAGAUAAACAUUAACAUAACUUGGCCAUAGCUUGAAGCAUAGCAACAUAUGCGUAUGAAUGGCAUUGAUGCUAUCGUUUUAGGCUUGUCCAGAUAAUAAUAUCUGGUUUUAAGCAUAACAUGGUUUUUACUUAAUUUAUCUGUGCGUGCGAUAAUAAACCAGAUAAUAGCUUGAAACAUGUUGUGCAUUGGCACCACACGCACGAGAAUAAAUUAAGUAAAAAACAUGCACACAUAGAUAAUAAUAAUAAUCAAGUUUCAGUAAAAUUGCUAAGGCCAGAGACAAUACAUAAACAUAUUAGACUAUUCAUGACACAUAUCACGGUGGUCAGUGUCUGUGUCCUUGUUACAAGCAGCGAGAGAUGCUUGUCACCACACGCACGCGUGCACAGAUGCACAACAUACAUAUAGUUGAGGCUGCAAUUUAUAGGCAGCUGCGCUAUGUGAUGAUAUGGACAAGGUGCAAAUGGGUGGUCCUGAUAUGGAUAAGGUGCGAAUGGCUGUCUACUUGUAUUGUGUAGCUCCAAUGUACGUAUGUAUCUUAUACAUGUAUACAGUUGAUGGAUAAGGUAUACAGUCUUUGUUACCAAGUAAUUUUACUUUCGCACGUUUCAGCCGAGAGGCAGAAGAGAAUAUUUUACAGAGAGGGCAGAGAAGGAGGUUGGUAGGGUUCCCCGUGUCGCCAAGAUUUUUGCAUUUUACAUGUGUGUAUAGAUCACUUCGUCGUGCGGCGCCCUACUCCAGGUUGUACCCCAGCAGACCACGUUCUGUUUCUCUGCCUCCACAAGGACCACAAGACUUAGUAAAAAAAGCUAAACUUUGCAACACGAUGUAUACAGAAUUAGUAGCUAGAUCUAUAUAUGAAAUUCAUCCUAAAACUGAUAGGUGGAGAGAAGUAAAAAAUACCAAUUUGAUUUCCUAUCUGAUUAGAGGAAAUAUGGAUGGAUCGGUCGCAAUUAGCGAAGUGGCUCCAAUUGACAUAAAAGGUGUGCAUUGCAUUCAGCAAGAAAAAUUGAGUUUCUACUGAAUCUAUGAAAAAAAAUGAGCUUACGUUAUCAUAUAUAGGCAUAAAUUAAAAUGACAAGAAAUUCCAACCACGGUAUAUAAGACCAAUAAUUGGAAAGAUGGAUGAAAGGAAGAUAGGGUUUAAAUUAAAGUCUCCGCAUAGGCAGUUUGACUAUGAUCAAUUUUACCUGUAUUUCUCAAUAUGUAGAUAAUUCUAUGCCAACAAUUAAAAACUAAUACAUAAUUUGACACGGUGUACCUUGAGAACGUUUUGAAAAUGUACUCUCGUUAGGCGUUCACCUCCUUAACAAUAACUGCGACUGUAAAAUAGGUACAUCGACGCUAGCUAAAUAAACAACUAUAAGAUUUAGCAAGAGAUCAUUUUAUACAAUCCUGUAACGAAAGAAUUUGACAAUUAUAUUGUCCAUAUAUUUUGACGAAAAACAUCUAAAUUAUAUAAGGUGGGCCCGAAACAGUUGGAUUAGCAUAUGGUUACCCGUUUGUUGUCUUCCGGCCCUAAAAAAAGGACCAUCUUACUGAAAAAGGUUCUAUUAGCACAAGUAGAGAACUGACUUUCGAUGCACCCCCUUUUAUCCCGGUUUAAAGUAGGCCCGGGAGAAAAGGGGGUGCGCCAUGGUAGGCAAAAAUGGAGGGGAGAUUUACUCCCGGUUGGUAUUUGCAACCGGGACUAAAGGCCACCCUUUUGUCCCGGUUGGUGUUACCAACCGGGAUAAAUAGUUUACUCCCAGUUGGAGGUUCCAACCGGGACAAAAGGGCCACCAUUUUGUCGGCCCUUUUGUCCCGGUUGGAGCCUCAAACCGGGAGUAAACUUUCAACCGGGACAAAAGGUGUUUCUUUUUGUGUCGGUUGGAGUUUCUAACCGGGAUAAAAACUCAUCCCCAUUAUAUACCAAGACAGAGGUCUUUCUUCCUCCUCCAGCCCGAGCCAGUCCACCAUAAAGACAGAGAGCUCAGCUUCACCUACUCUCCGGUGGUGCCGAAGCAAGGGAGGUGCUGCCCGAAUUUUUUUUCCCUCAUUUUCGUGGGAAUUUCACUCAGCCAACACAAGUGUUGUGAAGGUUUGCUACUUCAUCCUCGUGUUACGCUUUAAUUUAUGCUUUGGAGAUGGAAAGUUUAUUUGCUAGAAUGUGAUGAAGUAGAAAAUGGAGAGGUACUUUGAGCUAGAAUGUGAGGGAGAUUGAUGUGUCAUAUAUAGUAUGUAUUCUUGCAGUGAUUUAAGAAUGAUGCUACCUUGUCUAGAUGGUUUAUCUUAUCAAAUUCAAUGUGGUUUUUCAAAUUCAUACUUAUUGAACUUGCAUACCGUGUUCAUGUCGGCGAGAAUGUUCUCCGCCGAGCAGCAACGUAUGUCAAGAAGGAGGUUUGAUUCUACGAGAAAGAGUGGAUACGGACAUCGUGACCGUAUCCCCUUUUUCGUAGAAUCGAACCUCUUUCAUGACGAAGUGCGGUGCCGCCCAGUUGAGAACAUGCUCGCCAGAUGAUCACGGUCUUCAAGUUCAACAAGUUCUGUAGGCAUACCGUGGUCAUCUCGGUAAGCAUGUUCUCCGUGGAGCAGCAACGGACGUCAAGGAGGAGGUUCGAUUUUACGAGAAAGAGAGGCAACAGACAUUGUGGAUGACUGUGUCCCCUUUCUCAUAAAAUCGAACCUCUUCCAUGACGAAGUACGGUGCCGCUCAGUUGAGAACAUGCUCACCGAGAUGAUCACGGUCUUCAAGUUCAACAAGUUCUGCAGUGCUAAGGUAAGAAUUUUUGUACAUAGAUGGCUUCUGCUACUAGAGGAAGUGGCGAUGGUGGGGGCGAUCGUCGUUCCUCUUUCGGCAAGGGGAAAAUCAUAGUUGGCCCUCAGGAUAAGCCGAAGAAAAUGAGCGCGUUGGAGAAAGCAAUGCUUCGUUAUUUGCAGAAACGUCAUGAAGAAGCUGUUGCCGCGGGUCAGGAACCUCCUUUUGGUGGUCGUUAUGCUCCACCCUCAGUCCCAGGUGUUUCACGUCCACUUAGUACUACCAUUUCAGGUGGCACAAAUAAACCACAGGAUGAGGCUGGGUCAGCGGAACCUUCAUCUUCACCGCCCAAGGAUGCUUAAAGUCCACCUAGAUAAUAACCAGUGGAUGACUUGUUGUAUUGUAUCAUGUUGUUUGGAUAUUUAAUUUAAAUAUGUGUAUUUGUAUCUAUAUCUAAACUUUCAGCAUUAUUUGCACUACAACGUUUGACAUGCUUUCAAUCAUGAAUCCAUUUUCAAGUGUAAUCAAUUUUCACGCGUAAUCCAUUUUCAAGUGUAAUCAAUUUUCACGCGUAAUCCAUUUUCAAGUGUAAUCAAUUUUCACGCGUAAUCCAUUUUCAAGUGUAAUCCAUUUUCAUGCGUAAUACGAUGCAGAUGGACCGGCAAUGGAUGUAUAAUGCAGACAGACGGAGCAAGGUGUUUAUUGAUGGCUUGCAUUAUUUUCUCGAAGUGGCCAAAGCGAACAAGCCAGAGAAUGGGUUCGUAUGUUGUCCAUGCUUCCAAUGCAAUAACAAGAAGGACUAUUCAAAGGAUUCCUGGGGGACUAUUCACAGCCACUUGUUUAGAUACGGUUUCAUGCCUAACUAUUUGGUUUGGACCAAGCACGGUGAAAGAGGGGUUGUAAUGGAAGAUGGUGAGGAGGAGGAGGAGGAUGGCAACAUUCCUGACUAGGUUGCAGGCCAAGCUUUUGCAGAUACUACAAUGGGCGAGGCUGAUGAAGAUGAGUUUGCAGAAAAUGGCCCUACGAUGACCUUGGUCAGGUGCUACGAGAUGCACACAGAGAUUGCGAAACUGAGAAGGAAGCAGCAAAGUUGCAGCGCAUGAUAGAUGAUCACCAAAAAUUGUUGUACCCAGAUUGCCAGCAGGGCCAUAAAAAACUAGGUACGACACUAGAAUUUGUGCAAUGGAAGGCAAAAAAUGUUGUGUCCGAUAAGGCAUUUCAGGGGAUGUUGAACAUUGUCUAGAAGAUCAGGCGAGAUGAUCCUGGUGAUGUCGAGGGGCAGUCUCCCAAGAAGAGAGUUCCCACGAAGGUGAUGUGGUAUUUCCCUAUAAUACCACGCUUGAAGCGCUUGUUCAGGAACAAGGCAAAUGCUAAGUUGAUGCGAUGGCACAAAGAAGAACAUAUGGAAGAUGAGAUGCUGAGACACCCCGUAGAUGGGGCCCAGUGGAGAUCAAUUGAUAGAGCAUUCCUGGACUUUGAAAGUGAAGCAAGGAACAUAAGGUUUGGUUUAAGUACUGAUGGAUUCAAUCCAUUCGGUGAGUUGAGUAGUGGCUAUAGUACUUGGCCUGUGACCCUAUGUAUGUUCAACCUUCCUUCUUGGCUGUGCAUGAAGCGGAAGUUUAUUAUGAUGCCGGCGCUUAUCCAAGGCCCAAAACAACCCGGCAAGGGAUAUGGAACAGAGGAGUUGAUCGAGUUUUGUGUUGAUUUUAUUGACUCAAUUGACUCGAUUGGGAUUCCAACUUCACGCCACGAGGGGAGGCUCCGGGGAAUGGGCACCCUUGGAAGGAAAUCAAGUUUGAGCAAUGAUACUGAUUUGUUCGACAAGGCACACUACACUGUUCUGCAAUAGUCAUCCUUUGUGUCUCCCUAUAUCGAGCAGCACAGGCAGAUGGUAGUUUUCCAAAAACCUGACGAAAUCCGAUGCUUGGCUUACACAUCAUCACAUGGAAACUUUUUCCUCCUGGUUGCGCCAACAACUCAUGGGUAACUCUGAGAUUUACCCACAGCUCGCUUGGUUAGCCAGGGGACCUGCUAGCACAAUCGUGAAAUUUCAAGACUAUGAGAUAAAUGGUUAUACAUUUUACACGAGAGCCUAGGACCAGAAAAGCACGAACAAGAAUAGUGGUGUCCGCAUAGAUGCCAUAGAUAGAAAUAAUAACAAGGAGUCGUAUUAUGGUUUCAUACAGGAGAUAUGGGAACUCGAAUACGGACCGCUGUACAUCCCUGUAUUUCUUUGCAAUUGGGUGAAGCUAACUGCCGUAACCAAAGAUCAGUACGGAAUGACAAUAGUAGAUCUGAGCAAGACUGGAUACAGUGAUGACCCAUUCGUACUUGCGAAUGAUGUGCAUCAGGUUUUCUAUGUGAAGGACAUGUCUAGCAAACCCAAGAGAAAUCCAGAAGAGACAUGGGAGCCAAAGUGCCACAUAGUUCUUCCAGGUAAAAGAAAAAAUCGUUGGAGUCGAGGAUAAAAUAGACCAAUCAGAUGAUUAUGAUCAGUUUGAUGGCAUGCCUCCAUUCGCAGUUGAAGUUGACCCAAGCAUCCUGGUAUCCAAAGAAGAGGCUCCAUACUUACGCCGGGAUCAUGAUCAAGGAACUUUCGUGAAGAAGAAAUUUUACAACGUUGUAUUGUAAUGCGCUAAAUUUACUUGACCUUUGUGAAGUACUUGAUACAAUUUUUAAUUUAACCUAUGUAUGAUUUCAUGUGUUCUUAAAUUUGUUGAGGUGAAGAUUUAUUAGAUAAACAUGAACAAUGUUAACCACAUACAUAUAUGGAUUUUUUUUGCGCGUUGAAAUUAUUUAAUUGAAUAAUUUCUCCAUCAUUGCGAUGUAGUAAAAUAAUUAUUUUAGAGGCUAAACGAACUGGUAUAGAAUUAAUGACUAAUUCACACUUAUUGUCAAUAUACUUGCUAAUUAAAUAUAUUUUUGCAUGUUCAAAAUAUGUGAAUUUUUUUGUUUUUGCAUCCUGAAAUGCAGUGAAAACAUACAUAAAAUCCUUUUCCAAAAAAUAGGCGGGAGAUGAAAGUGUGGGAAAAGGCCCUUUUGUCCCGGGUGCCAAUAGAAACCGGGACAAAAGGACCUUUUAUCCCUGUUGCCAACUACAACCGGGAUAAAAGGGUAGUUUUCGUUUCCCGCCGGGGACGUACCCUUUUAUCCCGGUUACAGUUAGCAACCGGGAUAAAAGGGGGGGCCCUUUUGUCCCGGUUGGUGUUGGCACCCGGGAUAAAAGGGCCUUUAGUCCCGGGUUCAAUUACGAACCGCGAUAAAAGCGGGGAGGGAUAAAAGGCACUGUAGCCUCUUCUACCACCACCCCACGCUAGUUACGACACUUAGCCAAAUUUUCACCGCUGCCAAGAUCCCGCGCCCUUCCGCCAGCUCCGUCACCGCCCAUCCGCCUCCCUCGCCGGCCGCCGUCGUCCUCGUCGUCCAUCGCCCCGGCCAUCAUCGUCCCGCCGCCCGACCGCCUCGCCCGCGCCCAGACCACCUCCUCCUCCAUCGCCCCGGCCCGCCUCCGAUCCUCCUCCGUCGUGCCCCCUCGACCUCGUCGCAGCCGGCCGCCUCCAUCGCGGGGCCUCGUCCCCGCCUCAGUCAACGCCACAUUCUCUGUCGCCGCCUCAUCACCGCCUCUGUCGCGCGCGCCGCCUCCGUCCCUCGUCGCCGUCCGCCUCCGCCCGUUGUUGCUGUGGCCACCUCGCUCCGUCCCCGCCUCCGCCGUCCCACCGCCCCGGCCGCCGCCGUCCCGCCGUCCCGGCCAUCUCGUCGCCCAGCUAGGCACCGCGUGAGGUCCGCCGGCACUGGCACCGGGAAUGAACAGCUCUUGCUGACGCAAACCCACCGGCUUGCGUAAGCAAGGACCUUUUUUAUUUUUUAGUUAGAAAAUGAAUAGAUAUUAGUAGAUUAGUUAGAAAAUCAAUAGAUAUUUGUAGAUUAGUUAGAAAAUCAAUAGAAAAUCAGUUGAUAAAUUUUGUAGAAAUUCAUUCAAAUUACUAGGAAUUAGUUGUAAUUUGCUAGAAAUUCCAAUAAAUAUGUUGAAAUAAGUAGAAAUUUGGUAGAAAUUCUUACAAAGUACUACUAAUUUGUUGAAAUUUGUAUAAACAUUCCGAACUCUGUGGGAUUCAUGUUAUUGUAAAAUUAUUAGGCAUUAGUAGAAAUUUUGUAGAAAUUCCAAUAAAUAUGUAGAAAUUAGUAGAAAUUUUGUAGAAAUUCUUACAAAGUACUACUAAUUUGUUAAAAUUUGUAUAAACAUCUCGGAUCAGCGCUUGGUUUGUUGAAAUUUGUAUAAACAUCUCGGAUCAGCGCUUGGGUUUUGUAAGUGUCCAUUUAUCUACAUGUAAAUUUUGCCUCAUAUCAUUAUUUUUUUUGCGUGCGUCACCGUACUAACUUCAUCUUCCAUUUUAUGUAUCAUGCUAAUUCAGAUGUGCCGACGAGAGGCGUACCUACAUAUUGGCUUCAUGGAUCCAUCCGUAGUUAACCAAAAACAGAUACAAUUAUCGCCGGAAAAAACCUUGGUGGAAGUAUACAAUUUCCUAGACAAACAAAAAUUCAAGGAUUUCAUACUACUUCCAUACAACUUCAAGUAAGUGUGUGUAUACCAUCUACUUUCGUUGUCUUUUUCCUUACCUGAUUAAUUAGUUAGCUCUAAUAUGCAUGAACAUUUUACGUACGCAGCUUCCACUGGAUCCUCAUUAUAAUUGAGCUUGAAAGAAGCCACGUCACUGUCUUCGAUUCGUUGAGGAAAGAUCCGGUGGAGUACCAAGACAUGCAAGACAUGCUAGGCUUGUAAUAAUUCUGGACCUUUAUCUCUAUGCAAAAGUUUGUUUCCUAAAUUUUAUCCCUGUUACACUAUAUCAUUCAUUAUUCUAAUCCGCAGCGCAUGGAAACAAUUCAUAAGGACACACAAAGGUCCAUUCAAAGAAAAACUUACAUGGAACACAGACUUCCCGGUACGUAUGAAGUCUGCACAUUUAGUACAUUGUAUAACACGAAUAUUUUAUAACUUAUUUUUUUCGACACUGAAGUCCUUAAGAUAGGAACUCGGGAAUAAUCUAUGUGGCUACUACAUCUGUGAGCACAUGCACAGUUUUAUGGGACCCAAGGGACUAAAGCUGACGCCGCACAACUUUAAAGUACGUAAAAUAAAACUACUACUAGUUAAUUAUUUUCUAGCUCCUUAUAUUUAAUUGUUCGUGUAACAUUCACAAAUUUCCAAAUUAUAGAUGUUAAAUAUUCAACAAGGACUCUUGAAGAAAAAAAAGGGUAGCGGCAAUAUGUGAAGGUCUCGUUGGAUUCCUAAUGGACGAUGUAGUAAAUGCACAAGGAGAAUUUUAUUACGAUGGACGACAAUUAGACGCUCCGAGCAACACCUCGACGGGAAGAUUGUAGAUAUAUAGUUUGAUUUGUAUACAUAACACGCGCUAAGAUCGAUUUGUAUAUAUAGUUGAUUUCAUUAUACUAGUUGAAUUAUGUAUAUGAAUUGUGUAUAUAUAGUAAUUGUAUAAUUACAAAUUUCAUUCGUUUAAAUACUAGUUGAUUUCAUUAUAAAAAAAGUCUCAACUACUAAAGGUUAACAAAAGGGCCGCGGUACUACGUACGUGAUGCAUGAAAAUUUCAGAUGCCAUGCAGGAAAAUUUAAAUAGGACUUUAGUCCCGGUUGGGAAACCCAACCGGGACUAAAGGGGCACCCUUUACUCCCGGUUGCUUUUACCAACCGGGAGUAAAGGGCCUGUCCCGCGCCAACCGGGACUAAAGGGUGACCUUUACUCCCAGUUGAAGGACCCGGGACUAAAGACCCCCCCUUUUGUCCCGGUUGGUUUAUCCCGGAUGGAUUUUCGAGAGAUAUGCACCCUACCAACCGGGACUAAAGGCGAGUUCUCUACUAGUGUAGGCCAUGCAGCCGGCUCUGUGGUACCAAAAAGAAAUUUUUGACAUGGUUUACAUCGAGAACGUUUUGAAACUAGACUUUGGUACGCAGUUCACCUUCUUAACAAUAACGGCGUACAUAGACGCUAUCUAAAUUGACCACUUUAAGAUUUAGCGAGAGAUCUAUUUUUUUAAUCCCGUAGCGAGAUCUAUUUUUAUAAUCGCGUAGCGACUGUACGAAGGACUGAAAAAUAAGUUUGAUUACCGUAUAUAGUUAGCCAACUCGUUAAUGGAAUAAACGAUAGAGUUCUGCGAGGCAGACUAGCCUUUCACACGCACCAACUGAACCAGCUGGCAUGAUGUAUUUGAUCUUACUCCCUUGGUCCCAUGGAAAGGUAGAAAUAACCAUAUAUAGGCAUGUAAUUAUCAGUUAUACUUAUGGGAUACUUAGAUGACUUGAUGUAUGAAUCAAGAAAAUGCAUCGAUCGAGAACUUACGGGGAUCAUCUCAAUAAUUUAGAGACCAUGCGCAUAUAUAUUGUGGAAGGUGUGCGUGAGGGUCGUUAUCUAUAUCCUGUGUUAGAAAAAGAUUGCAUAUAUAGUUAAUGUUUGUCUUUCUUCGGAUGGCACGUUAGCUGACCAUUGACAACAUGUGAUGAUUUUACUAACAUCAAAAUUAGGCAUGCCCCAUUUUUUAAUUGGUGCAUGGAGUGGGAGGUUUUGGUGGGUGAGCAUUGGUGUGCAACUCGUGUGCGUGAGCAUGUGUGCGUAAGAUAAUGUGUUUUGUUAGAAAAAGAAGAUAAUGCCUCUAAACAAUCCAGAAUAGAAGGCGGGCCCUGACGACAAGAUAAUACCUUACGCGGCGAUGUCUCAACGUGUCACCUGGGGCGGCUUUUGCAGUUUCCCCGUACACACACUAAGAGCCUCCGACCCUUUUUUGUCAAACCUUCUCUUGUAGUCAUGCAUAUAUCCAUGAUGAUUUGAGUCUACUGAUUGACAGUUAGAUAUUUUGCUUGUUUGUGAGAAUUUUUAGUUUCUAUUUUUUUAGAGUGUCCACCUAGGAUCCUAGGUGGCUUCACCUGAAAGCUUCAAAAGAAGCGUCCAAAUUAGUAAUCAUAAGAUUUUCUCAAAAGAGACUUAAUUCUACCACUAUACCUUGAUUGGCGGCCCGAGCCUCUACCUUUGUCUCCACUUGACUAUUUGAGUUGGCUCAGAACGGUUCACCGCGCUAGCAACGUUACGUUUGAUCCCAAUGCCACCACUCAUGUGCGCCACCUGUAUCUACCAAGUGGCAUGUGGUAAUGCCAUGUUUGUUUUAAUUUCGUCCAUCAGCAUUCACAAUGAUAUCAUCACCAUUAUGUAAUUAUCCCACUUUUAAUUUUCUUGCAACUCUGUGAAGUUAACAGUCUCUGAUCAAGUUUCCGAGGAUUGCUAUAUCUUUGUUUAUUAUCUACGGAAGUUGACAGCACAUCCACCAUAAUUCAUGGCCCACCAGACUCUAAGUCCACUGCGAGUAUAUAUUAAUUUGUUUUAAUCCGACUAUACUAGAUGUGUACCAAUCAUUCGAUAUGAGGGACGAACUAAUUGUUUCUUGUCGACUAUUGCACCGUACCUCUCGUUUUCCAAACAAUUAAAAGGUACCCUUCCGUGAUGGUUGUACCGAUACCGACUAUCUAUAUUAUUGCUUUCUUGAGCAUACCAAACGAGUUAAUUGGUAUGAUGAUGUUAUAGCUCAUUUAUAUAUGCUUAAAUACAUACACCGGUAGAAAACUCGCCUUUAGUCUCGGUUGGUACGUGUUAGACACCUAAUCCUUGCAUUGAUGGCUAAUCCUUCCAGCUUUUGUCUUCACGCACGCAUGCAUUGAUAGCCUCCUGCGGAUGGCCUUUCAGCUACUGCGCCGUUCAACUUCUGUGGCCUGUCCGGCUUCUUCCUUUCCCCAUAUAAUGUAAUACGUUCAACUCAAAUGAAUGAAAUCAAAUUAUGCGUGUAUUAUUCUCGCUUUCAGUAGGGGCCAAAUCUCCCGAAAAUCCAUCCGGGAUAAAGAUGAGAAAUUAAUCCAUGCGUGGCUUCAUGCAAAUUUGUUCAGAUCAGGUUUGAACAGCAUGUAAUCUUUUUCAGGCAUCUAUAUGGAGCGUGGGUGUGUUAUGUUAUCUUCUACUACACAUAUAACAUUAAAUUCAUUCAGUUUGGCUGAGAGCCCAAAAUGCAACGAAUAUGCCAUCCAACGUGAAAAAAAGAUGUGGAACAGUAUACUCUAUCUUCGAAAUUAAUUAACGAGAUUCAGCUUCAAAAGAGAUAAGAGCAGACAAGAGGCACAUGGGUGCAUGCAUCCACACCUUGGGAUGCUGCAAAAUUUGGGAUCACGUGUGCGGAUCCCUAAUUAGGAAAAAAGAAUAAUUGUGCUAGCAAAAUGUGGAACACGACUGCCGGCCCAGUUGGCGCUAAGACAUCGUACGUGCAUUAAGUCUGAGGUGCCCAACGAUCUCUUUCUUUAACUCAUGCUUGACUGUGACGGUGCUAUUAUAUAAUAUUGCAUGAUCAUCAUGAUAAGAUCGUAUAGUGACUGAGUGAGACAUGUACUAUAACUUGCAUUUAAGCCUCGAACUGUGUGUCGUUACGUGAGCUGCCUCCUCUCCUCGCCUCUGAAUUAUUGAACCGUUUCCAACAGUGUUGGUCUCGACGAAAUUUGACGCCAACCAGAUUUAUGAAGAAAAGAGAAUAAUACUUGGAAUUGGGAAAAGUUGAUCUCUCUUUACAAUGGGUAGGUGCUCCCCUUUUAUAGUGACCCAUGAGCCACUUUACAUUCCGAAAAUAUCCUUUCUCAACCACUACAUUCCUAGGAUAUGCCGUACAAAUUGAACUCUUCCACGUGGUCACAUUUCUCACACCUCCUGUUUUCCAACCUCAAGACUUCAUCUUCACGCCAAGUUGAUCAUCUAGCCUCGAGGCUCCAUCCACGAUCUGGAAUGAACGUCCAGCUCGAGGCUCCUGCUUGUUAGAAGAACCGUCGUAUGAGACGAGGAUUGUAUCUUAGAGAUAAGAGUUGUUAUGGUUUGAGUUGGCCGGCUAGUAGAUAGAGAUAGAAUCUUGAUGUAUUUGAAUGCUGGCUAAACUUUAUCUAUAACAACAUGCAUUGUAAUCUGUUGGGACUUUCCCCCUAUAUAAACGUGCAACCACGGCGAGCCAAGAUAGGGCAACCGUGUUCAACUCUUUUGACAUGGUAAUCAGAGCCUUUCUUCCAUAAAAUACAUCUACAUCUACACCACCUGGCGCACGCCACCUUGCAUGCAACAGUCAUGGUGUCAUCAUCGUCGUUGUCAGCCACUACGCCCACGGCGGCGCAGCUUGGAGCUCCUGUAGCUGAAAAGCUUACAGGGGAGAAUUAUGUCUUAUGGAAGGCUCAAUUCUUGCCUGCUGUGCGGGGUGCGCAGCUCAUGGGAGUCCUCAACGGAUCUGUCAAGGAGCCGGCCAAGACCAUGGAACUGGUGAAGGCUGACGGCAAGAAAGGGUAGCAUGACUUCAUCAACUUACUACACCAAGAUGUCUUAGCUGGGCUCUAGCCCCGAUCUUGCCAUGCGCUCCGCGAGCUCCAGUGCGUUGUCGACAAGCCUGAGCCGCGUGCAGCACAUGAGCACCGCGUUCCACACGACCGCCGUGGCCUCCAUCGUCUCAGCACCCAUGUGGCCACAGCCACGUCCGUGUUCUCGACGUACAUGCCGGCGAGGAACCCGGGAACGAGCGGGUGCGCGUCGACGUGGUGGGGAGCGUGGCAGCGGCAGCUUUGCUCGAUCUGGCGGCCGGAGAGUGGGACGAGACCACCACGGGGGAGACGGUCGGUGGUGGUGGCGGUGGCAAUGGGAGGAAGGCCUUGGAGAUCAAGGGAUCCAAGGGCCCCUUCCAAGAGAGAAGGGAGAUCGGGGGAGGAGACCGAUGGAGGGGAGGCGGGAGGGAGGAUCGCCGGCAGCGGGGGUAAGGAGAAAGAACAGGCGCGCGGGAGGGAGUCACGGUGCCGGAGACUCGGGAGAAAAGAAGCGAAUCAUUUUUGUGUAACCAGUGGUAUUGGUAGGUAAUUACCCACCAACUCCACGAGGAGGUUCAUAUUGGGUAGUUUUGGAGUUGCAAAAGAGGUGCUCCAAAACUCCACCCCCAUUUGCACUACAGCUCCAUGGAGUUUUGGAGUUGGGGUGUUUGGCUGUAAAAUUGGCUAGAGUUGUUGGAGGUCAGCUCCAGAGCCAUGCCAAACACGCCCUAAGGAUCAGGAAACGAGGAAAAUCCUUCAUCAAGGUAGAUGCAAAAGCGGGCCUUUAUCCAUUAGAAUCCAUCUUGUCAGAAGAAGGCGAUGACAAGAGAGUUUAUGGUGCCAUCAAACCAUCUGCUUCUAGAUGGCAUAGCCGCUUAGGCCAUCCAGCUUAUCCUAUUAUUCAGCGUGUGCUUAAUCAUCAUAAUCUUCCUUGUGGUAGUACUAAUUUUGAGUCAGUUUGUGAUUCAUGUCAAAUGGCUAAAAGCCAUCAACUUCCAUAUUCUAGUUCAAUAAAUUCGUCAAAAGCUUCGCUUGAUCUUAUUCAUUCUGAUGUUUGGGGGCCUGCACCUAAUUCUGUUGGUCGAUAUUCCUACUAUGUGAGCUUUAUUGAUGAUUAUAGUAGGUUCACCUAGAUUUAUCUCCUGAAAAAGAAAUUUGAUGUCUUUCAAGUGUUCAAAGAAUUUCAGAAUCUAGUGGAGCGAAAACACAAUAAGAAAACUGUAUCCAUGCAAACUGACUGGGGAGGCGAAUAUGAGAAGUUGAAUUCCUUCUUUCAGCAAAUUGGUAUAGCACAUCGCGUCUCAUGUCCUCAUGCCCACCAGCAAAAUGGCCUCGUCGAGAGAAAGCAUCGUCAUACUGUUGAAGUUGGUCUCGCUCUUCUCGCAAAUGCUUCAAUGCCUUUAAAAUUUUGGGAUCAAGCUUUUUUGACGGCCACUUAUCUCAUUAAUAUGCUUCCCAGUAAAAUUCUUAAUUUUGAUACUCCUACAGAACGCUUGCUCCAAGAAAAGCCUCAUUACAGCUCUCGUCGCAUUUUGGGGUGCGCUUGUUGGCCUAAUUUGUGACCCUAUAAUACUCACAAGCUAGCUUUUCGUUCCGUUAAAUGCACCUUUCCUAGUUACAGUUUCAUGCAUAAAGGCUUCAAGUGCUUAGAUCCCUCUACCGGCAGAAUUUAUAUCUCCCGAGAUGUUGUUUCGAUGAAUCGAUCUUUCCGUUUGCUCACUUACAUCCCAAUGCAGGCGCCCUUCUCAGUAAAGAGAUUCUUCUUUUACCUGACCAUCUUCGUAAUCCGGGGGAUGUAAGUUGCAUAGACAAUAUUACUAUACUACUGACCGUUUGCAUGAUAGCAAUGCGCAAGAUGUUUUUCAGGGGAAACUGUCACCGGGCUGGGCGCACGGUGACGCAGAAAAUCACGGCGGCACAUUCCAGGAGGAUUUGAUGCCAGGUGCCGACGGUCCAGGCGCUGACUCCCAGGGAGAUUCGGCGGCAGCAUCCGUUUUGCUCCCCUCCUUCCCAGCAAUGCCCAUCUCGCCGAAUACAUCUCCAACGCGUGGCUCCACGACAUGCCCAGCGCCCGCACCCGGCACUCCUCCGUCGCCGCAUGGCCCCGCACCUGGCCAAUCGCCUGCGCUAGCCGCCGGGAGUCCGACGCGUGGGGGGGGGGGUACCCAUCUAUCGCGCCAGACAGUCUCCCACCCGUGCCUGCUGCCCCGAAUCGUGCUAGCGCUGGAUCCUCUGCGGGAAGCAGAUCCGGUGUGGAAUCUAUGCCUGGUCAGGCCAGUUCUUUGGCGCUGGCUGCCCCUGCACCGUCUGUUUCACUGCCAAGACAACGGACACGGCUUCAAAGUGGAUUACGAAACCUACAUAGUUCCAGGACAUGAUCAGGUAUGGGUUGUUCUUAGCUUCUGCGGAACCACAGGAUUUUCAUGAAGCUCUAAAUGAUUAUAGAUGGAAAAAAGGCUAUGCAAGAUGAAUUUGAUGCUCUCAUUAGAAAUCAAACUUGGCACUUAGUUCCUGAAAUAAAGGGUAACAAUAUUAUUGAUUGCAAGUGGGUAUUCAAAAUCAAGAAAAAAUCAGAUGGUACCAUAGAUAGAUAUAAAGCAAGGCUAGUUGCAAAGGGUUUUCAGCAACGGUAUGGCAUUGAUUAUGAGGAUACUUUCAGUCCAGUGGUUAAGAUUGCAACUGUCAGGCUUGUCCUCUCAAUUGCUAUUUCGAAAGGGUGGUGUCCAAGAUAGUUAGAUGUAUAGAAUGUGUUUCUUCAUGGUGUUCUGGAAGAAGAAGUUUAUAUGAGGCAACCUGCAGGAUUUGAAAAAGGAGCUUUGCAUCUUGUGUGCAAAUUGGACAAGGCUAUCUACGGCUUGAAACAAGCCCCGCGAGCUUGGUAUGCUAAGUUAUGUUCCAAACUUAUUGCACUUGGAUUUGUUGCAUCUAUAUCAGACACUUCGUUAUUCAUCUAUCAAAGAUUGGGUGUCAUAAUUUAUAUGUUGAUUUAUGUUGAUGAUAUAAUUGUGACAAGUUCGUCAAGUGAAGCUGUUACGACGUUGCUUGCUGAUCUCAAGAAGGAUUUUGCUCUAAAAGAUCUGGGGGACCUCAGUUACUUCCUGGGUAUUGAAAUUAAAAGAGAAAAGAAUACUCUGCUGCUAACACAAGAAAAGUAUGCAAAGGAGAUUUUGUCACGGGUUGGUAUGGAGAAUUGCAAACCAUCAUCUACACCAUUGUCUACUAGUGAGAAACUUUCAAAGUAUGAAGGGGAGUUGCUGAAUUCAAGCGGUAGUACGAGGUACAGAAGCGUCGUUGGUGCAUUGCAAUAUCUCACUCCUACCUGACCGGAUCUAGCAUUCUCUGUGAACAAAGUGUGUCAAUUUCUACAUGCUCCUACCACGGUUCAUUGGACUGCUGUAAAAAGGAUACUUCGGUAUGUCAAGUUCACAUUGGAUCUUGGACUAAAUUUUCAGGCGUCAUCCUCCACCUUGGUUAUUGCUUUCUGUGAUGCUGAUUGGGCAGGAAGUGUUGAUGAUAGAAGAUCUAUCGGAGGGUUUGCAGUUUUCUUUGGUCUGAACUUGAUUUCUUAGAGUGCUAGAAACCAAGCCACUAUCUCAAGAUCAAGUACAGAAGUUGAAUACAAGUCUAUGGCAAAUGCAACUGCAGAGUUAAUAUGGUUGGAAUCCUUGCUAAAGGAGCUGGGUAUACGGCUGCAUCAACCACCAUGUUUACAGUGUGACAAUUUGGGAGCUACAUAUUUGUCUGCCAAUCCAGUCUUUCAUGCGAGAGCAAAGCAUAUAGAAAUUGAUUUUCACUUUGUUCGCGAGCGUGUGGUUAAUAAAAAGCUGCAGGUGCUGUUGGUUGCUUCCAGAGACCAGCUUGCGGACUGUUUACCAAAGCCUUGCCGUGCGGAUUGCUGGAAGCUUUCAAGAGCAAUCUAAAUAUCAAAAGGAAGAGAAGUUUAGAUUGAGAGGGACUGUUAGAAGAACCGUCGUAUGAGACGAUGAUUGUAUCUUAGAGAUAAGAGUUGUUAUGGUUUGAGUUGGCCGGCUAGUAGAUAGAGAUAGAAUCUUGAUGUAUUUGAAUGCUGGUUAACUCUAUCUGUAACAACAUGCAUUGUAAUCUAUUGGGACCUUCCCCCUAUAUAAACGUGCAACCACGGUGAGCCAAGAUAGGGCAACCGUGUUCAACUCUUUUGACACUGCUUCGUUAAGCUUUGUUGAGAACUCAUAAACUCACAUAGUUCUCCUUUGAGUAUUGUUCCUAACUAAAGAGUAAACAGGUAAAAGCUCGGUGCCCGGAACCGACUCAGAACACUCGAGGCUUAACUUAGUUGGAGUUUAGCUAUUACCAUUGCCAGUGACCAGCCUCGAGCCCCUCUAGAAGCAAGGUGAUGCGAGGGUGCGAGUUUUACUAUAAGAGGUGUCCCUAUAGAACGUGCGAGGUUAAAGGUGUUCCGUUACUUUUCCUGCCGACGCAUAACUUGCAAGGUUAAGGGGUUUUUAUCCCACAAACGGUGCUCCAGGAUGUUCAGAUUUUUGGGAUCCCCAACAAACAGCAAUCUUGAGUGGCUCUAAAUUGUUGUUGGCCACAUCAUACCUUGUCUUGGGCUGCUGGGUCGUGUUGUGCACCACGAGUGCACGAUCAGACAUCCUGCACUGUUAAGUCUUCGAUGAUACGGCUGCCUUGCUUCCUCAGCUUGUCAGCAACUGCUUCUUGACUGCUACAGUACAAUUAUUGCAUGGUAUCAAGGUAAUAUAUAUAGUGACUGAAUGAGCACAUAUAACAUAUGCAUUUAGGCCUCCAACUGGUCAUUGCACGAGCUGCCUCCUCUCCUUACCUCUGAAUUAUGGAGCCAUAUCCAACAACAACCUUGACAGUGAUGAUGAUGACGACGAUGAUGAAAUUAAGAAAAGAAGCUUUAUGCAAAUUGCAAAAAGCUGAAAAAGUGGUUGAAACAUUUCAAAUCACCAAAUGCCACAUUUGAAAUGACUAGAUGAAACAUCACGAAAUCAAUUGCAACAGUUGAAGAUGAAAACAUUCAAACGCCUUGCCUUUCUCCAGAUUUGACCCUCCAAGCAUAUAUGAGUCCAGCCAUUUGCACAUUAGACCCUUGGGAGGAGCUCACCGGAGAACAACAAGACCGUGUUCUCCAACAAUUUUCCGAUCAAAUUGCAACAUAAAAAAGAAAGCAUUGCAACACAUCUGGCAUCGCGAGCUACAACAUCAACCAGUUAGGAUUAGGAGAAAGAGGGCAAACCCAAGCCUAGCAAUGAGUUAUAUCCGGUUUAAACGAGGAUAAAAAUGAGUGUAUUUUCCACUCAUCAUGUUGUCUUUUCGCAGCUGUACCGCCUUUAGUAUGUUGUAUUGUUCCCCUAACACCAAGUCUCCGAGGCCCGAGAAAAUAAGGAAAGUGAUAGCAGCCCAGAAAUCGACCAAGUUUCUUUCCCCCUUUGGCAUUCCUACUAGGAUUCGGAAUACUCUUUCGCAUGACAAUCAUAAUUAUCUCCCAUAAUCCAAAACUCACAAAAACAUCAAAAAUCCGCCGAGAAUAAAUUAAGUAAAAAACAUGCACAAACAAAUAAUAAUAAUAAUCAUGUUUCAAUAAAAUUGCUAAGGCCAGAGACAAUACAUAAACAUAUUAGACUGUUCAUGACACAUAUCACGGUGGACAGUGUCUAUGUCCUUAUUACAAGCAGCGAGAGGAAUUAAAUAUGCUUGACACCACACACACGAGCGCACAGAUGCACGACACACAUAUAGUUGAGACCAACAGAUGGACCUCGACUAGAGGUCGCCUCAUAUGGUGAACAAUUUAUUGGAGAUAAACAUGAACAUAACUUGGCCAUAGCUUGAAGCAUAGCAACAUAUGCCUAUGAAUGGCAUUCAUGCUGGUAGCAAUGCAAUCAUAUCGUUUUAGGCUUGUCCAGCUUCUUCCAUCUUAGCAAGCACUGCCAUUUCUUCCAUCUUAGCAGCAACUGUCAAAUUGAGAUAUGGUAUCCCAUUAGCGUAUGAGUUAAUUUUGCACUGGAAAUAGAGUACAAGAUGUCUUCAUGAUGUAAGUAAUAUGCCUGAAGUUGUGAGAUGGGAAGUGAAGUCAACAAAUUACAUUAACGGAAAUGCAUGGAAGGCCACACAUACGUAUUAGUCCACGAUAUGCUACAAAGCUUGUAUGUACAUAUAACAAAUUAAAUGCAUUGAAUAGAGUGAGUUUACUGAAUUUACCAGAAUCGGACAGAACACAUGGGAAACAGCAAGUGUUCUUGCAGAGUGAGUCGGAGCCACCUGCAGUAAUACAAGCAAAACAACAUGCUUUUGCCCGGGCGGAUACGCAGCAGCUGCACUGUGCCGCGGUGGCCGGGUUAACAUUGAGGCUCAAGAUGACCAGGCACAUGAUCACCAUCAAAGCGGUAGUCCUCUUUCCCUCCAUUGCCUCCUCUUGCUGCUACCUUCCUUGGUUACCUAGCUAAGUUUAUUGGUUUUGUGUUGAGAGGUGAUUCUUGAAUGGACGUUGCCGGCUGCAAUUUAUAGGCAGCUGCGCUAUGUGAUGAUAUGGACAAGGUGCAAAUGGGUGGUCCAAUGGCAAGGAAAGGGGGUAUUCUGCUUGACAUUGGCAUCAGACAAAGCCCAAUGGCAACUGCUGACACGCGAUUAAAAUCAGAUCCACAUCUUAUCCAGCCAUUCACUAAUAAUUAAACUAAACCCACGCGGUCCGCGAGAUGCAGCGUCCAUGCAUAGCACUUCCCGCAAACAAUAGGAAAAAUUAGAAUUCAGAGAUAGCAGCUGCUUGCAUGAAACACGGUUGCACAGAAAUCAGUGGUGCUUGGACGGUAAGUAGUGUGGUGUACAAGCUUAAAGCGGCAGUGAGUCACGUUGGUGUAACAAGCAGUACAUCAGCUGGAAGAUUGAUAUGUCUAUUGCCCACGCAGCAUAGCAUUUUAUUAUGAUACAUUGAGUUAUGUCAUAUUGUUACUUUAAGUUAUUUUUUAAGUAUUAGUUGUAGACAAUUUAGUUGCAAAUUUAAGCGGUUAUUUUAAAUUAUUUUUUAUAAUGGAAUAAGUGGGUAAUUUAGAUGAAGAUUAGGGGGUUACUUUAGCUUAUUUUAUAUAAUAGCAGAGGUGGGUAAUUUAGAUAUAAAUUUAGACACGUUUAACAAAAUGUAUCUACAGUUUCUGACACGGUCCGUGUGGAGACGCUCCAGACAUGCUUUACUCAAGCGCAUCUAUACUUCAGUAGAAAUGAAAUAAAGCGUAUCUAACAUAGGAAUAAAGUGUAUCUAGAGGAGGUUUUUCUUGUAGCGAGGGAUGAACCAUUAUUGGACGAACUGGCACACUUGCUUCUACCCGCUCCCCCACACCCCACAACCGCCCCCAGUGUGAGCGUCCAAGUCUCGAUCGUUGCUCGCGUUAAGCGGUGCCGCCGCACUGCACCACAGCGACAGAAGCCACACCACCGGCUGCAUGUGACAGCGGGGAGCACCCUCACCACCUGCCCGCGGGGAGCGCUUACGCCAGCCAUAGUGUCCCCGUAGAACCGCCACGCGAGCAUGUGAGCCACCGACCGCCGUGCCCCCAAGGGCCAUCACCGCGCUACCCGAGGAUGUUGUCUACCCGGUGCCACGCGCCUCUGCUAGGUGCCUGCACCUGGGCCGCCACCGGUCGCCUGCACAGCCACGUGUUGCAGCUGCCCCCUGCGCUGAGCCACCCCAUUAAACGUUGGAAGAACCACCUGAGUCUCGCACGCCGAGGUCUUGCUGGUGACGACCAUGGCCUCCGCGAUCAUAUGAAAAAGUUGUCAACUACAAAGUAUUAGGCCUCGUCGAGCUCUACAAUUUUGAUCGAAAGUUUCUAUUCAUCCGAGAUCAAAUGAAAAAGUUGGUACUCAAAAUAUACAUCCAUUAAUCUAGUCGUGCUAAUCCUUACCACAAAUUAAAAAACUAGCAUGUGUCGUGUGUUUGUGACCCUAAACAAUCACAAACGAAUAACUUAUCAACUUCAAAAUUUAGCUGAUCAGGAGUCUAGGCAACCUCAAGGGUAUAAAUAUGUGCACCCUGAGGCUUGCAAGAUUUUAUCUCUCGAUUAAUCAAUGCAAUUUUUGGGCGCCACGCAGCCAAACCCUUAGGAGUAGAAGUAACGUAGCUUUUUGAUGAGUAUCUUCUUGCGCGCAGGGCUGCAUCAGCUUCGAUAUCCGACGAACUUGUAAGUACCGUCAUCCGGUCAUUACGUUAUCUAUAUUAAAAGUUUCUAGGCAUCAUCCAAUAUUCUAAUCUUUUAUCGUGUGGCUAAUUAUCGAGUUAUCUUAUAUUGUAAAUAAAACUUGCUAGGGUUUGUCCAAUAUUCCAUUUGUUUUCAGCGUUACUGCUUAAUUAGAUCUGCUUAGGUUGUUCUCAUCGGCUUCUAGUCUUGUUUAAACGUUCACAAGUUAUUUGAUCGUAUCGGCAAGUUCGACCUUGCAUGCUUUUAUCGCUUUAUCUAUACUAGGUCCGAUAGAUCUUUACCCCUUCCCCUUGUAUUGCUAGCAGUUGGAUCCAUAACGUUAGAACGAUACUGUUGAGAGCUGAUGCAUUGAUUUAGUAUCAUCCAUAUCUCAUAGAAUGUAUCAUGGUUAAUGGCAAUUUAAUGAAAUUAUAAAGGAUAAUAACAAUCGUGCUUUCGGCGUUCCAAAAAUCAAUCAAGAAUUCAUCAUGGUUGUGCAGUGUAUGGAAACCUUAUGGUAAUAGUUAGAUGGGAAAUGUUGUAUUAUGUAAUAAAUCCAGGUACUUCACAAAUCAUGAUCGAUGGAUGUCUAACACUGUUGAAAGAGAUUGGAAUAAAGCAGACUCACCUCAGACUAUGCACCAUGUCUGAGUGACCCACCUCACCUUGCCAGGUCACUGGUCUUGCCAGCACACAAGCUAUGAUGUUGCCAGGAGUGGUCAGUACACAAAUCUAGCUACCAGUCGGAUCGAAGGGCAGGCAUUUGCAUUGUGGUUGUGCUUGAACAUGGAGAUGUCUUGCGAUUGUCACGCACCAUACAUCCUCUCUCAGUUUCACUCCGCCUCACACACGGAUAGGACACCAGGGACCCGACACCAUGCAUGCCGAUUUCAUAUUAUUAAUAUUUAUUUUUUGAAUGGUUGUUGAAACUAUAUAUAUAGUUAGUCCAAUCUCACGUUUCCGAUUAUAAAAAUUAACAUAAAGAGAUCGGAAGGGAGAGCACUAGAGCCGGCAUUUAUACAAACUGGUAUGAAUAGUAAAAUCUAGAAUUCAUAAAUAAAAAAAUGAUUUGCACAUCUAUGCAAUAAUUAGUGGUUAGUGGUAGGUCUAGAGAGAUAUCUCAUCAAAUCGAUGAGUUAUAUCCGGUUUAAACGAGGAUAAAAAUGAGUGUAGUCUUUUCGCAGCUGUACCGCCUUUCCUUUCGUGUGUUCUAUUGUUCCCCUAACACCAAGUCUCCAAGACUCAAGAAAAUAAGGAAAGUGAUAGCAGCCUAGAAAUCGACCAAGUUUCUUUCCCCCUUUGGCUUUUCUACUAGGAUUCGGAAUCCUCUUUCGCAUGACAAUCUUAAUUAUCUCCCAUAGUUCAAAACUCACAAAACUAUCAAAAAUCCACCGAGAAUAAAUUAUGUAAAAACAUGCACACACAGAUAAUAAUAAUAAUAAUCAUGUUUCAAUAAAAUUUCUAAGGCUAGAGACAAUACAUAAACAUAUUAGACUAUUCAUGACACAUAUCACAGUGGACAGUGUCAGUAUCCUUAUUACAAGCAGCGAGAGAUGCUUGUCACCACACACACGCGUGCACAGAUGCACGACAUACAUAUAGUUGAGACCAACAAAUGGUUGCCCCAUAUGGUGAACAAUUUAUUGGAGAUAAACAUUAACAUAACUUGGCCAUAGCUUGAAGCAUAGCAACAUAUGCCUAUGAAUGGCAUUCAUGCUGGUAGCAAUGCAAUCAUAUCGUUUUAGGCUUGUCCAGCUUCUUCCAUCUUAGCAAGCACUCCCAUUUCUUCCAUCUUAGCAACAACUGUCAAAUUGAGAUAUGAAAAUUCCAUUAGCACAUGAGUUAAUUUUGCAGUGGAAAUAGAGUACAAGAUGUCUUCAUGAUGUAAGUAACAUGCCUGAAGUUGUGAGAUGGGAAGUGAAGUCAACAAAUUACAUUAACGGAAAUGCAUGGAAGGCCACGCAUGCAUACGUAUUAGUCCACGAUAUGCUACAAAGCCUUCUAUGUACAUAUAACAAAUUAAAUGCAUUGAAUAGAGUGAGUUUAGUGAAUUUUACCGGAAUCGGUCAGAGUACAUGGGAAACAGCAAGUGUUCUUGCAGAUGAAGUCGGGGCUACCCGCAGCAAUACAAGCAAAACAACAUGCUUUUGCUCGGGUGGAUACGCAGCAGCCACACUGUGCCGCGGUGGCCGGGUUAACAUUGAGGCUCAAGAUGACCAGGCACAUGAUCACCAUCAAAGCGGUAGUCCUCUUUCCCUCCAUUGCCUUCUCUUGCUGCUACCUUCCUUGGUUACCUUGCUAAGUUUAUUGGUUUUGUGUUGAGAGGUGAUUCUUGAAUGGACGUUGCCGGCUGCAAUUUAUAGGCUGUGUGAUGAUAUGGACAAGGUGCAAAUGGGUGGUCCAAUGGCAAGGAAAGGGGGUAUUGGCAUCAGACAAAGCCCAAUGGCAACUGCUGACACGCGAUUAAAAUCAGAUCCACAUCUUAUCCAGCCAUUCACUAAUAAUUAAACUAAACCCACGCGGUCCGCGAGAUGCAGCGUCCAUGCAUACACUUCCCGCCAAACAAUAGGAAAAAUUAGAAUUCAGAGAUAGUAGUGUGCCAGCAGCUGCUUGCAUGAAACACGGCAAUCAGUGGUGCUUGGACGGCAAGUAGUGUGGUGUACAAGCUUAAAGCGGCCUUGUGUAACAAGCAGUACAUCAGCUGGAAGAUUGAUGUCUAUAGAGGCUUGUUAUUAUCUUUAAUUCCACAUACUGCACAAUGUCAAAGUAAAAUGCGAAAGGAUAACAAGCUGAUACAGAGUGAUUGGAUUUACUUGAGGAGUAGCUUGAAGAAACAUCCAGCAACAACAGAAAAGUCAAAGUAUCGAGCCCAUGAAGCUAUAAAGCAGAUUGUAUUGGCUAGAAGAUUCAGGACGCUGGACUUACAAAAGUUGGAAGCAUGACAUUCAUACUCCGAACUUAGGGGCCUGUGUUCACACUGGAUGAUUUUAGCCGGUGAAAUCCCUUGUUUCGCAUUUUUCAUCAGGUCCCAAUGCCCAUGCAGCAUAACAUUUUAUUAUGAUACAUUGAGUUAUGUCAUAUUGUUACUUUAAGUUAUUUUUUAAGUAUUAGUUAUAGGCAAUUUAGUUGCAAAUUUAAGUAGUUAUUUUAAAUUAUUUUUUUAUAAUGGCAUAAGUGGGUAAUUUAGAUGAAGAUUAGGGGGUUACUUUAGCUUAUUUUAUAUAAUGGCAGAGGUGGGUAAUUUAGAUAUAGAUUUAGGGGUUACUUUAGGCUAUUUUCUUAAUGGAAUAGGUGGGUAAUUUUUUUAGAAAAUAUAAUAGAUCCAAUGGCUACGAUGAUUUGAGUCUAAUGAUUGAUGGCAAGAUGUUUUGCUUGUUUGUGGGAAUUUUAAAUAUUUCUCUUUUUUCUAGAGUGUCCACCUAGAAUGCUAGGUGGUUUCACUUGGAGGCUUCAAAAGGAGCUUCCAAAUUAGUAAUAGUAAGAUUUUCUCAAAAGAGACUUGAUUCUACCACUAUAACUUGAUUGGCCGCCCCGGCCUCUACCUUUGCCUCCAUUUGACUAUUUGAGUUGGCUGUCAACGAUUCACGGUGCUGGCAACAUUACGUUUGAUCCAAAUGCCACUACUCAUGUGCGCCAGCUGUAUUCUACCAAGUGGCAUGUGGGAAUGCCAUGAUGCAUGUGCAGUAACAGCGUGCACAUCUUGUAGGAUUCGCACCUCGUUUUCACUAUUGUAUCAUCUUAGCGAUUAGGAGCGAAGUGUGCUUUGGGGUUGCAAUUGGGAUAUAGACCUUAUUCUCGAAGAGAAUCUUAAAAGCUUACAUUCGCCCCCUCCGGUCGCCCGUGUUCCGAUCCUUCACCUAUAAAUUAGGAGUAGCAGGUAGUAAGUGGCAGGUUAGAUAAGUACUCGUUGAUGAAUGUUGACUUGGCGUGAUCGGCUCUGCUAUUUUCACGAAGAUGCCAAUAUUGAAAGCACAUCCACCAUUUCUGCGGAUGUGAGGGAUGAACUAAUUAAUUGUUUCUUGUCCAUUAUUGCACCGUACCUCCCAUUUUCCCGUUUUCCAAACAAUUAAAGGUACCCUUACGUUACGCUUGAUCCAAAUGCCACCACUCAUGUGCGCAAGUGGCAUGUGGUAAUGCCAUGAUGCAAGUGCAGUAACAGCGUGUACAUCUUGCAUGAUUCGCGCCUCGUUUUCACUAUUGUAAUCUAUAAAGAAACAAACAAAAAACAAAACGAUGGAUGGAUCAGCUCGGGAUCCAAUAAUCGAGAGGAAUUCAAGGAAAAAGAAAAAUUUGGGAUCACGUGUGCGGAUCCUAAUAACAAUAUAUAGUAGGACAUCUCCAUGCUCACCUAGUAGCCACUACUAGUGCGCCGGCCCAGUUGGCGCUAAGACAUCGUACGUGCAUUAAGGGGGUGUUUGGAUACUGGACGCUAAACUUUAGCAGUGUCACAUCGGAUGUUCGGAUGCUAAUUAGGAGGACUAAACAUGAGCUAAUUAUAAAACUAAUUGCAGAACCCCUGUGCUACUUCGCGAGAUGAAUCUAUUAAGGCUAAUUCAUCCAUCAUUAUCAAAUGGUUACUGUAGCACCACAUUAUCAAAUUAUGGACUAAUUAGGCUUAAUAGAUUCAUCUCGCGAAUUAGACUCCAUUUGUGCAAUUAGUUUUGUAAGUAGUCUAUGUUUAAUACUUCUAAUUAGCAUCCAAACAUCCGAUGUGACAGGUGCUAAACUUUAACAGUGGGGAUCCAAACGGGGCCUAAGUCUGUGGUGCCCAACGAUCUCUUUCUUCUAACUCAUGCUUGACUGUGACGGUGCUAUUAUAUAUUAUUGCAUGAUCAUCAGGAUAAGAUCGUAUAGUGACUGAGUGAGACAUGUAUGUACUAACUUGCAUUUAUCCAAGAAGAGGCACAUGAGUAGUGGUGCAUGCAUCCACACCUUGGCAUGCUGCAAACUUUUAUGGGUCCAUAUGUAUAGCCAAGUAAACUAUUUUAUCCUGCUGCAAGCUGCAGACAUAAGUUUAUUUAACCUUUGUUCACAAUCACUUCCACUGUCGUCGCAAUUGCCAAAGACAAGCUCACCAAUGCUAUUGCGGAGCAGGCCAAUUUCCUGUGGAACUUCGGCGACGACCUGAAGGACAUGAACUCGGUGCUGGAGUCCAUCUCAGCAGCGCUUCAGGACGCUGACACCGGUAGAAAAACGACAUUCCAUCCUCAACAAAAAUCCUAGCAUCCUCUACUCAGUCAGAUGUACUGUGUAGGUGAGAUGGUAAGGAAGCUAUGCGCGAGGCUUGAGGUCGUGAGUUCGAAUCCCAUGCACCACGCACGCACGCGCAUAUUUCGCGUGACUUGUGAUCAGCCAAGGAGAAAUGGGUGCAGCUGUUGCUUAAGUGCCUGAGGCACACUGCCAUAGACAUCUCGGAUUUGCUCGAAGACUACCAAGAAACUAGGAACCCUUAACAGCAAAGGUGAGUACUUAUGUAUGUCAGCAUCUAUGUUGUCCAUGCUUCCAAUGCAAUAACACGAAGGACUACUCUUCCUAGCGGACUCUUCACAAUCACUCGUAAAGGUAUGCGUUUCUCAAUGCAAUUUCAUAGAAGGCAAUCGAUCCAACCAAGCGACUAAAUCAUUCGUCCUUGCCAAUGAUGUGCAUCAGGUUUUCUAUAUGAAGGGCAUGUCUAGCAAACCCAAGAUUUCAGAACAAAAGAAAAAUCAUGUGAGCCAAAGCGCCACAUUGUUCUUCCAAGUAAAAAAAAUCAUGGGAGUCAAGAACAAAUCAGACCAAUCAGGGGAUUAUUGUCAGCUUGAUGGCAUGCCUCCAUUCGAUGUCGAAGUUGACCCAAGCAUCAUGUUAGCCAAAGUUCAAAUGUUCGUGCGUUGCUAUGGUAAAUAUCAAUUGUGUUUUUUAAACUCAUGGAUUUUUUUAUCUAAGUUUUUAUUACACUUAUUGGAUGUCUACACAUUUGCUAGAAAACCAAAAUAAUUUUGACUUAAUUAUUUCUUUCAACUCAAAUACUCAUUAAAUUUCUACGUUUUUAUUUAAGCAAGAGAGUUGCUACAAAAAAAUGGAUACGUAACCAUAUUGUAUCAUACAAAGCAACCACAUUUCACAUAUAGUCCGGCUUUGCAAACACCAUUGUUAUCUGAACAUAGCAUACAUGAGUUAGUAGACAUGGAUAUAUUUCUAAUUGCAAGUAGCAUAUAACCAGCCUGCACCGACGCAGCUCAAUAUGCGAUAAUUUUUAUCUUCCCAUGUAAUUUUUCUACUCUAGUACAUAUUGAACUCCACAUAAAUGUGAUCUUUCACGCCACAUACGGUUCCUAAAGUUUGGAAACUAAAUAGAUAGCCAGAAAUUUUUUAGAAAGUAUUUAUAUGGAUACAUGUAUGUUCUUCGCAAACUAACAGUAUUGUUUACCAAUAUCAAAAGGAAUAUGGCUAGGAUCAUUGCCGCAUAUGGCAGGUGAUGGUAAAGUUAUCAACUGCAAAGUAUUAGGCCUCGUUGAGCUCUACAAUUUUGAUAUAAAGUUUCUAUUCAUCCGAGAUCAAAUGAAAAAGUUGGUACUCAAAACAUACAUCCAUUAAUCUAGUCGUGCUAAUACUUACCACUAAAUGAAAAACUAGCAUGUGUUGUGUGUUUGUGACCCUAAACGAUCACAAAUGAAUAACUUAUGGGCGUUGCUAGCGCCCGAACGUAUGGUCCGGGGUGCUAGCAUCGGAUGCACGAGCAGCCGUCCGAUCAGGUCCGACACCACUUCAGGAUCUGGCUCAAAAAAAAGUCCCACCGAAACAUUGUUCCAUGUUGCAUAAAAUAUCCCACUAUCCAUUGCUGGGUCUAGAGCAAGCACCAGCUUCCAAUAUGCUGCUCACCCAAGCUAAAUAGGGGCAUUAAAAUUGCAGAAAUAUGUCGCAUAUCCUUCUCAAAUUAAACUAAAUCGCAACAUCCGAAAAUUUCUUACACAAAACCAUGAAACAUAUCGAUUAGAUAGGUGUAACAAGAUGAAAUAUGGUAUGCAACAUAUAGAUUCUGAAAAACAGAUGAAACAUUAUUUAAUGAUUGUUGAAACAGUCGAGAAAAAUAGAUGUAACAUCUAAAAUUAAGAAAAGAAGCUUCAUGCAAAUUGCAAAAAGCUGAAAUAAGUGGUUGAAACAUUUCAAAUCACCAAAUGCCACAUUUGAAAUGACUAGAUGAAACAUCACAAAAUCAAUUGCAACAGUUGAAGAUGAAAACAAUCAAAUGCCUUGCCUUUCUCUAGAUUUGACCCUCAAGCAUGAGUCCAGCCAUUUGCACAUUAGACCCUUGGGAGGAGCUCACCGGAGAACAACAAGACCUUGUUCUCCAACAAUUUUCCGAUCAAAUUGCAACAUAAAAAACAAAGCAUUGCAACAUCUGGCGGUAUCAUGAGCUACAACAUCAACCAGUUAGGAUCAGGAGAAAGAGGGCAAACACAAGCCUAGCAAUGAGUUAUAUCCGGUUUAAACGAGGAUAAAAAUGAGUGUAUUUUCCACUCAUCAUGUUGUCUUUUCGCAGCUGUACCGCCUUUAGUGUGUUGUAUUGUUCCCCUAACACCAAGUCUCCGAGGUCCGUGAAAAUAAGGAAAGUGAUAGCAGCCCAGAAAUCGACCAAGUUUCUUUCCCCCUUUGGCUUUCCUACUAGGAUUCGGAAUCCUCUUUCGCAUGACAAUCUUAAUUAUCUCCCGUAGUCCAAAACUCACAAAAACAUUAAACAUCCUCCGAGAAUAAAUUAAGUAAAAAACAUGCACACACCAAUAAUAAUAAUAAUCUUGUUUCAAAAAAAUUGCUAAGGCCAGAGAUAAUACAAAAACAUAUUAGACUGUUCAUGACACAUAUCACGGUGGACAGUGUUUGUGUCCUUAUUACAAGCAACGAGAGGAAUUAUAUAUGCUUGUCACCACACACACGCGCGCACAGAUGCACGACAUACAUAUAGUUGAGACCAACAGAUGGAUCGACUAGAGGUGGCCCCAUAUGGUGAACAAUUUAUUGGAGAUAAACAUUAACAUAACUUGGCCAUAGCUUGAAGCAUAGCAACAUAUGCGUAUGAAUGGCAUUGAUGCUAUCGUUUUAGGCUUGUCCAGAUAAUAAUAUCUGGUUUUAAGCAUAACAUGGUUUUUACUUAAUUUAUCUGUGCGUGCGAUAAUAAACCAGAUAAUAGCUUGAAACAUGUUGUGCAUUGGCACCACACGCACGAGAAUAAAUUAAGUAAAAAACAUGCACACAUAGAUAAUAAUAAUAAUCAAGUUUCAGUAAAAUUGCUAAGGCCAGAGACAAUACAUAAACAUAUUAGACUAUUCAUGACACAUAUCACGGUGGUCAGUGUCUGUGUCCUUGUUACAAGCAGCGAGAGAUGCUUGUCACCACACGCACGCGUGCACAGAUGCACAACAUACAUAUAGUUGAGGCUGCAAUUUAUAGGCAGCUGCGCUAUGUGAUGAUAUGGACAAGGUGCAAAUGGGUGGUCCUGAUAUGGAUAAGGUGCGAAUGGCUGUCUACUUGUAUUGUGUAGCUCCAAUGUACGUAUGUAUCUUAUACAUGUAUACAGUUGAUGGAUAAGGUAUACAGUCUUUGUUACCAAGUAAUUUUACUUUCGCACGUUUCAGCCGAGAGGCAGAAGAGAAUAUUUUACAGAGAGGGCAGAGAAGGAGGUUGGUAGGGUUCCCCGUGUCGCCAAGAUUUUUGCAUUUUACAUGUGUGUAUAGAUCACUUCGUCGUGCGGCGCCCUACUCCAGGUUGUACCCCAGCAGACCACGUUCUGUUUCUCUGCCUCCACAAGGACCACAAGACUUAGUAAAAAAAGCUAAACUUUGCAACACGAUGUAUACAGAAUUAGUAGCUAGAUCUAUAUAUGAAAUUCAUCCUAAAACUGAUAGGUGGAGAGAAGUAAAAAAUACCAAUUUGAUUUCCUAUCUGAUUAGAGGAAAUAUGGAUGGAUCGGUCGCAAUUAGCGAAGUGGCUCCAAUUGACAUAAAAGGUGUGCAUUGCAUUCAGCAAGAAAAAUUGAGUUUCUACUGAAUCUAUGAAAAAAAAUGAGCUUACGUUAUCAUAUAUAGGCAUAAAUUAAAAUGACAAGAAAUUCCAACCACGGUAUAUAAGACCAAUAAUUGGAAAGAUGGAUGAAAGGAAGAUAGGGUUUAAAUUAAAGUCUCCGCAUAGGCAGUUUGACUAUGAUCAAUUUUACCUGUAUUUCUCAAUAUGUAGAUAAUUCUAUGCCAACAAUUAAAAACUAAUACAUAAUUUGACACGGUGCACCUUGAGAACGUUUUGAAAAUGUACUCUCGUUACGCGUUCACCUCCUUAACAAUAACUGCGACUGUAAAAUAGGUACAUCGACGCUAGCUAAAUAAACAACUAUAAGAUUUAGCAAGAGAUCAUUUUAUACAAUCCUGUAACGAAAGAAUUUGACAAUUAUAUUGUCCAUAUAUUUUGACGAAAAACGUCUAAAUUAUAUAAGGUGGGCCCGAAACAGUUGGAUUAGCAUAUGGUUACCCGUUUGUUGUCUUCCGGCCCUAAAAAAAGGACCAUCUUACUGAAAAAGGUUCUAUUAGCACAAGUAGAGAACUGACUUUCGAUGCACCCCCUUUUAUCCCGGUUUAAAGUAGGCCCGGGAGAAAAGGGGGUGCGCCAUGGUAGGCAAAAAUAGAGGGGAGAUUUACUCCCGGUUGGUAUUUGCAACCGGGACUAAAGGCCACCCUUUUGUCCCGGUUGGAGCCUCCAACCGGGAAAAAAGGGUGGGUGGACCUUUUGUCCCGGUUGGUGUUACCAACCGGGACAAAUAGUUUACUCCCGGUUGGAGGUUCCAACCGGGAGUAAACUUUUAGUCAUUUUGUCGGCCCUUUUGUCCCGGUUGGAGCCUCAAACCGGGAGUAAACUUUCAAUCGGGACAAAAGGUGUUUCUUUUUGUGUCAGUUGGAGUUUCUAACUGGGAUAAAAACUCAUCCCCAUUAUAUACCAAGACAGAGGUCUUUCUUCCUCCUCCAGCCCGAGCCAGUCCACCACAAAGACAGAGAGCUCAGCUUCACCUACUCUCCGGUGGUGCCGAAGCAAGGGAGGUGCUGCCCGAAUUUUUUUACCCUCAUUUUCGUGGGAAUUUCACUCAGCCAACACAAGUGUUGUGAAGGUUUGCUACUUCAUCCUCGUGUUACGCUUUGAUUUAUGCUUUGGAGAUGGAAAGUUUAUUUGCUAGAAUGUGAUGAAGUAGAAAAUGGAGAGGUACUUUAAGCUAGAAUGUGAGGGAGAUUGAUGUGUCAUAUAUAGUAUGUAUUCUUGCAGUGAUUUAAGAAUGAUGCUACCUUGUCUAGACGGUUUAUCUUAUCAAAUUCAAUAUGGUUUUUCAAAUUCAUACUUAUUGAACUUGCAUACCGUGUUCAUGUCGGCGAGAAUGUUCUACGAGAAAGAGUGGAUACGGACAUCGUGACCGUAUCCCCUUUUUCGUAGAAUCGAACCUCUUUCAUGACGAAGUGCGAUGCCGCCCAGUUGAGAACAUGCUCGCCAGAUGAUCACGGUCUUCAAGUUCAACAAGUUCUGUAGGCAUACCGUGAUCAUCUCGGUAAGCAUGUUCUCCGUGGAGCAGCAACGGACGUCAAGGAGGAGGUUCGAUUUUACGAGAAAGAGAGGCAACAGACAUCGUGGAUGACUGUGUCCCCUUUCUCGUAAAAUCGAACCUCUUCCAUGACGAAGUAUGGUGCCGCUCAGUUGAGAACAUGCUCACCGAGAUGAUCACGAUCUUCAAGUUCAACAAGUUCACCGCUAAGGUAAGAAUUUUUGUACAUAGAUGGCUUCUGCUACUGGAGGAAGUGGCGAUGGUGGGGGCGAUCGUCGUUCCUCUUUCGGCAAGGGGAAAAUCAUAGUUGGCCCUCAGGAUAAGCCGAAGAAAAUGAGCGCGUUGGAGAAAGCAAUGCUUCGUUAUUUGCAGAAACGUCAUGAAGAAGCUGUUGCCGCGGGUCAGGAACCUCCUUUUGGUUGUCGUUAUGCUCCACCCUCAGUCCCGGGUGUUUCACGUCCACUUAGUACUACCAUUUCAGGUGGCACAAAUAAACCACAGGAUGAGGCUGGGUCAGCGGAACCUUCAUCUUCACCGCCCAAGGAUGCUUAAAGUCCUCCUAGAUAAUAACCAGUGGAUGGCUUGUUGUAUUGUAUCAUGUUGUUUGGAUAUUUAAUUUAAAUAUGUGUAUUUGUAUCUAUAUCUAAACUUUCAGCAUUAUUUGCACUACAACGUUUGACAUGCUUUCAAUCAUGAAUCCAUUUUCAAGUGUAAUCAAUUUUCACGCGUAAUCCAUUUUCAAGUGUAAUCAAUUUUCACGCGUAAUCCAUUUUCAAGUGUAAUCAAUUUUCAUGUGUAAUCCAUUUUCAAGUGUAAUCAAUUUUCACGCGUAAUCCAUUUUCAAGUGUAAUCCAUUUUCAUGCGUAAUACGAUGCAGAUGGACCGGCAAUGGAUGUAUAAUGCAGACAGACGGAGCAAGGUGUUUAUUGAUGGCUUGCAUUAUUUUCUCGAAGUGGCCAAAGCGAACAAGCCAGAGAAUGGGAUCGUAUGUUGUCCAUGCUUCCAAUGCAAUAACAAGAAGGACUAUUCAAAGGAUUCCUGGGGGACUAUUCACAGCCACUUGUUUAGAUACGGUUUCAUGCCUAACUAUUUGGUUUGGACCAAGCACGGUGAAAGAGGGGUUGUAAUGGAAGAUGGUGAGGAGGAGGAGGAGGAUGGCAACAUUCCGGACUAGGUUGCAGGCCAAGCUUUUGCAGAUACUACAAUGGGCGAGGCUGAUGAAGAUGAGUUUGCAGAAAAUGGCCCUACGAUGACCUUGGUCAGGUGCUACGAGAUGCACACAGAGAUUGCGAAACUGAGAAGGAAGCAGCAAAGUUGCAACGCAUGAUAGAUGAUCACCAAAAAUUGUUGUACCCAGAUUGCCAGCAGGGCCAUAAAAAACUAGGUACGACACUAUAAUUUGUGCAAUGGAAGGCAAAAAAUGCUGUGUCCGAUAAGGCAUUUCAGGGGAUGUUGAACAUUGUCUAGAAGAUCAGGCGAGAUGAUCCUGGUGAUGUCGAGGGGCAGUCUCCCAAGAAGAGAGUUCCCGCGAAGGUGAUGUGGUAUUUCCCUAUAAUACCACGCUUGAAGCGCUUGUUCAGGAACAAGGCAAAUGCUAAGUUGAUGCGAUGGCACAAAGAAGAACAUAUGGAAGAUGAGAUGCUGAGACACCCCGCAGAUGGGGCCCAGUGGAGAUCAAUUAAUAGAGCAUUCCCGAACUUUGAAAGUGAAGCAAGGAACAUAAGGUUUGGUUUAAGUAUUGAUGGAUUCAAUCCAUUCGGUGAGUUGAGUAGUGGCUAUAGUACUUGGCCUGUGACCCUAUGUAUGUUCAACCUUCCUCCUUGGCUGUGCAUGAAGCGGAAGUUCAUUAUGAUGCCGGCGCUUAUCCAAGGCCCAAAACAACCCGGCAAGGGAUAUGGAACAGAGGAGUUGAUCGAGUUUUGUGUUGAUUUUAUUGACUCAAUUGACUCGAUUGGGGUUCCAACUUCACGCCACGAGGGGAGGCUCCGGGGAAUGGGCACCCUUGGAAGGAAAUCAAGUUUGAGCAAUGAUACUGAUUUGUUCGACAAGGCACACUACACUGUUCUGCAAUAGUCAUCCUUUGUGUCUCCCUAUAUCGAGCAGCACAGGCAGAUGGUAGUUUUCCAAAAACCUGACGAAAUCCGAUGCUUGGCUUACACAUCAUCACAUGGAAACUUUUUCCUCCUGGUUGCGCCAACAACUCAUGGGUAACUCUGAGAUUUACCUACAGCUCGCUUGGUUAGCCAGGGGACCUGCUAGCACAAUCGUGAAAUUUCAAGACUAUGAGAUAAAUGGUUAUACAUUUUACACGAGAGCCUAGGACCAGAAAAGCACGAACCAGAAUAGUGGUGUCCGCAUAGAUGCCAUAGAUAGAAAUAAUAACAAGGAGUCGUAUUAUGGUUUCAUACAGGAGAUAUGGGAACUCGAAUACGGACCGCUGUACAUCCCUGUAUUUCUUUGCAAUUGGGUGAAGCUAACUGCCGUAACCAAAGAUCAGUACGGAAUGACAAUAGUAGAUCUGAGCAAGACUGGAUACAGUGAUGACCCAUUCGUACUUGCGAAUGAUGUGCAUCAGGUUUUCUAUGUGAAGGACAUGUCUAGCAAACCCAAGAGAAAUCCAGAAGAGACAUGGGAGCCAAAGUGCCACAUAGUUCUUCCAGGUAAAAGAAAAUCAUUGGAGUCGAGGAUAAAAUAGACGAAUCAGAUGAUUAUGAUCAGUUUGAUGGCAUGCCUCCAUUCGCAGUUGAAGUUGACCCAAGCAUCCUGGUAUCCAAAGAAGAGGCUCCAUACUUACGCCGCGAUCAUGAUCAAGGAACUUUCGUGAAGAAGAAAUUUUACAACGUUGUAUUGUAAUGCGCUAAAUUUACUUGACCUUUGUGAAGUACUUGAUACAAUUUUUAAUUUAACCUAUGUAUGAUUUCAUGUGUUCUUAAAUUUGUUGAGGUGAAGAUUUAUUAGAUAAACAUGAACAAUGUUAACCACACACAUACAUGGAUUAUUUUUGCGCGUUGAAAUUAUUUAAUUGAAUAAUUUCUCGAUCAUUGCGAUGCAGUAAAAUAAUUAUUUUAGAGGCUAAACGAACUGGUAUAGAAUUAAUGACUAAUUCACACUUAUUGUCAAUAUACUUGCUAAUUAAAUAUAUUUUUGCAUAUUCAAAAUAUGUGAAUUUUUUUGUUUUUGCAUCCUGAAAUGCAGUGAAAACAUACAUAAAAUCCUUUUCCAAAAAAUAGGCGGGAGAUGAAAGUGUGGGAAAAGGCACUUUUGUCCCGGGUGCCAAUAGAAACCGGGACAAAAGGACCUUUUAUCCCUGUUGCCAAAAGCAACCGGGAUCAAAGGCCGUCCCUUUUGUCUCGGGUGCCAACGCCAACCGGGACAAAAGGCCCCCUUUUUAUCCCGGUUGACAACUACAACCGGGAUAAAAGGGUAGUUUUCGUUUCCCGCUGGGGACGUACCCUUUUAUCCAGGUUACAGUUAGCAACCGGGAUAAAAGGGGGGGCCCUUUUGUCCCGGUUGGUGUUGGCACCCGGGAUAAAAGGGCCUUUAGUCCCGGGUUCAAUUACGAACCGCGAUAAAAGGGGGGAGGGAUAAAAGGCACUGUAGCCUCUUCUACCACCACCCCACGCUAGUUACGACACUUAGCCAAAUUUUCACCGCUGCCAAGAUCCCGCGCCCUUCCGCCAGCUCCGUCACCGCCCAUCCGCCUCCCUCGCCGGCCGCCGUCGUCCUCGUCGUCCAUCGCCCCGGCCAUCAUCGUCCCGCCGCCCGACCGCCUCGCCCGCGCCCAGACCACCUCCUCCUCCAUCGCCCCGGCCCGCCUCCGAUCCUCCUCCGUCGUGCCCCCUCGACCUCGUCGCAGCCGGCCGCCUCCAUCGCGGGGCCUCGUCCCCGCCUCAGUCAACGCCACAUUCUCUGUCGCCGCCUCAUCACCGCCUCUGUCGCGCGCGCCGCCUCCGUCCCUCGUCGCCGUCCGCCUCCGCCCGUUGUUGCUGUGGCCACCUCGCUCCGUCCCCGCCUCCGCCGUCCCACCGCCCCGGCCGCCGCCGUCCCGCCGUCCCGGCCAUCUCGUCGCCCAGCUAGGCACCGCGUGAGGUCCGCCGGCACUGGCACCGGGAAUGAACAGCUCUUGCUGACGCAAACCCACCGGCUUGCGUAAGCAAGGACCUUUUUUAUUUUUUAGUUAGAAAAUGAAUAGAUAUUAGUAGAUUAGUUAGAAAAUCAAUAGAUAUUUGUAGAUUAGUUAGAAAAUCAAUAGAAAAUCAGUUGAUAAAUUUUGUAGAAAUUCAUUCAAAUUAGUAGGAAUUAGUUGUAAUUUGCUAGAAAUUCCAAUAAAUAUGUUGAAAUUAGUAGAAAUUUGGUAGAAAUUCUUACAAAGUACUACUAAUUUGUUGAAAUUUGUAUAAACAUUCCGAACUUUGUGGGAUUCAUGUUAUUGUAAAAUUAUUAGGCAUUAGUAGAAAUUUUGUAGAAAUUCCAAUAAAUAUGUAGAAAUUAGUAGAAAUUUUGUAGAAAUUCAUACAAAGUACUACUAAUUUGUUGAAAUUUGUAUAAACAUCUUGGAUCAGCGCUUGGUUUGUUGAAAUUUGUAUAAACAUCUCGGAUCAGCGCUUGGGUUGUGUAAGUGUCCGUUUAUCUACAUGUAAAUUUUGCCUCAUAUCAUUAUUUUUUUUGCGUGCGUCACCGUACUAACUUCGUCUUCCAUUUUAUGUAGCAUGCUAAUUCAGACGUGCCGACGAGAGGCGUACCUACAUAUUGGCUUCAUGGGUCCAUCCGUAGUUAACCAAAAACAGAUACAAUUAUCGCCGGAAAAAACCUUGGUGGAAGUAUACAAUUUCCUAGACAAACAAAAAUUCAAGGAUUUCAUACUACUUCCAUACAACUUCAGGUAAGUGUGUGUAUACCGUCUACUUUCGUUGUCUUUUUCCUUACCUGAUUAAUUAGUUAGCUCUAAUAUGCAUGAACAUUUUACGUACGCAGCUUCCACUGGAUCCUUAUUAUAAUUGAGCUUGAAAGAAGCCACGUCACUGUCUUCGAUUCGUUGAGGAAAGAUCCGGUGGAGUACCAAGACAUGCAAGACAUGCUAGGCUUGUAAUAAUUUUGGACCUUUAUCUCUAUGCAAAAGUUUGUUUCCUAAAUUUUAUCCCUGUUACACUAUAUCAUUCAUUAUUCUAAUCCGCAGCGCAUGGAAACAAUUCAUAAGGACACACAAAGGUCCAUUCAAAGAAAAACUUACAUGGAACACAGACUUCCUGGUACGUAUGAAGUCUGCACAUUUAGUACAUUGUAUAACACGAAUAUUUCAUAACUUAUUUUUUUCGACACUGAAGUGCUUAAGACAGGAACUCGGGAAUAAUCUAUGUGGCUACUACAUCUGUGAGCACAUGCACAUUUUUAUGGGACCCAAGGGACUAAAGAUGACGCCGCACAACUUUAAAGUACGUAAAAUAAAACUAUUACUAGUUAAUUAUUUUCUAGCUCCUUAUAUUUAAUUGUUCGUGUAACAUUCACAAAUUUCCAAAUUAUAGAUGUUAAAUAUUCAACAAGGACUCUUGAAGAAAAAAAAGGGUAGCGGCAAUAUGUGAAGGUCUCGUUGGAUUCCUAAUGGACGAGGUGGUAAAUCCACAGGGAGAAUUUUAUUACGAUGGACGACAAUUAGACGCUCCGAGCAACACCUCGACGGGAAGAUUGUAGAUAUAUAGUUUGAUUUGUAUACAUAACACGCGCUAAGAUCGAUUUGUAUAUAUAGGUGAUUUCAUUAUACUAGUUGAAUUGUGUAUAUGAAUUGCGUAUAUAUAGUAAUUGUAUAAUUACAAAUUUCAUUCGUUUAAAUACUAGUUGAUUUCAUUAUAAAAAAAGUCUCAACUACUAAAGGUUAACAAAAGGGCCGCGGUACUACGUACGUGAUGCAUGAAAAUUUAAGAUGCCAUGCAGGAAAAUUUAAAUAGGACUUUAGUCCCGGUUGGGAAACCCAACCGGGACUAAAGGGGCACCCUUUACUCCCGGUUGCUUUUCCCAACCGGGAGUAAAGGGCCUGUCCCGCGCCAACCGGGACUAAAGGGUGACCUUUACUCCCGGUUGAAGGACCCGGGACUAAAGACCCCCCCUUUUGUCCCGGUUGGUUUAUCCCGGAUGGAUUUUCGAGAGAUAUGCACCCUACCAACCGGGACUAAAGGCGAGUUCUCUACUAGUGUAGGCCAUGCAGCCGGCUCUGUGGUACCAAAAAGAAAUUUUUGACAUGGUUUACAUCGAGAACGUUUUGAAACUAGACUUUGGUACGCAGUUCACCUUCUUAACAAUAACGGCGUACAUAGACGCUAUCUAAAUUGACCACUUUAAGAUUUAGCGAGAGAUCUAUUUUUUUAAUCCCGUAGCGAGAUCUAUUUUUAUAAUCGCGUAGCGACUGUACGAAGGACUGAAAAAUAAGUUUGAUUACCGUAUAUAGUUAGCCAACUCGUUAAUGGAAUAAACGAUAGAGUUCUGCGAGGCAGACUAGCCUUUCACACGCACCAACUGAACCAGCUGGCAUGAUGUAUUUGAUCUUACUCCCUUGGUCCCAUGGAAAGGUAGAAAUAACCAUAUAUAGGCAUGUAAUUAUCAGUUAUACUUAUGGGAUACUUAGAUGACUUGAUGUAUGAAUCAAGAAAAUGCAUCGAUCGAGAACUUACGGGGAUCAUCUCAAUAAUUUAGAGACCAUGCGCAUAUAUAUUGUGGAAGGUGUGCGUGAGGGUCGUUAUCUAUAUCCUGUGUUAGAAAAAGAUUGCAUAUAUAGUUAAUGUUUGUCUUUCUUCGGAUGGCACGUUAGCUGACCAUUGACAACAUGUGAUGAUUUUACUAACAUCAAAAUUAGGCAUGCCCCAUUUUUUAAUUGGUGCAUGGAGUGGGAGGUUUUGGUGGGUGAGCAUUGGUGUGCAACUCGUGUGCGUGAGCAUGUGUGCGUAAGAUAAUGUGUUUUGUUAGAAAAAGAAGAUAAUGCCUCUAAACAAUCCAGAAUAGAAGGCGGGCCCUGACGACAAGAUAAUACCUUACGCGGCGAUGUCUCAACGUGUCACCUGGGGCGGCUUUUGCAGUUUCCCCGUACACACACUAAGAGCCUCCGACCCUUUUUUGUCAAACCUUCUCUUGUAGUCAUGCAUAUAUCCAUGAUGAUUUGAGUCUACUGAUUGACAGUUAGAUAUUUUGCUUGUUUGUGAGAAUUUUUAGUUUCUAUUUUUUUAGAGUGUCCACCUAGGAUCCUAGGUGGCUUCACCUGAAAGCUUCAAAAGAAGCGUCCAAAUUAGUAAUCAUAAGAUUUUCUCAAAAGAGACUUAAUUCUACCACUAUACCUUGAUUGGCGGCCCGAGCCUCUACCUUUGUCUCCACUUGACUAUUUGAGUUGGCUCAGAACGGUUCACCGCGCUAGCAACGUUACGUUUGAUCCCAAUGCCACCACUCAUGUGCGCCACCUGUAUUCUACCAAGUGGCAUGUGGUAAUGCCAUGUUUGUUUUAAUUUCGUCCAUCAGCAUUCACAAUGAUAUCAUCACCAUUAUGUAAUUAUCCCACUUUUAAUUUUCUUGCAACUCUGUGAAGUUAACAGUCUCUGAUCAAGUUUCCGAGGAUUGCUAUAUCUUUGUUUAUUAUCUACGGAAGUUGACAGCACAUCCACCAUAAUUCAUGGCCCACCAGACUCUAAGUCCACUGCGAGUAUAUAUUAAUUUGUUUUAAUCCGACUAUACUAGAUGUGUACCAAUCAUUCGAUAUGAGGGACGAACUAAUUGUUUCUUGUCGACUAUUGCACCGUACCUCUCGUUUUCCAAACAAUUAAAAGGUACCCUUCCGUGAUGGUUGUACCGAUACCGACUAUCUAUAUUAUUGCUUUCUUGAGCAUACCAAACGAGUUAAUUGGUAUGAUGAUGUUAUAGCUCAUUUAUAUAUGCUUAAAUACAUACACCGGUAGAAAACUCGCCUUUAGUCUCGGUUGGUACGUGUUAGACACCUAAUCCUUGCAUUGAUGGCUAAUCCUUCCAGCUUUUGUCUUCACGCACGCAUGCAUUGAUAGCCUCCUGCGGAUGGCCUUUCAGCUACUGCGCCGUUCAACUUCUGUGGCCUGUCCGGCUUCUUCCUUUCCCCAUAUAAUGUAAUACGUUCAACUCAAAUGAAUGAAAUCAAAUUAUGCGUGUAUUAUUCUCGCUUUCAGUAGGGGCCAAAUCUCCCGAAAAUCCAUCCGGGAUAAAGAUGAGAAAUUAAUCCAUGCGUGGCUUCAUGCAAAUUUGUUCAGAUCAGGUUUGAACAGCAUGUAAUCUUUUUCAGGCAUCUAUAUGGAGCGUGGGGGUGUUAUGUUAUCUUCUACUACACAUAUAACAUUAAAUUCAUUCAGUUUGGCUGAGAGCCCAAAAUGCAACGAAUAUGCCAUCCAACGUGAAAAAAAGAUGUGGAACAGUAUACUCUAUCUUCGAAAUUAAUUAACGAGAUUCAGCUUCAAAAGAGAUAAGAGCAGACAAGAGGCACAUGGGUGCAUGCAUCCACACCUUGGGAUGCUGCAAAAUUUGGGAUCACGUGUGCGGAUCCCUAAUUAGGAAAAAAGAAUAAUUGUGCUAGCAAAAUGUGGAACACGACUGCCGGCCCAGUUGGCGCUAAGACAUCGUACGUGCAUUAAGUCUGAGGUGCCCAACGAUCUCUUUCUUUAACUCAUGCUUGACUGUGACGGUGCUAUUAUAUAAUAUUGCAUGAUCAUCAUGAUAAGAUCGUAUAGUGACUGAGUGAGACAUGUACUAUAACUUACAUUUAAGCCUCGAACUGUGUGUCGUUACGUGAGCUGCCUCCUCUCCUCGCCUCUGAAUUAUUGAACCGUUUCCAACAGUGUUGGUCUCGACGAAAUUUGACACCAACCAGAUUUAUGAAGAAAAGAGAAUAAUACUUGGAAUUGGGAAAAGUUGAUCUCUCUUUACAAUGGGUAGGUGCUCCCCUUUUAUAGUGACCCAUGAGCCACUUUACAUUCCGAAAAUAUCCUUUCUCAACCACUACAUUCCUAGGAUAUGCCGUACAAAUUGAACUCUUCCACGUGGUCACAUUUCUCACGCCUCCUGUUUUCCAACCUCGAGACUUCAUCUUCACGCCAAGUUGAUCAUCUAGCCUCGAGGCUCCAUCCACGAUCCGGAAUGAAGGUCCAGCCUCGAGGCUCCUGCUUGUUAGAAGAACCGUCGUAUGAGACGAGGAUUGUAUCUUAGAGAUAAGAGUUGUUAUGGUUUGAGUUGGCCGGCUAGUAGAUAGAGAUAGAAUCUUGAUGUAUUUGAAUGCUGGCUAAACUUUAUCUAUAACAACAUGCAUUGUAAUCUGUUGGGACUUUCCCCCUAUAUAAACAUGCAACCACGGCGAGCCAAGAUAGGGCAACCGUGUUCAACUCUUUUGACAUGGUAAUCAGAGCCCUUCUUCCAUAAAAUACAUCUACAUCUACACCACCUGGCGCACGCCACCUUGUUGCCUGGCACACGUCAUCACCUUGCAUGCAACAGUCAUGGUGUCAUCAUCGUCAUCGUCAGCCACUGCACCCACGGCGGCGCAGCUUGGAGCUCCUGUAGCUGAAAAGCUUACAGGGGAGAAUUAUGUCUUAUGGAGGGCUCAAUUCUUGCCUGCUGUGCGGGGCGCGCAGCUCAUGGGAGUCCUCAACGGAUCUGUCAAGGAGCCCGGCCAAGACCAUGGAACUGGUGAAGGCUGACGGCAAGAAAGGGUAGCAUGACUUCAUCAACUUACUACACCAAGAUGGUGGCUAUCAAAGAUGAGUUGGCGGCAGUAGAAGUCAUUAUUGACGAUGGUGAGAUGGCAUCUUACAUACUUAAUGGUCUUGAUUUCGAAUAUAAUCCGUUUGUGUCCUCGAUGCUUGGCUGUGCUGAUUCCCUCUCUCUUUCCGAUCUAUACUCUCAUCUGUUGUUUUAUGAGAUGCGCCUGGAAGCAUAUAAUGAAGCGGGACAAUAUACAUCUUGGGCAAACUCAUCUUCUCGUGGAGGAUUUCGGGGACACGGCAAUGGCGGUCGUGGCAAUGGAGGGCGCAAUUGAGGGCGCACCAACGGUGGCCGUGGCCAGAACCGUGGUGGCCAGAACAACAGCAACAGUAGCAGUCAGCCCAAGAAAGUAAUCUGUCAAAUCUGCAAGAAUGUAUGUCCAUGAAGCACCAAGAUUCUGGUAUAGAUACGACGAAGAUGAGCAAGAAAAGGUUGCCGGCACAACAGCUACAAGCUAUGGUUAUGAUACUAACUGGUAUACAGACAGUGGCGCAACCGACCACAUUACUGGCGAGCUUGACAAGUUGACCGUCAAGGACAAGUAUAAUGGUCGAGAUCAAGUACAGGCUGCUAACGGUCCAGGUAUGAAAAUUAGUAAUAUUGAUCAUUCAACUUUACAUAUGCUGGGUAGAAAAUUGCAUCUAAACAAUAUCCUUCAUGUUCCUAUUGCUCACAAAAAUCUUGUUUCCAUCCAUAAAUUAGCUUCCGAUAACAAUGCCUUCCAUGAAUUUCAUCCAAAAUUCUUUUUCAUUAAGGCCCUAUUUGGCAUGGCUCCAACUCUAGGUGGAGCUACUCUACUCCAAAAAUCCAGGUGGAGCCAGCUUUGGGUGGAGUUGGAACUGUCUAGAUGGGGUGUUUGGCUAGAAGAGUGCAUCAGCUCCAAAAAAGACCGAUCUCAGUGUGGAUUGCCAUUGUUGCCCCAAAUUCAAGCCCCACUUUUCAUCCUCUAUAUCCCCAUCUUCUUCUUCCUCAGAAGGCGUGGAUGCAUGGAGAGAAAUCAAAUCGACUCGGCAUUAGAGCGGCGAGAUUUGGACGCGAUCGAUCAAAAUCAAUCGAUUAAAAAAAAAUCUCUCACCGCCACCAGGCUUGGGCGGCGCUGCGAAUGAUAGAGUGGCCGAGGCCACGGGCGCUGGGGAGUACGCGGCAGGCGCCUGCACCAUCGGCAGCAGCGUCAUGUUGGACACCUUGGCCGGCGCGUCCGGGUCCUCCGCGUCAGCAUCGUCAUUCUUGCCGGCUGCCGUCACCGCAUGCCGAUGCCCCAGCCUCUCAGCACCGACACGUCGUCGACUCCACUUCCUGGAAUGCCAUGCCCCCGGCCACGAUCGCCGCGCGCCAAAGUGAUCGUGGCUUUUCUAACAACCAUAUCGUAAUCAUAGGAUCUUCUCAGCGCAAAACUGUGCAGCUCCUUGCCUUUCUUUAGCAGAGCAAGUCCUGCACAAGCCCGCAGCAAGACCAACAUGCACUACUAGAGAAUUGACUUUCAAUCCCCCCCUUUUAGUCUCAAUUUAAUGUAGGCCCGAGAGAAAAGGGGGUGCGCUACGGUAGGCUGGAAUGGGGCGCACCUUUAGUCCCGGUUCAUGUUUAAAACCGGUACUAAAGCCCCCCUUUUGUCCUGAUUUGAGCGGCUAGAUUUUUGCCACCGACAGUGCCCCCCCUUUUGUCCCGGUUGGAGCCACCAACUGGGACAAAAACCUCGCCCUUUUUUUCUGGUUGGCAUUACCAACCGGGAUAAAAAGUUUACUCCUGGUUGGUAACUCAAACCGGGACAAAAGGUUGGCAUUUUCAUCCCGGUUGGAGCCACCAACCGGGAGUAAACACGAACCGGGACAAAAGAGCCAUACUUUUGUCCCGGUUUGGUUUACCAACCGGGAGAAAAUCUUUUCCCCCUUAAAGCUGCUUUCUUCCUCCUCCACUCGUCCAGCCCGAGCCACUCCACUCCACAAAGAUAGAGAAGCUCCAUCCUCUCCAUGGCGCCGAAGCAAGCCUAGGGGAGGUGCUGCCGAAUUUUUUUUCCUCAUUUUGUUGGGGACUUCACUCAUCCAAAGUGUUGUGAAGGUUAGCUACUUCAUUCUCUAUUCAUUUAUUAUUGUUAUGCUUUGUUUUAUACUUUAGAGUGGGAGAAGAAUGAGUUUGCUUGUUAGAAAGAGGGAGAAUGGAGAGGAUUUGUAUUUAUACAUGUUUUUGAGAUACAAUGUGAUGGAUAAUUUGAAUGUGAGGGAGAAUGGAGAGUAAAUGUGAGGUAGAAUGGAGAGGAUUUCAAUUUUAAGUAUUCGGAAAAACUAGAGUAAAUGUGUUUUUAAUCUUUAUACAUUAGCCAUAAAAUUAAGGUAAAUAAAUUGUAGGUGUAAUUUCAUAGUUUAGUACUUUUUAGAUAGAGUUAUGUAAUUAGCCAUUUUUAGAAUAUGUAAAUUAUGUGGGAAAUAUUGAAUUUUUUUAAUAGUUUAGUUAUUUGCAAAUAUGAGCUAAAUAAUUUGUGGUACAUAGAGAUGGCUUCUGCUGCUGGAGGUAGUGGCGAUGGUGGGGGAGAUCUUCAUUCCUCUUGCGGCAAGGGGAAAACUGUAGUUGGCCCUCACGAUAAGCCGAAGAAAAUGAGCGCGUGGGAGAAAGCAGUGCUUCGUUAUUUGCGAAGAUGUCAUGAAGAUGCUAUUGCGGCGGGUCAGGAACCUCCUUUUGGUGGUCGUUAUGCUCCACCGCCAUUCCCGGGUGUUUUAGGUCCACUUAUUAGUACUACUGUUGCAGGAGGUAUAGAUAAACCAUAUGAUAAGGCUGCGUCAGCGAAACCUUCAUCUUCGCCGCCCAAGGAUGCUUGAAAUCCUUCUAGAUAGUACUAAGUGGAUGGUUUGUCGUAGUGUAUCAUGUUGUUGUUGCUCUCAAAUUUAAAUUUGUGUAUUUCUACGUAAACUUUCAGCAACAUUUGAGUUUGUUGUAGUGUAUCAUGUUGUUUGGGUCUGAAAUUUUAAUGUGUAUUUCUAUCUAAAAUUUCAGCAAUGUGAUGGAUAGUUUGAUUGUAAUCCAUUUUAUUGACGGCUUGCGUAAUACGAUGCAGAUGGACCGGCAAUGGAUGUAUAAUGCAGACAGACGAACCAAGGUGUUUAUUGAUGGCUUGCAUAAUUUUCUCGAAGUGGCCAAAGCGAACAAGCUAGAGAACGGGUUCAUAUGUUGUCCAUGCACCCAAUGCGGUAACAACAAGGACUAUUCAAAGGCUGUCUAGGGGACUAUUCCCAGCCACUUGUUUAGAUACGGUUUCACACCUAACUAUUUGGUUUGGACCAAGCACGGUGAAAGAGGGGUUGUAAUGGAAGACGACGAAGAGGAGGAGGAUGAUGACAACAUUCCGGACUGGGGUGCAGGUCAAGCUUUUGCAGAUACUACAAUGGGCGAGGCUGAUGAAGAUGAGUUUGCAAAAGAUGGCCCUACUGAUGACCUCGGUCAGGUGCUAAGGGAUGCACCCAGAGAUUGCGAAACUGACAAGAAAGAAGCAAAGUUGCAGCGCGUGAUAGAUGAUCACCUAAAAUUGUUGUACGCAGAUUGCCAACAGGACCAUAAAAAACUGGGUACCACACUAGAAUUUAUGCAAUGGAAGGCUAAAAAUGGUGUGUCCCAUAAAGCAUUUUAGGGGAUGUUGGAAAUUGUCAAGAAGAUUUUUCCCGAGAAUAAUGAAUUGCCAUCCACAACAUAUGAAGCUAAACGGAUUGUUUUCCCUCUUUGAUUGGAGGUUCAGAAGAUACAUGCAUGCCCUAAUGAUUGUAUCCUCUAUCGCAGUGCUGAAUAUGAGGAUCUGGAUGCUUGCCCUGUGUGCGAAGCACUGUGGUAUAAGAUCAGGCGAGAUGAUCCUGGUAAUGUCGAGGGGCAACAUCCCAGGAAGAGAGUUGCCACGAAAGUGCUAUGGUAUUUCCCAGGAAGAGAGUUCCCACAUUUUGUACAAUAUUCUAUAUCACGAAUAUUUCAUAACUUGUUUGUUUCCCCACUGAAGUGCUUAAGACAGGAACACGGGAACGAUCUAUGUGGCUACUAUGUCUGUGAAAACAUGGAAAGUUUUGUAGACUUGGUCACAUACACUUGGUCCCACCCGUGAUACGAGCAGCCCAACAGCACAGUGUUCCAUGUCAGCAAGCUGGGCUCUAGCCCCGAUCUUGCCAUGCGCUUCGCGAGCUCCAGUGCGUUGUCGACAAGCCUGAGCCGCGUGCAGCACAUGAGCACCGCGUUCCACAUGACCGCCGUGGCCUCCGUCGUCUCAGCACCCAUGUGGCCACAGCGACGUCCGCGUUCUCGACGUACAUGGUGGCGAGGAACCCAGGAACGAGCGGGUGCGCGUCUACGUGGUGGGGAGCGUGGCAGUGGCAGCUUUGCUCGAUCUGGCAGCCGGAGAGUGGGACGAGACCACCACGGGGGAGACGGUCGGUGGUGGUGGCGGUGGCAAUGGGAGGAAGGCCUUGGAGAUCAAGGGAUCCAAGGUCCCCUUCCAAGAGAGAAGGGAGAUCGGGGGAGGAGACCGAUGGAGGGGAGGCGGGAGGGAGGAUGGUCGGCAGCGGGGGUAAGGAGAAAGAACAGGCGCGCGGGAGGGAGUCACGGUGCCGGAGACUCGGGAGAAAAGAAGCGAAUCAUUUUUGUGUAACUAGUGGUAUUGGUAGGUAAUUACCCACCAACUCCACGAGGAGGUUCAUAUUGGGUAGUUUUGGAGUUGCAAAAGAGGUGCUCCAAAACUCCACCCCCAUUUGCACUACAGCUCCAUGGAGUUUUGGAGUUGGGGUGUGUUGGCUGUAAAAUUGGCUAGAGUUGCUGGAGGUCAGCUCCAGAGCCAUGCCAAACACGCCCUAAGGAUCAGGAAACGAGGAAAAUCCUUCAUCAAGGUAGAUGCAAAGCAGGCCUUUAUCCAUUAGAAUCCAUCUUGUCAGAAGAAGGCGAUGACAAGAGAGUUUAUGGUGCCAUCAAACCAUCUGCUUCUAGAUGGCAUAGCCGCUUAGGCCAUCCAGCUUAUCCUAUUAUUCAGCGUGUGCUUAAUCAUAAUAAUCUUCCUUGUGGUAGUACUAAUUUUGAGUCAGUUUGUGAUUCAUGUCAAAUGGCUAAAAGCCAUCAACUUCCAUAUUCUAGUUCAAUAAAUUCGUCAAAAGCUUCGCUUGAUCUUAUUCAUUCUGAUGUUUGGGGGCUUACACCUAAUUCUGUUGGUCGAUAUUCCUACUAUGUGAGCUUUAUUGAUGAUUAUAGUAGGUUCACCUAGAUUUAUCUCCCGAAAAAGAAAUUUGAUGUCUUUCAAGUGUUCAAAGAAUUUCAGAAUCUAGUGGAGCGAAAACACAAUAAGAAAACUGUAUCCAUGCAAACCAACUGGGGAGGCGAAUAUGAGAAGUUGAAUUCCUUCUUUCAGCAAAUUGGUAUAGCACAUCGCGUCUUAUGUCCUCAUGCCCACCAGCAAAAUGGCCUCGUCGAGAGAAAGCAUCGUCAUACUGUUGAAGUUGGUCUCGCUCUUCUCGCAAAUGCUUCAAUGCCUUUAAAAUUUUGGGAUCAAGCUUUUUUGACCGCCACUUAUCUCAUUAAUAUGCUUCCCAGUAAAAUUCUUAAUUUCGAUACUCCUAUAGAACACUUGCUCCAAGAAAAGCCUGAUUACAGCUCUCGUCGCAUUUUUGGGUGCGCUUGUUGGCCUAAUUUGCAACCCUAUAAUACUCGCAAGCUAGCUUUUCGUUCUGUUAAAUGCACCUUUCCUAGUUACAGUUUCAUGCAUAAAGGCUUCAAGUGCUUAGAUCCCUCUACCGGCAGAAUUUAUAUCUCCCGAGAUGUUGUUUUCGAUGAAUCGAUCUUUCCGUUUGCUCACUUACAUCCCAAUGCAGGCGCCCUUCUCAGUAAAGAGAUUCUUCUUUUACCUGACCAUCUUCGUAAUCCGGGGGAUGUAAGUUGCAUAGACAAUAUUACUAUACUACUGACCGUUUGCAUGAUAGUAAUGCGCAAGAUGUUUUUCAGGGGAAACUGUCACCGGGCUGGGCGCACGGUGACGCAGAAAAUCACGGCGGCACAUUCCAGGAGGAUUUGAUGCCAGGUGCCGACGGUCCAGGCGUUGACUCCCAGGGAGAUUCGGCGGCAGCAUCCGUUUUGCUCCCCUCCUUCCCAGCAGUGCCCAUGUCGUCGAAUACAUCUCCGACGCGUGGCUCCACGACAUGCCCAGCGCCCGCACCCGGCGCUCCUCCGUCGCCGCAUGGCCCCGCACUUGGCCAAUCGCCUGCGCCAGCCGCCGGGAGUCCGACGCGUGGGGGGGGACCCAUCUAUCACGCCAGACAGUCUCCCACCCGUGCCUGCUGCCCCGAGUCGUGCUAGCGCUGGAUCCUCUUCGGGAAGCGGAUCCGGUGUGGAAUCUAUGCCUGGUCAGGCCAGUUCUUUGGCGCUGGCUGCCCCUGCGCCGUCUAUUUCAGUGCCAAGACAACGGACACGGCUUCAAAGUGGGAUUACGAAACUUACAUAGUUCCAGGACAUGAUCAGGUAUGGGUUGUUCUUAGCUUCUGCGGAACCACAGGAUUUUCAUGAAACUCUAAAUGAUUAUAGAUGGAAAAAAGGCUAUGCAAGAUGAAUUUGAUGCUCUCAUUAGAAAUCAAACUUGGCACUUAGUUCCUGAAAUAAAGGGUAACAAUAUUAUUGAUUGCAAGUGGGUAUUCAAAAUCAAGAAAAAAUCAGAUGGUACCAUAGAUAGAUAUAAAGCAAGGCUAGUUGUAAAGGGUUUUCAGCAACGGUAUGGCAUUGAUUAUGAGGAUACUUUCAGUCCAGUGGUUAAGAUUGCAACUGUCAGGCUUGUCCUCUCAAUUGCUAUUUCGAAAGGGUGGUGUCCAAGAUAGUUAGAUGUAUAGAAUGUGUUUCUUCAUGGUGUUCUGGAAAAAGAAGUUUAUAUGAGGCAACCUGCAGGAUUUGAAAAAGGAGCUUUGCAUCUUGUGUGGAAAUUGGACAAGGCUAUCUACGGCUUGAAACAAGCCCCGCGAGCUUGGUAUGCUAAGUUAUGUUCCAAACUUAUUGCACUUGGAUUUGUUGCAUCUAUAUCAGACACUUCGUUAUUCAUCUAUCAAAGAUUGGGUGUCAUAAUUUAUAUGUUGAUUUAUGUUGAUGAUACAAUUGUGACAAGUUCAUCAAGUGAAGCUGUUACGACGUUGCUUGCUGAUCUCAAGAAGGAUUUUGCUCUAAAAGAUCUGGGGGACCUCAGUUACUUCCUGGGUAUUUAAAUUAAAAGAGAAAAGAAUACUCUGCUGCUAACACAAGAAAAGUAUGCAAAGGAGAUUUUGUCACGGGUUGGUAUGGAGAAUUGCAAACCAUCAUCUACACCAUUGUCUACUAGUGAGAAACUUUCAAAGUAUGAAGGGGAGUUGCUGAAUUCAAGCGAUAGUACGAGGUACAGAAGCGUCGUUGGUGCAUUGCAAUAUCUCACUCCUACCUGACCGGAUCUAGCAUUCUCUGUGAACAAAGUGUGUCAAUUUCUACAUGCUCCUACCACGGUUCAUUGGACUGCUGUAAAAAGGAUACUUCGGUAUGUCAAGUUCACAUUGGAUCUUGGACUAAAUUUUCAGGCGUCAUCCUCCACCUUGGUUAUUGCUUUCUGUGAUGCUGAUUGGGCAGGAAGUGUUGAUGAUAGAAGAUCUAUCGGAGGGUUUGCAGUUUUCUUUGGUCUGAACUUGAUUUCUUAGAGUGCUAGAAACCAAGCCACUAUCUCAAGAUCAAGUACAGAAGUUGAAUACAAGUCUAUGGCAAAUGCAACUGCAGAGUUAAUAUGGUUGGAAUCCUUGCUAAAGGAGCUGGGUAUACGGCUGCAUCAACCACCAUAUUUACAGUGUGACAAUUUGGGAGCUACAUAUUUGUCUGCCAAUCCAGUCUUUCAUGCGAGAGCAAAGCAUAUAGAAAUUGAUUUUCACUUUGUUCGCGAGCGUGUGGUAAAUAAAAAGCUGCAGGUGCUGUUGGUUGCUUCCAGAGACCAGCUUGCGGACUGUUUACCAAAGCCUUGCCGUGCGGAUUGCUGGAAGCUUUCAAGAGCAAUCUAAAUAUCAAAAGGAAGAGAAGUUUAGAUUGAGAGGGACUGUUAGAAGAACCGUCGUAUGAGACGAGGAUUGUAUCUUAGAGAUAAGAGUUGUUGGUUUGAGUUGGCCGGCUAGUAGAUAGACAUAGAAUCUUGAUGUAUUUGAAUGCUGGUUAACUCUAUCUGUAACAACAUGCAUUGUAAUCUCUUGGGACCUUCCCCCUAUAUAAACGUGCAACCACGGCGAGCCAAGAUAGGGCAACCGUGUUCAACUCUUUUGACACUGCUUCGUUAAGCUUUGUUGAGAACUCAUAAACUCACAUAGUUCUCCUCUGAGUAUUGUUCCUAACUAAAGAGUAAAAAGGUAAAAGCUCGGUGCCCGGAACCGACUCAGAACACUCGAGGCUUAACUUAGUUGGAGUUUAGCUAUUACCGUUGCCAGUGACCAGCCUCGAGCCCCUCUAGAAGCAAGGUGAUGUGAGGGUGCGAGUUUUACUAUAAGAGGUGUCCCCAUAGAACGUGCGAGGUUAAAGGUGUUCUGUUACUUUUCCUGCCGACGCAUAACUUGCAAGGUUAAGGGGUUUUUAUCCCACAAACGGUGCUCCAGGAUGUUCAGAUUUUUGGGAUCCCCAACAAACAUAAAUCUUGAGUGGCUCUAAAUUGUUGUUGGCCACAUCAUACCUUGUCUUGGGCUGCUGGGUCGUGUUGUGCACCACGAGUGCACGAUCAGACAUCCUGCAUUGUUAAGUCUUCGAUGAUACGGCUGCCUUGCUUCCUCAGCUUGUCAGCAACUGCUUCCUGACUGCUACAGUACAAUUAUUGCAUGGUAUCAAGGUAAUAUAUAUAGUGACUGAAUGAGCACAUAUAACAUAUGCAUUUAGGCCUCCAACUGGUCAUUGCACGAGCUGCCUCCUCUCCUUACCUCUGAAUUAUGGAGCCAUAUCCAACAACAACCUUGACAGUGAUGAUGAUGACGACGACGAUGAAAUUAAGAAAAGAAGCUUUAUGCAAAUUGCAAAAAGCUGAAAUAAGUGGUUGAAACAUUUCAAAUCACCAAAUGCCACAUUUGAAAUGACUAGAUGAAACAUCAUGAAAUCAAUUGCAACAGUUGAAGAUGAAAACAUUCAAACGCCUUGCCUUUCUCCAGAUUUGAUCCUCCAAGCAUAUAUGAGUCCAGACAUUUGCACAUUAGACCCUAGGGAGGAGCUCACCGGAGAACAACAAGACCGUGUUCUCCAACAAUUUUCCGAUCAAAUUGCAACAUAAAAAACAAAGCAUUGCAACACAUCUGGCAUCGCGAGCAACAACAUCAACCAGUUAGGAUCAGGAGAAAGAGGGCAAACCCAAGCCUAGCAAUGAGUUAUAUCCAGUUUAAACGAGGAUAAAAAUGAGUGUAUUUUCCACUCAUCAUGUUGUCUUUUCGCAGCUGUACCGCCUUUAGUGUGUUGUAUUGUUCCCCUAACACCAAGUCUCCGAGGCCCGAGAAAAUAAGGAAAGUGAUAGCAGCCCAGAAAUCGACCAAGUUUCUUUCCCCCUUUGGCAUUCCUACUAGAAUUCGGAAUACUCUUUCGCAUGACAAUCAUAAUUAUCUCCCACAAUCCAAAACUCACAAAAACAUCAAAAAUCUGCCGAGAAUAAAUUAAGUAAAAAACAUGCACAAACAGAUAAUAAUAAUAAUCAUGUUUCAAUAAAAUUGCUAAGGCCAGAGACAAUACAUAAACAUAUUAGACUGUUCAUGACACAUAUCACGGUGGACAGUGUCUGUGUCCUUAUUACAAGCAGCGAGAGGAAUUAAAUAUGCUUGUCACCACACACACGCGCGCGCAGAUGCACGACACACAUAUAGUUGAGACCAACAGAUGGACCUCGACUAGAGGUCGCCCCAUAUGGUGAACAAUUUAUUGGAGAUAAACAUGAACAUAACUUGGCCAUAGCUUGAAGCAUAGCAACAUAUGCCUAUGAAUGGCAUUCAUGCUGGUAGCAAUGCAAUCAUAUCGUUUUAGGCUUGUCCAGCUUCUUCCAUCUUAGCAAGCACUGCCAUUUCUUCCAUCUUAGCAGCAACUGUCAAAUUGAGAUAUGGAAAUCCCAUUAGCGCAUGAGUUAAUUUUGCAGUGGAAAUAGAGUACAAGAUGUCUUCAUGAUGUAAGUAAUAUGCCUGAAGUUGUGAGAUGGGAAGUGAAGUCAACAAAUUACAUUAACGGAAAUGCAUGGAAGGCCACACAUACGUAUUAGUCCACGAUAUGCUACAAAGCUUGUAUGUACAUAUAACAAAUUAAAUGCAUUGAAUAGAGUGAGUUUACUGAAUUUACCAGAAUCGGACAGAACACAUGGGAAACAGCAAGUGUUCUUGCAGAGUGAGUCGGAGCCACCUGCAGUAAUACAAGCAAAACAACAUGCUUUUGCCCGGGCGGAUACGCAGCAGCUGCACUGUGCCGCGGUGGCCGGGUUAACAUUGAGGCUCAAGAUGACCAGGCACAUGAUCACCAUCAAAGCGGUAGUCCUCUUUCCCUCCAUUGCCUCCUCUUUCUGCUACCUUCCUUGGUUACCUAGCUAAGUUUAUUAGUUUUGUGUUGAGAGGUGAUUCUUGAAUGGACGUUGCCGGCUGCAAUUUAUAGGCAGCUGCGCUAUGUGAUGAUAUGGACAAGGUGCAAAUGGGUGGUCCAAUGGCAAGGAAAGGGGGUAUUCUGCUUGACAUUGGCAUCAGACAAAGCCCAAUGGCAACUGCUGACACGCGAUUAAAAUCAGAUCCGCAUCUUAUCCAUCCAUUCACUAAUAAUUAAAGUAAACCCACGCGGUCCGCGAGAUGCAGCGUCCAUGCAUAGCACUUCCCGCCAAACAAUAGGAAAAAUUAGAAUUCAGAGAUAGGAGCUGCUUGCAUGAAACACGGUUGCACAGAAAUCAGUGGUGCUUGGACGGUAAGUAGUGUGGUGUACAAGCUUAAAGCGGCAGUGAGUCACGUUGGUGUAACAAGCAGUACAUCAGCUGGAAGAUUGAUAUGUCUAUUGCCCACGCAGCAUAGCAUUUUAUUAUGAUACAUUGAGUUAUGUCAUAUUGUUACUUUAAGUUAUUUUUUAAGUAUUAGUUGUAGACAAUUUAGUUGCAAAUUUAAGCGGUUAUUUUAAAUUAUUUUUUAUAAUGGCAUAAGUGGGUAAUUUAGAUGAAGAUUAGGGGGUUACUUUAGCUUAUUUUAUAUAAUAGCAGAGGUGGGUAAUUUAGAUAUAAAUUUAGGGUUACUUUAGGCUAUUUUCUUAAUGGCAUAGGUGGGUAAUUUUUUUAGAAAUUAUAAUAGAUCCAAUGGCUACGAUGUUUGAGUCUACUCGUUGAUGGCAAGAUGUUUUGCUUGUUUGUGGAAAUUUUAAAUAUGUCUCUUUUUUGUAGAGUGUCCACGUAGGAUCCUAGGUGGCUUCGCUUGGAGGCUUCAAAAGGAGGUCCAAAAUUAGUAAUAGUAUGAUUUUCUCAAAAGAGACUUAAUUCUACCACUGUAACUUGAUUGGCCGCCCCGGCCUCUACCUUUUGCCUCCAUUUGACUAUUUGAGUUGGCUGUGAACGAUUCUCGGCGCUAGCAACGUUACGUGUGAUCCAAAUGCCAGCACUCAUGUGCGCCACCUGUAUUCUAUGGGAAUGCCAUGAUGCAUGUGCAGUAACAGCGCGCACAUCUUGCAGGAUUCGCGCCUCGUUUUCACUAUUGUGUCAUCUUAGCAAUUAGGAGCGAAGUGUGCUUUGGGGUGGCAAUUGGGAUAUAGACAUUAUUCUCGAAAAGAAUCUUGAAGUCUUACAUUCACCCCCUCCGGUCGCCGGUUCCGAUCCUUCACCUAUAAAUUAGGAGUAGUAGUAGGUAGUAAGUGGCAGGUUAGGUAAGUACCCGUUGAUGAAUGUUGGCUUGGCGUGAUUGGCUCUGCUGGUUCCACGAAGAUGCCAAUAUACAGCAAGGACCUAGGUCCAAAGGGAAAAACAACCAACAAGUGGGUUUGUUGCCGACCGCUAGCUAAUCAACAGUGACGUACGGGUGGAUUCGUGCGUAAAUAUUUUUUCAAUCAUGCCAUCAGGCCGCUGAUAAAAUGGGCUUAUGGUUGGCUAACCUUUAAAACAUUCUUAGAGCUGUUGGCCAUUGUGAUAACUUUGCACGUGCAUCAUUAACAUGCCAACAUACAACAAGGACAUAAGACCAAAGGAAAGAACAACCAACAAGUGCCUUUGCUGAUCGGUCAGGUCUCAGAGUUUGAGAAACUGGAUCUGACGGAUGUGAAAUUAAUCCAUGCGUGGCCUCAUGCAAAUUUGUUCACAGGUUUGAACAGCAUGUAAUCUUUUUCAGGCAUCUAUAUGGAGCGUGGGUGUGUUAUGUUAUCUUCUACUACACAUAUAACAUCAAAUUCAUUCAGUUUGCCCGAGAGCCCAAAAUGCAACGAAUAUGCCAUCCAACGUGAAAAAAAAGAGAUGAGGAACAGUAUACUCUAUCUUCGAAAUUAGUCAACGAGAUGCAGCUUCAAAAGAGAUAAGAGCAGACAAGAGACACCAUGGGAUGCUGCAAAAUUUGGGAUCACGUGUGCAGAUCCCUUAUUAGGAAAAAAGAAUAAUUGAGCUAGCAACAAUAGUAGGACAUCUCCAUGCUCACCUAGUAUAGUAGCCACUUCUAGUGCGCGUGGAACACGACUGCCGGCCCAGUUGGCGCUAAGACAUCGUACGUGCAUUAAGUCUGAGGUGCUAGGACAGCUUCCUCUUGCUUCCCCACCAAAUCAUGAGCAACGAUCUCUUUCUUUCUAACUCAUGCUUGACUGUGACGGUGCUAUUAUAUAUUAUUGCAUGAUCAUCAAGAUAAGAUCGUAUAGUGACUGAGUGAGACAUCUAUGUACUAACUUGCAUUUAAGCCUCGAACUGUGUGUCAUUACGUGAGCUGCCUCCUGUCCUCGCCUCUGAAUUAUUGAACCGUUCCCAACAGCUUGGUCUCAAAGGAAUUUGACACCAAACAGAUUGAUAAAGAAAAGAGAAUAAUACUUGGAAUUGGAAAAAGUUGAUCUCUCUAUACAAUGAGGUAGGGCUCCCCUUUUAUAGUGACCCAUCAGCCACUUUACAUUCCGAAAAUGUCCUUCCUCAACCACUACAUUCUUAGGAUAUGCCAUACAUAAAUGUCAUUUGAGGUGACGUGUACAAAUUGAACUCUUCCACAUGGUCACGUUUCUCACGCCUCUUGUUUUCCAACCUCGAGACUUCAUCUUCAUGCCAAGUUGAUCAUCUAGCCUCGAGGCUCCAUCUACGAUCCGGAAUGAACGUACAGCCUCGAGGCUCCUGCUUCGUUAAGCUUUGUUGAGAACUCAUAACCUCACAUAGUUCUCCUCCGAGUAUUGUAUCUGACUAAAGAGUAAAAAGGUAAAAGCUCGGUGCCCGGAACCGACUGAGAACACUCGAGGCUUAGCUCAGUUGGAGUUUAGCUAUUACCGUUGCCAGUCACCAGCCUCGAGCCCCUCCAGAAACAAGGUGAUGCGAGAGUACGAGUUUUACUAUUAGAGGUGUCCCCAUAGAACGUGCGAGGUUAAUGAGUUCAGUUUCUUUUACUGCCGACGCAUAACAUGCGAGGAUCAACGAAUAUGAGGAACACUAUAUGCCAUCCAACGGGGGAAAAAAAAAGAUGAGGAACAGUAUACUCUAUCUUCGAAAUUAGUUAUAAAGAUUCAGCUUCAAAAGAGAUAACGAGGCGUCCAAGACUCGAGGAGCCAGUCAAGAGCAGACAAGAGGCACAUGAGUGCAUGCAUCCACACCUUGGGAUGCUGCAAACUUUUAUGAGGCUGCAAGCUGCAUACAUAAGUUUAUUUCACCUUUGUUCACAAUACUCUUCACACACCAUUCACACACGUCUCAGGGAGCUCUGCAGCAAUGGUGGAGAUCUUAGCUAGACUGCUCACUUCCCUUGUUGUCGCUAUUGCUAAAAACACAAGCUCACCUCUGCUAUUGCGAAGCAGACCAAUUUGCUGUGGAACUUUGGCGACGACCUGAAGGACAUGAAGUCGGUGCUGGAGUCCAUCUCAGCAGCGCUCCAGGACGCUGACACUGCUAGAAAAACAACCUUUCAUCCUCAACAAAAGUCCCGAUAGCUUUUUUACCUGGAACUAAAGAGGUUUUAGUGCUGCGCAAACACCUUUAGUCCGGGUUGCUGUUACCAACCAAGAGUAAAGGGUACGAUGGCACCAACCGGGACUAAAGCACCCCCCACGAGUUACUAUAAAGGAUUGCAUCCUCCACUUAGUCAGAUUUACUGUGUAGGUGAGAUGGUAAGGAAGCUAUGCGCGAGGCUUGAGAUCAUCGGUUCGAAUCCCACGCACCGCGCGCGCACGCGCAUAGUUUGAGUGAAAAAUCAUGUCACUUGUGAUCGGCCAAGGAGAAGUGGGUGCAGAUGUGGCUUAAGCGGCUGAGGCACGCCGCCAUAGACAUCUUGGAUUUGCUCGAAGACUACCAAGACACUAGUGAACCCUUAACAGCAAAGGUGAGUACUUAUGCAUGUCAACAUCUAUGUUGUCCAUGCUUCCAAUGCAAUAAGAAGAAGGACUACUCUUCCUAGCGGACUCUUCACAACCACUCAUAAAGCUAUGUGUUUCUCAAUGCAAUUUCGUAGAAGGCAAUGGAUCCAACCAACCGACUAAAUCAUUCGUCCUUGCCAAUGAUGUGCUUCAGGUUUUCCAUAUGAAGGACAUGUGACUACUAGAAAAACGAUCUUUCAUCCCUAGCCUUAGUACCGGUUGCAUUUGGAACCGGUACUAAUGUUUACAUUAGUACCAGUUCCAAAGGAUACUGUCCGGAGCGCACCUCGAUGACCCCUUUAGUACCGGUUGGGGGCAACAACCGGUACUAAAGGGUGAGCAUUAGUACCGGUUGUUACCUUAAUCCGGUACUAAAGGGCUACCCACCCUCUAUUACCGGUUGGUGGCAUCAACCGGUACUAAAAGGGAUACCCUCUAGCACCGGUUGCUGCCACAACCCGGUACUAGUGCGGCGCCAUGCAGAAUAGAAGGUAGAUCGAUUGUACAUGGAGGGGGAACAAAGGGAGAAAGGCAAAUCAUCAGCUUAUUAUCACAUGGUAGACUAGUCUUUAAAACAUGUUUAGGGCAGAGCACAUUACGUUUAUCUUGUUUUGCACAACAACAAAUGUGACCUUUAGAAGAUAGCCCUCCUCUAAUUAAACUAGUGCACUAUUACAGGAUGGUAUCGCACGCUUCCUUUUUCCCUAUGAAAAUGAAGUUUUUAAUGAUCUGAUAGCAGCUGGCAAAACAAAUGAUUGCAAAGAUGUUUGCAGAUGAUAAUGAUACUUAUGACCACUCUGAUGAUGAAGAGAUAGAGGAACAUUUGGUCCGUCAACGUAUUUCAAAUUAACACGUCAAAUCGCACUCAAGACCUCUCACCAACUCCUCCACCAGUUUCCAAAGGCAAAUCAACUUAUUAUCGCAUGCAUGGUAGUGUCUUUGAAACAUGUUUAGGGCACAACACAUUACGUUUAUCAUCUUUUGCACAACAUUAAAUGGACCUUUGGAAGAUAGCCCUCCUCUAAACUUGUGAUGCAUUGUAAUGAUAUGUCAUGUAUAUAUGUCUCACUUGUAUCAUAGCUGUUAAAGUACCACGUCAAAUUGCACUUGCGGUGAGAUCUCUCUGACCAAGUCCUCCACCACUUUCCAAGGCAAAUCAGACAAACUCCUUGUUAUAUUCCACAUAUUGGUUUCAUCCUUAUAUAGAUGUCCAUGUAUACUCUUUUGUUUGUCUACUCAACUUAUCACAUUGUCGUAGUGUCUUUGAAACAUGUUUAGGGAAAGUCCAUAGUGGAGGGUAGUAAAUGUCAAAGGGAGUUUGUAAGGAUAAGACAACACAAAUUUUGUAAGGGUAUUCUAAAGCAUUUGAUUCUAAACUAUCCGCGAGACCUCUCACAACCUCCUCCACCACUUUCCAAGAUAAUAUACAAUCAAAUUCCUUGUAGGAGUUUGGAUGUUGGACCAAUGGGAAGUUGACGAAAGAGUGGGACAAAAAUGUGACUCGAUCAUGUCAUUGUGGGCAAAGGUCCUGGUAGCUCAUGGAACAGAUCAUUUGAAGUACACAGGAUAGGGAGGCAAUAGUCGGCACAAGGAGAGGCAUGACCAGAAGCUUGAAAGAAGUAAACUUCAAAGCUAGGAGGAAUGUUAUUCUUGCUGGUUCAAUGUGUCUUCUUAUAGAUCAGUUCAUAGAUCUUAUGUAUUUGGCUGUGAUGAAAGCUAUGGAGCCCUCCCAGCCCCUUCGAGCUGAUGCUAAGCCCAAUCUAAACUGCAUAUGGAAUGUGAAAACUCUUUCUGCAAUGAGCCAAGCUAUCAAUCCAUACCUGUGAGGCAACAUCUCGAUUCUGUGGCUACUGACUGAGGUAUUUGGCAUAGAGUAGACCAAUGGUGCAUUGUGAAUAAGCUUAUUAGAAUGUGAAUAAGUCAGAAUUCUUGCUCGUCCUCCAUUUGUUCGCUCUCUGUUCUUUUGUUUACAAGGGACUCGGUUGAUCCGCGGGACCUCUCACCAACUCCUUCACCACUUUCCAAGGCAAAUCAGCUUAUCACAUGUGGUAGUAUCUUUGAAACAUGUUUAGGGCACAAGAGGAAGGCAUAGUGCUGGAAAAACGGUUAAUGGGGUGGCGGACGGCGGGAUGCUUCGCAUUCUCGUAUGAAGGAAGCUCCAUCAACUAGAUUGACGGUCAAGUUGCAUGAAGCAGAUGCCACAGUCGACGGAGAGAGCAUCUGGGUCUAACCAUAAUAACACAAGUCUUUCCUUUAGAUAACAUGCCAUCAGAUUCCUUGCAAGAGUUUGUAUGUUCGACCAACAGGAAGUUGACGAAAGAGUGGGACAAAAAUGUGACUCGAUCAUGUCAUUGUGGGCAAAGGUCCUAGUAGCUCAUGGAAUAGAUGAUAUCAUUUGAAGUACAUAGGACAGAGAGGCCAUAGUCGGCACAAGGAGAAGCAUGACCAGAAACUUGAAAGAGGUAAGCUUCAAAGCUAGGAGGAAUGUUAUUCUUGCUAGUUCAAUGGUGUCUUCUUAUAUAUCAGUUCAUAGAUCUUAUAUAUUUGGCCGUGAUGACAGCUAUGGAUCCCUCCGAGCCCCUUUGAGCCGAUGCCAAGCCCAAUCUGAACUGCACAUGGAACGUGAAAACUCUUUCUGCAAUGAGCCAAGCUAUCAAUAUCCAUCCCUGUGAGCCAACAUCUUGAUUCUGUGGCUACUGACUGAGGUAUUUGUCGUAGUGUCUUUGAAACAAGUCAAACACCUCACCAGGGGAUCAAGCUCCACGAGAACGAGAGCUACUUUCAGAUCCAGGAUAUUAAUCAACAAGUCAAACACCUUCCCAGGGGAUCAAGCUCCAUGAGAACGAGAGCUACUUUCAGUUCCAAGAUAUUAAUCAACAAGUCAAACACCUAACCAGGGGAUCAAGCUCCACGAGAACGAGAGCUACUUUCAGUUCUAGGAUAUGGGCAUAGCUGUGAGGGGGGCCACAACGCCCCUUUAUAUAAGGGCUACUGGUUUUGCCCUUGCCUUGUGAAGUUGUGCCACAUAACUCCCAAAAUCCCUCAAGAAAGAUAACACCACAAGCAGGAAGCCAAGUAGCUAUGGAACCUGUGACAGAUAUAGCUUCCUCAUUAUGUGACUCAUGUCAUUGUGGGUGCGGGGUGACCUUGAUCUACAACUUUGUAGUUGAAACAUUUUUCAUUUGGUGUCAUCUUGGUGCUCAAAUAAUCGACACGAACUAAAACUUGGCACCACACAUUCAAAAAAUAAUAAAAUUUAUAUGAACUCAGAUAUAGAUAAAAUUUAUAUCAAAAUUGUUGAUCUCAACGAGAUUUACAACUUUGUAGUUCAAAUUAUUUUCAUUUGGAGCCAUCUUGGUGCUCAAAUAAUCGAAACAUUUUCUAGAUCUAAAAUUUAAUUUUAGAUCGGAAACUUGUGUCGAUUAUUUGAGCACCAAGAUAAUACCAAAUGAAAAAUGUUUGAACUACAAAGUUGUAGAUCUCAUCGAGAUCUACAAUUUUCAUAUAAAGUUUAUCUCCAUCCGAGUUCAUAUGAAUUAGUUCAACCGGCGAUAAGGCUGCUACAGUGUAGCUUCCGCCGUUUCAAAUGGCGGUAUAGGUUUAGAUUAGCAAUUUUUGUAACCCAUAUAUUUUUGCAAAAUACUAAAAUAAAAAAUAUAAAAAUAAAAAAAAUCUAGUUUUAAUCAGCAAUGACUAAAUGUUAGCCCGGUUAUGCCCCAUCUUAGGUCUAAUCAUGGACCAAUAAAACAUGUGCUAGAAUUCAUGGCCACCGGAUGCGUGUUCGACCAUGUAAUCGUAUGCUAUACCUCACAGGAGGUUGAAAAUGGCCUGAAGGGGUACAGUGGAUGAAAACGUCGGGGACGCUCGGAACACAAGAAAAUGACCACCAGAUACAUGUUUGGCCAUUGUAACUGUGCUCUAUAGUUGAUAGGUUGAAAGCGGCUCGAAGAGGCAUCAGGGAUGGAAACAUGGGGGAUGGUUGGAACACUUGAAAAUGGCACUGGAUAAGUGUGCUUAUUCCUUACAAAAUGCUGAAAAUGGCUCAGAAGGGUCAUCGAGGAUGGAAACUAGGUGGUCAAUAAGUGAAAAUGGGCAGCGGACAUGUUCAGUCAUGUAACCGUGUGCUAUAGUCCACUAGAGGUCGGAAAGCUGCCCUAGGGGCUCUAGAGACGAAAACGUGAGGAAUAGCUGAAAGGUUACGUGUUUGGUCAUGACAGCCCUAUUAGGAAGCGAUAGAAGUGGAAAGAUAGCUGGUUUCAGAUUGGCAACCCAUCUUUUGCUUCCCCCUUACUUCCAUACGUAAUCCAUGGGCAUCGAAUUUAAAAGUAUACAAAUCACUUUUAGAUGUAAUUGAGGGUAAAGAGGGGAGGUUUCGUGAGACUCUACAAUGUUCAAAUCGUUCGUUCGUUAGGAUGCCUCAGCUACAUACAUCAUUGCACUUCCAGUUGACACCAAUUUAAAUGGUUCGUCUAGCCGCUACAAGGUAUCAUCAGAUAUAGAAGAAUUAGAGACUGGGGGUAAUAGCAAAAAAGGAAUAUAACUCGUCCGAGAAAGUGGGUGCAGGGGCAGUGGGGUAAGGUAAUUGAAGUAACUAGCCAGUUUCUUCCCGAAACUUCCCAAGAAAAAUCCCGAAUUGGAUCCAAAAUUGACGGAUUAAUCAACCAAAAUAACCGUGAGCAGCCACAAUGUUAUAAGUCCCUUCUUCUUGACCAAAUUUGUAACCCUUAUUAGCAGACUCAUUUUCAGUGGUUUCUUUCCCUGAUCAAACUAGAGGUUACCAAGGAACCGUGUGCUCUAGCCCACAGGUGGCCGAAAACGGCGAAGAAGGGCUUCGGGGAUGGAAACAACGUGGAUGGUCAGAACACGUGAGAAUGACCACGGGAUGCAUGUUUGGCCCUGUAACAGUGUGCUAUAGGAAGCCGGAAAUGGCCAGGAGGGUCACCAGGGAUGAAGAUGCAGGGAUGGAUGGAACACGCGAAAAUGGCCACCAGUGAUUAGUGGCAGGUCUACAGAGAUAUCUCAUCAAAUCGGUGAUUUAUAUCCGAUUUAAACGAGGAUAAAAAUGAGUGUAUUUUCCACCCAUCAUGUUGACUUUUCGCAGCUAUACUGCCUUUAGUGUGUUGUAUUGUUCCCAUGACACCAAGUCUCCAAGGCCCGAGAAAAUAAGGAAAGUGAUAGCAGCCUAGAAAUCGACCAAGUUUCUUUCCCCCUUUGGCAUUCCUACUAGGAUUCGGAAUACUCUUUCGCAUGACAAUCAUAAUUAUCUCCCAUAAUCCAAAACUCACAAAAACAUCAAAAAUCCGCCGAGAAUAAAUUAAGUAAAAAACAGGCACACAUAGAUAAUAAUAAUAAUAAUAAUAAUCAUGUUUCUAUAAAAUUGCUAAGGCCAGAGAUAAUACAUAAAAAUAUUAGACUGCUCAUGACACAUAUCACGGUGGACAAUGUCUGUGUCCUUAUUACAAGCAGCGAGAGGAAUUAAACAUGCUUGUCACCACACACACGAGCGCACAGAUGCACGACACACAUAUAGUUGAGACCAACAGAUGGACCUCGACUACAGGUCGCCCCAUAUGGUGAACAAUUUAUUGGAGAUAAACAUGAACAUAACUUGGCCAUAGCUUGAAGCAUAGCAACAUAUGCCUAUGAAUGGCAUUCAUGCUGGUAGCAAUGCAAUCAUAUCGUUUUAGGCCUGUCCAGCUUCUUCCAUCUUAGCAAGCACUGCCAUUUCUUCCAUCUUAGCAGCAACUGUCAAAUUGAGAUAUGGAAAUCCCAUUAGCGCAUGAGUUAAUUUUGCAGUGGAAAUAGAGUACAAGAUGUCUUCAUGAUGUAAGUAAUAUGCCUGAAGUUGUGAGAUGGGAAGUGAAGUCAACAAAUUACAUUAACGGAAAUGCAUGGAAGGCCACACAUACGUAUUAGUCCACGAUAUGCUACAAAGCUUGUAUGUACAUAUAACAAAUUAAAUGCAUUGAAUAGAGUGAGUUUACUGAAUUUACCAG
rnacentral:lncRNA from 1 species